rnacentral:lncRNA from 1 species
CCCAAUUGAGGCCAAGAGAUUGAUGGACUACGAUCUCGUCUUGGAACAAUAUCUACCUCCAGCGUCACCUUUGCUUGCCGGAUUCCAUCUAGACGCUUUCAGUGCAAUAAAACCUAGGGUUACCCAUUCACCUUCCUCAGAUUCAGAUAUCUGGGACAAAUCAGUAACAUUUUUAGAAGACAGGUACAUCUCUCAAGCUGUGUUGUAUUUACAAGUAUCCGCACUCCAGGAACCACAUAACAUGGUAACUAUUGCGGAAUAUCGACUGCCGGAGGCUAGAGCCGGAACGCCAAUGUACUUUGAUUUCCCAUGACCGAUACAGUCCCGACGAGUUUCAUUCAAGCUUCUUGGAGAUGUUACAGCAUUUGCAGAUGAACCUUCAGAACAAGAUGAUUCAGGAUUGAGAGCUCCACUUGUGGCCACAGGUUUGUCUUUGUCAAACAGAAUCAAGUUAUAUUAUUAUUGUGAUCCUUAUGAGCUCGGAAAAUGGGCAAGCCUUUCUGGAGUUUGAUCGUUAUUUAUAUGUCAGAGAAAGGGUUUUGGGUUUGAUUUUGAUUUUGAUUUGUAAUUUUUGUCAGUUUAUUGAAAUUUUUUGUUGUAUAAAAGCAGAAUGUAAAGGUAUAAAAAUUCAUUGAUGCUGCAAUGUCUGUGCUUUUGAGAAAGAAGAAUUAAUUGUCUUUUCUAUGCCAUUGGAGUUUCCCACUGCUUGUAUACUUGGGCUGUCGAAUGCUCUGUGAACCUUAAGGGCUAUAAAGUAAUUUUCAAGACUGAAGGAUUUAUUAAUCGAGUUCAAAAGAUUGUAAGUUGGUGACUGGUGAGCGUUGGCAUUUAAAAAUCAAUUGUUAUUCUCUCAAUAAUCUCUCUCUUCUCCUCGUGAAGUGUUUUCUUUUUCGAGUGAAGGUGGUUUUCCACUUGCAUACGUCGGGGGUCUUAUGAUAUGUAAUGUGUGAAAUUUCUUUCUCAUUUUACCAUAAAGAAAAAUGUUGUAAUAAUCUAAAGCUCGAGUCUUAAAUUAUCUUAAAUUUAUAUUUAGAGUGGAGCUAUUCGCAACCCUAUAUUAAAAUUACAAUUAAAAACAAUUGAAAAUUAAACACUUAUAGAUUCUUUUUACAGCAAAUUACUUAAUUCAUAAUCAAUCCUUUAAAAAAAAAAUACAUAUGUUAUUUCUUAUCUAACUAAAAUAAAUUGUACAAAUUUAGAAUAAUCUAUUGUUCUCUUUUGAUUUCUUAUUAUUUAAAUAUUUUUAUACAUAAAGUUACUUUGAAAUUAUAAUUUGAAAUAUGUGUUAUUUCAGCCAAUGAUUAACACUAAAAAAUUUAUCACCCAUAUAACUUUUUAAUUUGUGUGUAGGGUAAUAAUAAAAUCGAAAAUAAUUAAAAAAAUAGUACAAUAAUGAUUUUUAACAAUAAAACAAAUCAAAUGAAAAUUGAAAAUUUAGAAAAGUGUAUCUAAAAAAAGGAACGUUUUCAAAAAUAAAAUGAAUAUAACUAAAAAGAGAUUUUAUGAGGAGAUCACUGGGGUGCCAAUAGUCCAACUUGUAAUUAAGAAUCUCCCAUUAUAUUGUCAACCAAAAAGACACUUGAAUAAGAAGAAGAAUUUAUCAGUUUGAUUUUAUUUGUAGAUCCAACAUUUCUCAUAUCCUGAACGCCUUUUCGUAUCAAAUUAAAACAGUAGUAGCAAAAUCGUAGUAUUAAAAUCGUAGUGCACAUUCAAUUAACCAACUAAUAGUCUUUGGUAUAAGAUUUUAUAUUAGGUAGCCAAGUAGGUUGUCCAUCCCACUCAGACAUGCACGAAAGCUAAAUUCAUCAAAUGAAUUACUUAAGAAGUAUUUGAUAAUUUUGAAAUUAUCAAAAGGUGUUAUACUAUUAAAUAUUUUUAUACUUAAAAUUGUUUUGAAAUUAUAAGUUCAAAUUAAAAUAAUAGUAGCAAAAUCGUAGUGCACAUUCAAUUAACCAACUAAUAGUCUAAGAAGCAAAGAGAGGAUUACAAGUUCACAACACCAUUACAAAGGAUUCAAAAUUCCCACACGAAUACAUCAAUGUACAGAUUAUAAACAAUCCGAAUUGGACACAAGAAAAACCCUUCAAUAGAUUGCUUGCCUUCCCAAUGCUAUAUACUGUGCAAACUGCGCAUUGGCCAAGAAAAUGUUUUCAAUUUAGUGUAUUUUCAAAAUGCUUAUUUUCUCAUAGUAUAAAAAAUAAAAAAAAUAAGAAAGAAUUCUCACAUGUUUCAUCAGCAUGAUUAAAAUCAAAGAAGAAAGCGAGACAUAAUGUCUCUGACAUAAUAAAAUUACAAAAAUUUCAAGGAAAAAAAAAGGUUAAAACAUGUAAUCUUCAGAAGCAUAUAAUAAAAGAACACUUCCACAAAUUACUACAAUUUCAUGCAGUAGAGAUUGAAGAGUUGAAUUCCACUAAUUUUAAUAAUGAAAACAACAACAGAGGAUUAACUGAUGCUUUGACUUAUUAGUUCUGCAGAGCAUCUCCAAAAGCCUAUAUAAAUUUUACUCUUCAAAUACUUAUUUGCUUACCUAUGUGGCAAAUAAAAGGGUGAAAAAAUAUGAUAUUCUCCAAAAGACUCUUCAAAUAGAAAAAAGUUAAUAUUAUUUUAAUCAUAUAAUUAAUUUUUUAAAGAAAAAGUCAAUAGCAAUUAAAGCACUUCUCUCUCUUUCUUCAAUGAAAAGUAAUAAAAUAUAAAUUGAAGAGGGAGAAAUUAACUCUCCAAAUUUGAAGAGAGAGAAUUAAUUCUUAUUUAAAGAAUCUUAAUUGAAGUGUCUUUUGGAGCUUUAAAUAUUGAUGUGGCUCUUCAAAUAAGUAAUAAAAUCUUAUUUGAAGAGCCUUUAAAUAAGGUGCUUUCAAAAGCAAAAUGGAAUACAUAGAUAAAAACAUCAUCUUAAACAAAUCACAAUCUAGAAUUAGAGCAUUUUCGACAUACCUAAGGAAAACGAAUACGUGAAAACGGGUGAUUCAUUUGUUAAGGAGUGUUGAUUUGGUCGUCUCUGCAAAUUCUUUAGGGACUCGGUUCCAAUUCCUCAUCAUCAAAACUGUAAUAUAAUUCCCCUUCAUCAGAACUCGAAUCGAUGCAAUAUAAUUCCCCUUCAUCAGAACUCGAAUCAAAUUCACUUGCAGCAGUUCCACUCGCGCUUGGCAAAUCAUCCAAUUUCCAAACUUCGGUAGCAAAAUUGAGAGUAAAAGUGUUGGCUUUGAUCUCGCUGGGAUUUGCAUAUACUGGACAUACUCCGCAACGUUUUAUCUUCUGACCCUUUUGGACCUUUAUUAUGUUUCGGUAACGCUCAUUGAAGAACUUAAGUGAGACAGUUGUAUGAUGGUAACCAUCAGGAAAGCCAACAUUCAAGCAAGGUUUAAAACCAAGUAUGACAUGAUCUGAAUCAUGGGGGUCUUUAAUAGAGUCCCAAUAGAAACUCAGAUCAACAUGUUUGGUUUCAGAGAGAGUCUUUAUUUCUAAGUCGGAUCGACAGUAAACGUAAAAAUAACGAGAACGAUCAGAAUAAAGUUGCUUAAAAUCAAGAACAGCACAAAAAGCAAACCCGAUUAAGUUUCUGCAAAAAGAGUGCGGUGGCAGUUGAAUACGUAUCGAAGAUCCUGAACUUUGAUUGCUGAACCAGUCAGGAAUUUCGCUCCCAGGUAAAACAAUUUGGGAUUCCCUGAGUUCAGAAAGUUUCUGUGAAACGACAUUUAAAAAAAGAAAAUUGUAAAAUGAAAACCAUGAUUUCAGAUAUAACAAAGAGGGACAGAGUAAACAAGAGAGGGAAUUUGAUACCUCGUUGUAUGCAUUUUCAUAGCCCAGUCUCAGUGAUGCUGCAAUUGCCAUACGUAGUGAAUCUGCCAAAAUCUUGUUGUUUGCUUUUCCAUCAAGUUUCAAGCAGUUAGUAAACCCAAAAUAAAUUGGUUGUGGCGUCACAUAUUCCGGAUGCCAUUGACGAAGGUCAGGAGAGGGUUUGGAUAGCUUUUCGAGUACGGAUGCAUCUAGUUCUUGUACACAUGACGGAAUCUCUGGCAAAGAUUGAAGCCGGUUGCAGUUCAUUGCAAUUAGUGACUGUAGACACAAUGGAAGUUCAGGUAAUGACCGAAGCAUGUUACAAUCCUCCAAGUGAAGAGUUUCUAAACCCAAUGGAAGUGCUGGUAAUGACUGAAGCAUGUUACAACGCCACAAGUGAAGAGUUUCUAGACCCAAUGGAAGUUCUGGUAAUGACUGAAGUAUCUUACAAUCCCUCAAUUCAAGAAAUUUUAGGCCCAAUGGAAGUUCUGGUAAUGACUGAAGCAUAUUACAAUCCUCCAAGUAAAGAUAACUUAGCCACGACAGUUGCUUGAUACUUGCAGGUAAACUCUCAAAGUUAUUUCCAUUUAAAUUGCCAAUGUUAUCCGGCAACUUAUCAAGUACAGAGCAACCACUUACGGACAAAAGUACAAGCCCCGUUUGCAAUGCCUCAAAUCCAACUUUUCAAGAUCAGUUAGGCACUCUACUGAUGAUGGAACUUCUUCUAUUGCAGUCUGGCCCAAGUUUAGCGAUGUUACUUUCCCAGAAAUCUGUGGAAACUCUAUGAGAUUAACACAAUAGGAGAAAUCAAUAGUUACUGGACAAACAAAAUGAAGAUUGCUAGGAAAAGACCUAAGACUUUUGCAGCCCAUAAAAUCCAACCUACUGAGAUACUUGAAAUUCUGGAUAUAUGAGGGAACACAAGCCAAGUUUGUAUAAUCCAAAAGAUAUGUUUCAACAUUUGGGGUUUCUAAUGGGCCUGGCAUCUUAAUGAAAUGUCGAGAAUGGCUGAGGUUAAUAGAUUUUAACUUGAAAGCUUCCUGCAAUAACAGAUAUAUAAAGACUAUAUUAAUUAAAAAGCAACAUUGAAUUCAACAAUUAAUUGCACGUAUAUUUAAAGAAAGAAAAAAUUAAUGUUUUAGUUUUAGUACAGAACUUACCUUUUCUCCUUCCCAAAGUUGCUCAACUUUACUAAAACGCAAAUUCAGUUCAACAAGGUUCUUUGGCUUGAAAUUUGAUGGCAGUGUCCUUAAGGGAUAUGUGUCCCAAUGAAGAUAUCUCAAUUUUUUAGGAAGAUAAUCUAGGCCAUUUGGAAGCUGCACUUUAGAGUAUGAAAGUUGCUCUUCAAUGCUCAUACUUAGAAACUUUUCAAUCUCAGGUACAUAAAAUUUGAGCAAUCUUAGAUUAGACAUUUUUGUGAAGGCUCCAGGGUCUAAAUUGAUGCCUUUUAUUUUGGACAAAUCCAGAAAUAUGCCUUCAAUUGCAUCGGUCCCCUUAUUAAAAAAAAAAACAAAGAAUGAGUAACCCUAAAACAGAAAAGAAACAUUCGCAAACUUUAUUAACUAAGAACUCCUUAAACAAAAACAAAUUCUGCAAUCUUUGAUUUUAUUUUUUAAAAAUAUUAAAUAUCUAUAUAUGAGAAAAGAAAAUUUUGGGGACCAUUGCAAAAUUAAACUAACCAAAAAAAAAAUUCAAAAUUUCUCUAAUUUACAAACCUGUUAUCUUAAUAUCUAGAAGUUGAGAAGACAAGGCGUAUUUGAUUGGUAUAAGAUUUCGAUUUUUUUUUUAGUCCAUAGAAUCCAAAAUGUUUGUUCAAAAUCAGGGAAAAAAACGAAAGUUAUUUUUUUUUCCACUAGCUGUAAUUGUAUCCAAGUCAAAUUGAGAUACGACCCUUUUCGAAAGGAUUUAAUCAUCUUAUAGCCUCCUUAAGAUACAUUUAAGCUAAAAGGAGUGAUUGGAGGCAGAACUUAGUGGGCCAAUCAGUUCAUUUUAUUAGCGACUGUUGCUUAAAAAAAAUUAUACUCUAAAACACACUUACUUUUUUGAAAAAAAAUAUAAUUAUAUUUAAGUAGAACCAGGUGGGCCAAUCCUCAUGGCACUCACUUUGUUCUGACACUCUUCACUAAAUUUGAAGAAAAAUAAAAUUAUACUCUUCACACUCUUAUUCAACAUUCCAAAAUUGAUAAAAUCUGGAGUUUUCUUUAAAAUUUUAAAAUUUGAAGACUUGUUCUCUUGACACCCUCAGUCAUUAAUUUUACCUAAUUAUGGUUUUGGUUGUUUUGUUCAUAAAAAUGCUUUUACUAAAGGAUGUUCUGGUAAUGAAAAAAUUUAUAAAAAAACAAACAUGGGUGUGCUGAUAUAGUUGGAAAAAUAUGAGUGCAUAACUCCAAACAAAUAAAAGAUACAUAAAAAAAAAAAAGGAGGAUUCUUACCAUAUUAUGCUUUAGUACGCGGCGGAUUUCCUUAGGAUCCCACAACCUACUGCGUCUGCCUGGCUCUUCCUCAGAUUCUUGGCGAACAAUCUCUCGGCCCAUUUCUUGCAAUAAAUCAUGCAUUUGCAAGCAGUUAUCUGACACUGUUAUAAGUGACUUGUCCACGAGGACAUCCAGUCUGUGAGACCCAGAAUCAUCAAGUAUCCUUAACACAAAAUCUUUAUCCUCUCCCUCAAGGAAACACGCAAUAUCUAGAAACAUACUCUUCACCCUGGGCGUUAAUUCUUUAAAACUAAUCUUUAAUGUAUCAUAAAUACCAUGAAUAUCAGAUUCACAAAUCCGAUUUAAGUCGUCCAAUACAUUUUCCCAAUGGCUUUUCCCCUUGAGAUACAGGGAGGAACCCAACACUUUAAGAACUAAUGGAUUGCCAUCGGCAUACCAUACAACCCUCCAUGAGUGCCGGUAGAGAUCUUCAGGACAAUGAUUUUCUUUAACAGCGAAGUUACAAAAAUGCUCGAAAGCCUCAUCAAAUUUCAAUCCAUUGACCCUAUAUAUUUUCUCCACUCCAAAUUUUUCGAGGACUCGUUUAUCCCUGGUGGUUACAACAAUUCUACUUCCUGGACCAUAUUGAUCAAGCCCUCCAAUCAAACCCUCUAAUUGUUCAUCUUUAUUCACAUCAUCGAGUACAAUCAACACCUUCAUGCGUCGGACCCUCCCUUUAGUAAAUUGUGGAAUAUUGGGACCAGCUACUUCAAGUUUUUCACUUAAUAUUGUCGAAAGCAUUUCCUUUUGUAGGUCUUCUAGGCCACCCUCUGUUUCUGAUUUUCUCCUAACAUUUUUUGCAAAGUAUUUACCAUCAAACUCACCAGAGAAUUGAUCGAAAAUAGCUUCAGCAAGGGUAGUUUUGCCUAUACCACCCGUGCCCCAAAUUCCAACAAUAUGGACAGUAUCCCACAAAUCCAUACACAGAAAUGGUUUAAUCUGCUCAAUUCGUGAAUUUAAUCCAACUAGGCCAUUGGAUGAGUCCGUUGAGACUGUUAUUUUUUCCAACUUCUUCAAAACAUCAUCGACAAUUUUGUUUACAAGUUCCGCAUCGUGCCUAAUAUAAAGGUGCAAAGAUGCAAAAACAUUGAGUCAAAUCGGGCCAAGACAGAAACAGAGAAAAGAUGAAUUAGGAAAGAGAGUUACCUGAAUUUCGUGGAUUCAUGGCCGGCUAGAUGGGAUGUUUCUGUCAGUGCAUCCCUCCACUUCUGAACCAUUUCUGGUUUAUCUUCGAACUGUUUUUUGAGCUCAUCAAAACGGUCUCCAAAUGUUCCGUUUUGAUGCCGCACAUCAGAUGGACUUACUCCAUAGAAGACUGGAAUAAUAAUUUGGCCGUUUGUGUUCUUGCAUUCAAGAAUCUUGACAAGUUCAUUCAGGCACCAUUUUGAAGAAGCGUAGUCCUUUGAGAAAAUGACCACCGAAAUUUUUGAACCUUGGAUUGCGUUCAAAAGGGCGGGUGAAAUCUCAUCUCCUCGCCUAAGCUCUUCAUCAUCAAUAAAUGUUUUGAUUUUUUUUCCUUCAUACAAUUUAUCAUAAAGAUAGCAAGUAAAGCUCUUACGAGUGUCCUCCCCUCUAAAGUUGAGGAAGACUUCAUAAUUGCAAGAAGAAGAAGAGGAAGCCAUGAAGGAAAUUCUAGAAAUUUGAAAGUAGAUUUAGGGAAUUAUAAAAAGCUGAAGGAAAUUGGAAUUUUGUACAGUUUCUCCAGCGAGGAACUUUCACCUCCGCACUAGAUUCUUAAGUUUUGAAAAUUAUGAGACCUUUAUAUUGGAAGAUAUUAUAAUCGAAUCAAAACUUAAAAUUUUAAUAUUGUUAAUCUUUAAUCUUUAAAAAAAAAUUACCUCGCCGUUACAGUUUGGAUUAAGAUUUGAGCAAGCAUUUACCUAAAUUUUAUCUCCGCCUGUAAAUUCUUAUGUUUUAAAAAUUAUGAGACCUUUAUAUUGGGAGAUAUUAUAAUCGAAUCAAAAUUUUGAAUUUCAAUAUUAUUAUUCUUUUAAAAAAAAAAUUGAGAUAACAGAGUGAUUGAUAAUAUAGGAGAACUUGUCUAGGCAAGCACAUGCAUACACAGAAAUGUGAUGGAUUCAAAAAGAAAUUAAAGUGAUAAUGUACGUGGAUCCUUAAAAUAAAAAGCGAAAUCGCUUGGUGGCCCAGUAAAAUUAGAGAACAAAGAAGAAUUAGUUAUUGAUAUACAAAAGAGAAACACUCCAAAAUUUCAAGCAAAAAUAGUUUCAUAUACCAUUUCAAUUUUGUAAGGGGUGAGGUUUUGAAUUUCAAUAGUUUCCUCUAAAAUCAAAAGGCAACAAUUAAGUUAGAAAGAGCAAAGAAGACUUAUUAGUACCUUAUUAAAGGUAACAUUAUGGAACUUUCAAUUUCAUUACCUCACUCUUCAAUUUUUAUUGAGAUUUGUGCAAGAAUUUACCUAAAUAUUACCUAAAAUUGAGAUAUCAGAGUAAUAUCAAAUAGAAAAACUUGCCACGGUAAGCCAAAAGUCUAGUCAACCACAUGCAUAAAGCUAAAUAGAACAACUAACAAGAGAACAGAGAAACGCGUGGGUCCCUAAAAGAAAAGGCAAGCACAUAGAUGAAAAAGCCAUUACAUUUCGAUUUUACAUGUCAUUAAUUUCUGUAACACGGUGUGUGGCAGCAUAUGCACAAUCAAGUGAGGCAAAAGGGAUUCGAUUAUCGUGGCAGAACAUGAACGAGGACGCGUGAUGAAUAAUUCCUUCGAUAAAACGAAAAACAAACGCAGAGAAAAGAAUUUCUUAUAUGACAAGAAAUCAAAGAAAUCAAAGUAAUGUUUCAUUUUCCCUUCCCUACCUUUUUUUUGUUUUAUUUUUAUAGCAAAGAAUUAUAUCAUGAAAAGAAUCAAUUUAAUCACCUUUUCUAGCAGCACAAUUUUUCUUUUAUAAAAUUUGACCAGGGAGACAAAGAAUAAUUAUUCAUACCUUCAUCACUAAGGAAAUACUUUUCGGUAUGGCUAAGGUGAGAAAAGGCUUUCCACAAAAACUUGUACUUUGUAUUCCUGUAAAUUUUCUUUAAAGUCAAUAAAAACCAUAAGUUCUUUACAAUAACCAUCUCUUUGAUAAAAAAGUGCCGUAUUCCUUUAGAAUUUAAAACCGGCAAAACUGAAUCAGUGUCUUUGAAGAGACAUAAUGGUCGUAAUUCUUUAAAUGAGUUGGCUAUGGAAAUCGUUAUCCAAGAUUCUUUUACGCCAUAUUCUUUCGUAAACCAAAAUUCAUUUUGGAAUACUCUGUUGAGAAUGUCAAAUAAAACGGCAUUGAAGGAAGUUUUCAAAGGCAGAAUCUGCACUUGUCAGAUGGAUGAUCUGCACUUGUCAAAGACACAAUCCGCGUCGAACGAAUCGACACAUUUCCUUUCGUAUUCACAUAUGCAAUUUUUGAAAAAAUGUAGCUUUUACAUCUAUAAAUAACACUCAGUGUAUAAUGUUUUAUUCAAGAAAAGAAAACAAGUUUCUUCAUGGUAUCAGAGCCAUGAAUACGCUCAAGUUUCUUCAAGUUUCGCUGCUCUGUUUGUAACAAAAACAGAGAAAACCAAAAUCUUCCCACAACCAUUUUUUCCACCAUUUUCUUCCUUAAAAUCAUUCCUACCAUUAUAGAAAUCCAUGCCGAUCAAAAAACAAGCCACCCAUACGUAAAAAACUUGAGUUUACAAAUUUAUCAACAAUCUCAUAAAUUAGAUACAAAACAACGUGAUGUUAAAUCUCCAGAACUGCAGCAGUCUUAAAACGACAUGUCGUUUCUAUUCCAUCAGAACCGACAUAUCAUUUCUUUAAGCAGAGGCCAAACGACUUGUCGUUUUUUUUUUUAUCUAAAAAAGUUAUUUUUUCUUAUUUCAAUCUAGACGCCAAAAAAAAAACAAAAAAAUGGAGAAAACUCCAACUGAAUCUGAUCCUGUUGUCAUUCAAUCUGUUCAAUCUGAUGAGUAUUUAAUGUUGGAAUUAUCUUCACUGAGACAAACUACGAUAUUUGGUCUUAAAUAAUGGAGUUGCAUCUCGCAGAAAGAGAAAAACUCUCAUAUAUUUGUAGCAACACAAAGUCAUCUGAGGAAUCUUCAAAGGAAUAUGAGAAAUGGUAUAGUGAGAAUGAAAAGGUAAAAAAAUGGUUACUCAUAUCCAUGUCUCUGGAUAUCAUGAAGUGAUAUUUACGAAUUCCUACAGCCUACGAAAUAUGGGAUGCAUUAUCAAAAGCCUUCUAUGAUGGAAUCGAUGAAUUACAAGUUUUCACUCUAAACCAGAAGGCGUCUCUACCAAGAAAAAUUGACAGCCACUAUCUAAAUUCUACGGAGAAUUGAUCGAAAUAUUUUGAGAACUUGAUCACCGAGAUAAAGUGAUCAUGAAGGAUCCAGAAGAUGUUGUAAUAUACAAAAGGUCUGUUGAAAGAUUGAGAGUUCACAUUUUUCUUGUUGGGCUAGAUGAAGAAUUUAACCAAGUUCGUGGAGAAAUUCUAUGAAAAGAUAUUAUCCCAGACUUAGAAGAAUGUUAUUCUUUGAUCUGAAGAGAAGAUGUACGGCAAAACAAACUAAACAAGAAGGUCGACUCAGAAACGUUUGCUAUGAUAGCACGACAACAGCCUCAAAGGAAGCUUGUUGACAAGUCAUCACUCCAUUGCACUCAUUGUAGGAAGAAGGGUCAUAUGAAAGCACAAUAUUUUGAAAUCAUUUGAUAUCCUGACUGGUGGGAUACUUGAAAGAAAAACAUCAAGCAGGGAUAAAAAACUGCAGUAGCUGAAUCCACAUCCACUACAGAUCUUAGAAAAGAAUCUUCAGUGCAAAUCGCAACCUCUGUUAGUCCAGGUAAGGCCCUUAAAACUCUUAUACUUGUUAUUAAUAGUACAUGGAUAAUUGAUUCUGGGGCAACUGAUCAUAUGACUUUUGAUUCUCGACAAGUUUCUCAAUUGAUACCAUCUUCACAAAAACAUGUUUCCACUCCAAAUGGAACCACAACCUUAGUUAUUGGGGAAGGAUCUUUACGACUCACAUAUAAAUUAAAUUUAGACUCUGUGUUAAUUGUUCCAUCUUUAGAUUAUAAUCUUUUAUCUGUGUCUCAAUUAACCACUUACUUAUCAUGUGUUGUAAUUUUUUGGCCUGAUCAUUGUGUGUUUAAAGACAUCCAAACGAAGCAAACGAUUGGUUAUGGUAUUAGACGGGGCCACUUGUACUAUUUGGAGAUGACAUCAACAAACACUGGAAAGCUAAGCCCUGCACUAGUCGCAGAUAGUUCCAUAAAAAAAAGGAAAUCAGAAAUUUGGUUAUGGCAUAGACGUUUAGGGCAUGUGUCAUUUGGUUACUUAAAAAAAUUAUUUCCUAGUUUAUUUCUGAAAUUUGAUAUUUGUAACUUUAAAUGUGAUGUUUGUGAACUUUUAAAAAGUCAUCGAACUACUUUUCCAUUGUCCUUAAAUAAGAAUCAAGUUCCUUUUAUGGUAGUACAUUCUGAUGUAUGGGGGCCAUCGAAAGUUUCUACAAUUGGAGGUGCUCGUUGGUUUGUUACAUUUAUUGAUGAUUGUAGCAGAAUGACAUAGAUUUUUCUGAUGAAAUCGAAAGACGAAGUAAACUCUUUAUUUUAAAGAUUUCAUAAGAUGGUGACGACUCAAUUUCAGACACAAAUUCGAGUUCUACAUACUGAUAAUGGAGGCGAGUAUAUGAGCACAACAAUUCAACAGUUUCUGAAAUCACAAGGAACUGUCCAUCAAACCACUUGUGUGGGGACACCCCAACAAAAUGGCAUUGUUGAACGAAAAAACAGACAUUUACUAGAAGUUGUUCGAGCAUCACUAAUCCAGGCCCACAUGCCACUAUCUUAUUAGGGAGAAGCACUGGCAUCCGCAGCAUACUUGAUCAAUCGAACACCUUCAAGCUCCCUUGGAUUCCAGACUCUUUUCCAGGUUCUAAAUGAUGCAAUUAUGUCACCAAAUGUGCCGAAUUUACCCCCACAUGUGUUUGGCUGUGUUGCCUUCGUUCAUUUGCCGCAACAAGACAAAUUAUCUCCUCGAGCACUACGUUGUGUGUUUGUAGGGUAUGCCUUACAGCAAAAGGGAUACCGAUGAUAUGAUCCACCAUCAAGAAAAAUAUACAUCACCAUGGAUGUCGUCUUUCAUGAAGAUAUCAUAUACUACUUGUCAAAGCCUGAAUUUCAGGGGGAGUAUAAUGAAGAGGAAAUUCAUAAUCUUAUAUAUCUUCCACCUAAAGAAGAUCAAUCUUCCAUUGAGGUUGUAAACCUUCAAGAUACUGGAAAAGAAAAUGGUGGUGAUUCUCAGGCUGAGAUAAGUGAAGACACAUUUGGGGAGCAAAAUAACUUAGACACAACUGCAAUCGAGAAUGAGUCACAUGAAGAAAUACCUAACUAAUCGUCUGCAGAGGAUGUUCCUACCACAAGUCCUAGUCUAGUCAGAAGAAUUCUUCCUCAGCGUCAAAAUAGAGGUAUCCCUAAACCCACAUAUGAGCCCGACCUUUCUAGUAGAGUCAAAUACCCUAUGAUUUAUUUUGUGUCUAACCAUCGCUUGUCAGAAUCAAAUCAGUCAUUUGUGAAUCAAUUAUCUACUGUAUCUAUUCCUAAUAGUGUGCAGGAAGCCUUAAAAGACCCAAAGUGGAAAGCGACUAUGAAUGACGAAAUGUGAUCUCUUCAAAAAAAUCAAACAUGGGAACUAGUUGAUCUUCCACCUGGAAAGAAACCAGUGGGUUUCCGAUGGAUCUACACUAUAAAGUACAAAGCAGAUGGCUCUAUUGAACGAUACAAAGCAAGGCUCGUAGCUAAGGGUUACACCCAAACCUACGGGAUAGAUUAUGCCAAUAUGUUUGCACCGGUAGCAAAAAUUAAUACUAUUCGUAUCUUAUUAUCAUUAGCAGUCAACUUGGAUUGGCCAGUGUAACAGUUCGAUGUAAAGAAUGCUUUCCUCCAUGGAGACCUGUCUGAAAAAAUUUAUAUGGAUAUGCCACCAGGAUGUAGUGGACCAGAACGACUCAAUCAGAAAGUAUGCAAAUUGAAGAAAUCAUUGUAUGGGUUGAAGCAACCCCUAAGAGCAUGGUUCGGGAAAUUCACAAAGGCUAUGGUUCUUUUUGGGUAUAACCAAAGCAAUUCAGAUCAUACCUUGUUCAUUAAAAAAUGACAAGGUAAAAUCACUGCCCUCAUUUUCUAUGUGGAUGAUAUGGUAGUCAUAGGUAACGACGGGGAAGCAAGAGAGGCUCUUCAGAAGUACUUGUCGAGAGAGUUUGAGAUGAAGGAUUUAUGAGCCUUAAAAUACUUUCUUGGAAUUGAGGUUUCUCGAUCUAAGGGAGGAAUUUUCCUGUCUCAAAGGAAAUAUGCUUUAGAUCUAUUAAACGAAACGUGAAUGACAGCUUGUCAGCCUAUUGACACCCCAAUAGAAGAAGGACUGAAGUUUUGUAUUACCUCAGACUAAGUUCCAGUAGACAAAGGAAGAUAUCAAAGGCUGAUUGGAAGAUUGAUGUACUUGUCCCACACAAGGCCAGCUCUUGCUUAUGCAUUGAGUGUUGUAAGUCAGCUUAUUCAUAAUCCCGGAGAACAACACAUGAAAGCAGUAAUGCGGAUCCUAAGGUACCUGAAGUCAAAUCCAGGAAAAGGAAUCCUAUGUUCCAAAAAUGGAGAUUACAGCAACAUAGAAGUUUAUACUGAUGCAGAUUGGGCCCGGUCAGUUAGUGAUAGACGCUCUACCUCAGGAUACUUUACCUUAGUGGGAGGCAACCUUGUCACAUGCUGCUUCACUUGCUGCCAAUCCAGUUCAUCAUUCAAGAACAAAACAUAUAGAGAUUGAUGUUCACUUUGUGAGAGAUAUAAUUUCCAACGGCGGAGUGGAAGUAAGAUAUGUCCCUACUGAAUAUCAGCCUGCAAACAUCUUCACAAAAGCUCUUCCUGCUGAUAUGUUUCAACAGUUGCGAGACAAGCUACAUAUUCUUCCUAGAACAUUGCGCUUGAGGGGGCAUUAUGAAAAUAUUGUAGCAGAGCUACCAAACUUGAGUAAUACGAAUUCAAAGUUGUUAGAUGACAUGGCAGCACACUUGGCAUUCAUUGGUGUUUUGGAAAGUUAAAGUGAUCAACCUUAUCUCUUAGCUUAUCAUUAAUUCAAGCUGCACUUUUGUAUUUAUCAAGAUCAAGAUAAAGAUAACAAUUGUGCUAGGCUUGAUCUUAUUCUUGGCAUUAUCGUGUUUCCUGUAGAGCAUUAUAAAUGUAAUGAUUAUGAGAUGAAUAAAAUAACGAAAAUGUGUUUUGUUUCUUCUUUAAGCUCAUCUUUAUAAUUUAAGUUGGUAUCAGAGCAUGGCGAGCUCCAAUUCUGCGAAAUUAGUCAAUAUGAAUACUGUAAACCAAACACCACAAAUUUCUAAUUUUUUGACUCCUGUCAAAUUGGAUAGGCAAAAUUUUAUGAUAUGGAAGUCUCAAGUGCUACCUUCCAUUCGUGGUAACAAUCUUGAAAGCUUGAUCAAUGGAGCAAAACUUGUACCCACUAAAUUCUUGGUGCAAGUAGAAGAGGAUCAAACAGUAACGACUGUGGAAAAUCCAGAAUAUAUACAAUGGCUGAGACAAGAUCAGCUUUUACUUAGUUGGCUUUUGUCCACUAUGACUGAAUCAGUUUUAAGCAUAGUGGUGCAGUAUACAACCUCUUUUGAGGUUUGGAAUGCCUUGAAGACAUUGUUUGCAUCUCAGUCAAAGGCUAGAAUUUUGUAGCUCAAGAUGCAACUCCAAACCACGAAAAAGAAUGCUAUGACCAUGAGUGACUAUGUCAACAAAAUGAAAAAUUUAGCUAAUAGCCUGGCAAUGGCUGGAAAAUAUGUUACUGAAGAUGAUUUAAUUUCUUAUAUUCUUGCAGGUUUAGGAACUAAAUACGACCCUGUGGUUGUAAAUAUUACAGCAAGAACAAAUGAUUUAUCUCUGCCUGAAGUAUCCUCUCUUUUGCUCAAUCAUGAAAGUCGAAUGGAACAACUCUCAGCUGCUGCAAAUCUUGAGUCUAAAGGCAGUUUUAAUGCAAAUUUUGCAGGAGCUUCUUUUCACAAAAGGAAAGUUAUAAGAAAAGGCUUUAUGUCAGGAAGUUUAUGAGGCAAUGAACGUGGUAGAGGCAAAGGAAGAACCAAUUUUAGCCGUGGUGGAAAUAGGCCAACCUGUCAGAUAUGUGGCAAAUAUGGACAUUCAGGAUAUCAAUGUUUCUUCCGCUUUGAUCGGGGGUUCUCUGCAAGACAAGAGGCAACACAAGCAGGUCAAGCCUCUGCCUAUAUGGCACUCCCUGCUGAAGAAAUAGAUAAUGGAUGGUAUUUGGACAGCGGAGCAACACACCAUGUUACAAAUGAUUUAAACAAUCUGCAGAUUAAGUUAGAAUUUAAGGGAGGUGAGAAGCUGGUAGUAGGUAAUGGUAAAACUUUAGCAAUAUCUCACAUUGGCAGUGCACUUAUUUAUAUUCCAAACCAUGAACCAUUGUUGCUUAAUGACAUUUUAUAUGUGCCCAAAAUCACCAAGAACUUAAUUAGCAUUUCAAAAUUACUUUCUGAUAAUAAACUAAUGCUUGAUUUCUGUGACAAUGUUUGUACUCUUAAGGACAAAGUUCUGGGGAAGAAGCUGCUGCAGCGAAAAAUUGAAAGAGGCUUAUAUCGGCUACCAGUGCUUUCAAGACAAGCCAUUCUAUCUGAUUCAAAAAUUAUUUCCAAUAAAUCUUAUUAGUCUUCUCUUCCAUUUAGCUGUUUCAAUUCUAGCUCAACAAUAAGUUCUGUAAAUGAACAAGAAUUUAUUUCCAAUUCCAAGCCUAGCAGUUUUAUAAAUCUUUUGCACAGAAGGAUGAGACAUCAUCAUCUUGCUGUACUAAAACAAAUUCUACCUUUGUGUAACAAAACAAGUCAGUUAAAUAAAAAUCUCAUUCCUCAAUUCUGUGAUGCAUGUCAACAAGGAAAAAGUCAUAGGCAAACUAUCAAAGCAUCAAAUAGUAGAGCUUCAGAACCUUUAGAAUUAUUGCAUCUUGACUUGUGGGGGCCUGCACCUUUAAUGUCUAGAAAUGGCUACAAAUAUUAUUUGAGUAUUGUAGAUGACAACACACGUUUUACAUGGAUAUUUCCACUUAAAGUUAAAUUACAAGCGUUUGAAGCUUUUAAGUAUUUCAAAGUUCAAGCCGAAAAACAAUUAGGAAAGAAAAUCAAAAGUUUACAAACUGACGGUGGAGGAGAGUUUCAAGCAUUUACAAUUUUUUAAAAGAACAGGGUAUUAUUCACUGACUUUCUUGCCCACACACGCAUCAUCAAAAUGGUAGAGUGGAGCGAAAACACCAACAAAUUGUAGACACUGGUUUAACACUUUUGGCAUAGGCUGGCAUGCCACUCACUUUUUGGUGGGAUGCUUUUCAAACAUCUGUUUAUUUAAUUAAUAGAAUGCCUACUUCCAUCUUAGAAAACAAAUCACCAUUUCAAAUACUUUAUGAUGAAGAAUAGGAAUCAAUAUUAUACUAGGAUUAGUUUCCUUAUUAACUAAAGUUUAAGACUUUUAAAUUCCUUUCUAAUUUAGAAUUUUGUUUCCCUUUCAAUUUAGGAUUUUGUUUUACUUCAUGAAUUAGGAUAAUUAUUACUACUAUAAAUAGCUCCCUCUUGUAGCCUUUAAAGGCAGAGAAUUUUGAGUUUAAUAAUAUUUCAAUUUUCAAAUCUCUUUGUGAGUAUUUGAACAGUUAAUUCUCGGUAUUCUGCGAAAUCAACGAGUCUUAAAUCCCUAAGUUCGCGGUAUUCUUUUGAAUCAACAUGAAUUUAGUUGUUCUUUUAUUCUGGUAUUCUCUAGAAUCAACGGAAUAUUUUGAAUAUUAAACUUCCACUGCAUCACUUUACAAGAAAAUACCUGAUUAUUCUUUUCUAAAAGUUUUUGGAUGUGCUGUAUUUCCUCAUCUUCGAGAUUACAACAAACAUAAAUUAGAUUUUUGAUCAGAUAAAUGUAUAUUUUUAGGCUAUAGUACAGCUCAUAACGGGUAUAAGUGUCUCCACAAGUCAGGAAAAAUUUUUGUAAUGCGACAUGUUGUCUUUAAUGAAUAUGAUUUUCCUUUUAAAAGUGAUCCCUCCUUCAAAAUCUCAAAGAGUUAUCCAAAUCAUGAUUCUAGUACUCUCUUUCAGUCUCCUAUGUUUGCAGGUUUUGAAAGUCCUAGAGCCUAUAAGACUCUCUCGGUUAUUCAUGCAACAGACUCUCUACUAGAGUUGGUUCAUAACACAAUAGUUAUAGAUCAGGCAUCAAGUCAAGAUGAGGAAACCAAUUUUGAAUCCAACACCAAAAGCCCACCUGGAAAAGCCAACCUUGAAUCAAGCACUGAAAUCCAAGCAACUGAAAACACCACACAAUCUUUAUCUAUCCCCGCGUUUAUCAAUCAAGAAGCCGAUCACACAAUCUCUCAACCACCUAGUUCAACUCCUCAUUCUCAACAGCCAACACAUACACAAUCCACUCAUCCAAUGAUCACUCGUGCCAAGGCCGGCAUCUUUAAACCCAAACCUAGACUUUACCUAACAACCUCUCAUACCAAAAUAAGUGUACAUGCCAGUGUUAGUGAAGCUUUGGAAGAUCACAAUUGGCGUAAUGCUAUGACAGAAGAAAUGAAUGCUUUGGCUAGGAAUAACACACGGUGUUUAGUUCAACCUACUUCUGACAUGAAGAUUGUGGGAAAUAAAUGGGUUUUUCGGAUAAAACAAAAGGCUGAUGGUUAGAUAGAGCGAUAUAAGGCUCGGUUGGUUGCAAAAGGAUUUCAUCAGACCCCAGGAAUCGAUUUCAACGAGACUUUUAGUCCUGUUGUUAAAGUUGCAACAAUUCGAUUGGUGUUAAGUAUUGCUGUGAUGAAAAAUUAGGGUGUAAUACAACUGGAUGUGAACAACGCCUUUUUAAAUGGAGACUUAGUAGAAGAUGUUUACAUGAUGCAGCCUGAAGGCUUUAUCAACAAAGCACAACCAAAUCAUGUGUGUAAAUUGAGAAAAGCAUUGUAUGGGCUUAAGCAGGCUCCAAGAGCUUGGUUUGAAAAACUCAAGAGAGCAUUGAGUGACUGGGGUUUCACAAAUUCUAAAUUAGACACAUCACUAUUUAUUUUGCAGCAAGGAAGGGAUAUAAUAUUUGUCCUUAUUUAUGUGGACGAUAUUUUAAUAACAGGAAGUAAAGAAAGUUUGGUGCAAGAAGUUAUUGAACGACUUAAUUGUCAGUUUGCUUUAAAAGUGCUCGGACCAUUAAGCUAUUUCCUUGGUCUUGAAGCUCAUCGCACAGAGAAUGGCCUACAUCUUAGCCAACACAAAUAUAUUUGUGAUCUCUUGAAGCGCACAGAUAUGGAUGGCUGCAAGGAAACAUCUACUCCUAUGAGUGUAGUACCGAAACUUUCAGCUGAAGGUGGUAAGCAAUUUUCUGAUCCUACACUUUAUCGUAGCAUCGUUGGAGCCUUAUUAUACGUAACUAUUACUCGGCCUGAAAUUUCUUAUGCUGUUCAUCGUUUAAGUCAGUAUAUGCAAAAUCCUUUACAGCCGCAUUGGCUUGGGUGUAAAAGAAUCCUUAGAUAUUUACAAGGAACAGCUGAUUAUGGAAUUUAUUAUACUACCAAAGGAAGAAUGACGCUCACAGGCUAUACAGAUGCAGAUUGGGCAAACAAUAUUGAUGAUAGAAAAUCAACUGGAGGCUACUGUAUUUAUCUUGGCAAUAACUUAAUCUCAUGGAGUUCAAAGAAACAAAAUGCAGUAGCAAGGUCUUCAACUGAGUCAGAGUAUCAAGCACUUGCAAAUACCACAGCAGAAAUUUUAUGGCUUCAAUCUGUGCUUAAAGAGUUGCAGGUGCCACUAACUGAAAUUCCAAUUAUUUGGUGUGACAACACUGAAGCUGCUUCACUUGCUGCCAAUCCAGUUCAUCAUUCAAGAACAAAACAUAUAGAGAUUGAUGUUCACUUUGUGAGAGAUAUAAUUUCCAAAGGUGGAGUGGAAGUGAGAUAUGUCCCUACUGAAUAUCAGCCUGCAGACAUCUUCACAAAAGCUCUUCCUGGUGAUAGGUUUCAACAGUUGCGAGACAAGCUACAUAUUCUUCCCAGAACAUUGCGCUUGAGGGGGCAUCAUGAAAAUAUUGUAGUAGAGCUACCAAACUUGAGUAAUACGAAUUCAAAGUUGUUAGAUGACAUGGCAGUACACUUGGUAUUCAUUGGUGUUUUGGAAAGUUAAAGUGAUCAACCUUAUCUCUUAGCUUAUCAUUAAUUCAAGCUGCACUUUUGUAUUUAUCAAGAUCAAGAUAAAGAUUACAAUUGUGCUAGGCUUGAUCUUAUUCUUGGCAUUAUCGUGUUUCCUGUAGAGCACUAUAAAUGUAAUGAUUAUGAGAUGAAUAAAAUAACGAAAAGGUGUUUUGUUUCUUCUUUAAGCUCAUCUUUAUAAUUUAAGUAAAGGGACUUUUGCAUAGCCUCUGGUGUGUGUGUGAUUUCUCUUUCGUUUCCUCAUCAAAUUCUGUAAUUCUUGCUUCGAUAAAAAGCUUUUAAUCUCUUCUGUAGUGUGUGAUCAGUGCGUAAUCAUUUUGAGCAAUAACAGCUUGUGGGUUUUUCCUUCAAACAGUGUCGUUUUGGUCAGUUUGUUAGUUUCUGUGUUCGUCUGAUUCCAUUGCUCUUGUUCUCUGUUCUUGAUCUGUUCGUGGAAUUUUUCUUUGGUUAUUUGUUCUCAAAUUUCAACUGUAUAUAAAGUUUGAACUCUGAUUGCUUAUAAUGUAUUGAUUAAGAAUAAUCCUAAGAGUUCCCGAUUGAAAUUUUUAAUGACUAUUUUUAUUGUUUUGGAUAUACAAAUUGAAUUAAGAAAAAAUAUUGUCAAAUUCAGAGGAUAAGGGGAAAUAAUUAUGCUUCAAAAGGCCAGAGAUUAGAGAAUAAAGAAGCAUUCAUUACUCUAUCAAAAAAAAAAAAAAAAAAAAAGCAUUCAUUACUGAUAUACAAACUGCUUUUAUUUGGAUUUUGGAAGGGGUGAAGUUUUGAACUUCAGUUGUUCCUCUAAAAUCAAAAGCAGCAAUUAAGCGUUCUCAAUUAGAAAGAGCUAAGAAGACUUAUUGGUACCUUACUGAAGCUAACAUUAUGGCACAGUUGUUCAUAUAUAAUGGCUGCUCUGUUAUGCUAGCUUCUCUGUUUUUGCUUCUAUUUUUGCUUACAGUUUUGAACAUAAAUUCUUGCUCAAAUAACCCAUAAUUAAAUAACACUAAUAUGGCUCGUGAAAUCCCAUAAUAGCUAAUUACGCAACUUUCUCCUCCUCCUCAAUUCUGUCUUCCCCUGCUCGUACACUAAAUUCAAAAUUCAAUGCCCCGAAAAACAACACAAGAAAUCUUUGAGUUAAUUCGCGACCAGUUUAUAUAUAGUAGCAAUUGAAAAAGGAAAAAGAAUAAAAGAGUUCAUUAUUAUUCAGACCUUCACUUAUUAGGAAGUUUGUUCUGCUGUUGGGUGAGAUCAAGCUCUCAGCAUAUACUUCCACAUUAUACUUUCUAACAUUUUCUUGAAAGCCAUCAAUCAUAAAAUCUUCAUACUUUUUUCCAUCCUUUGGAUCAAUAAGUACAAAUUUCUCAUCUAAAACAGACAAAAUAAAAUCACUGUCCUUCAUGGAACAUAAUGGCUGCAAUGCCUGAACUGAAUUGGCUAAUGAAAUUUGAGUCCAGGAUUCUCUCAGCCCAUAUUCUUUCAUAAUCCAAAAUUCUUUUCUUUCUCGACAUGGAACAUAGUCUUCUUUUCUUUCUGGACAUAUGUCUCUGUACUUUUCUCUCUCUACUGAUCCACACUUUUUCAUACUUCUAACUAUCAUUUUGUUUUUUUUUUGUUAAGUUGUGAUUUAUUCAAUUAUUUUGUAUUUUUAAUGAAAAUUAUUUAAUAUUUAGUUAGUUUUGAUAUUGAUUAGUGAUUGAAAGUGUAUUUUAGAAGACUUCCGGUCUCUUGGAAAAAGGAAAAAUGGAGACGAAGAAGAAGUGUUCUUGAUUUUUUUGUAGGCAUUAAAGUUAAACGGUUUGAAAUGAUAUUUUGUUUUAAUUUCACUCAUUAAUCUCAUUCAGGAUAAAAUUAUAAAUGCAAAUAAAUGGGGUUUCAUGAGUUUUUUUUAAUAGUGUUAAAAGGUCUACUCACUAAAUAAAUAUGUUUAACCCAAACCAAUGCGAUUAGUAAGUUAUUGGGUUGGGUUGAUCAGGUUAAAAAUUAAAAUUAAAAAUUAAAUAAUUAAAAAAGGCAUAAAAACUAUCUGUUACUUGAAAAUAAAAAGAAUUUCUAAUAGUUAGUUCUAAUGUCCCAUAUCCAAAACAUCCAUAUUAAAUAAAUAUUAUAAGUUAGAAAUACAAUAUCCAAGAAAGAAUGAAUGAAAUACCAUAUUUUUGUUGAGAAUUAAGAGUGUGAUUUUAAUUUUGAUAUUGGAGUCUAAAGUGCCACGUUUAAAUAAUCUCUUUUAUAAAAUAAUAAAAAGAGAUUAAAAAUUAGGUUAGCCAUUUAGGCAUUCAGGGUUUAGCAAUUAAGGAUGAACAUAUUAUUGUUGUUGUUUUUUGUUGUUGUUGUUGUUGUUGUUGUUGUUAUUAUUAUUAUUUAUAUGUUUACUAAUCCAAUUUACGUAUAAGUACAAAAGUUUCAAAUAUUGUCUAUUAUUUUUUUAACAUGCCUAUUCCUUGUGGAUAAUUCUGUCUCAUCACUAAUGUUGUUUCUUGCUUACAAUUUGUAUAGCGUCUCAAAAUAGACAAUAGGGGGAUUUUGAAUUUUUUAAGUCUCAAUAUAGUCUCUUAUCUUGUGAGACAGAUUUUCUUUCAAUAAUUUGGAGGUAAACAUAACAUAACUUUUUGGACUAAAGCCUAGCUCUGCUAAUUAGUAAUUGGUGGUAUCCUUUUCAAGACCUGAGUCUUUAAAUUCGAGUUUUAUAUAGUGCGCAUGUGUAUUUAAUUAAUAUUUUUUUAAAAAAAUUACAUCAAAUACUAAUAUUCAUGACAUAAUUUAGUUCAUAAUGUUUUUUUAAAUACAUCGAAAAUAUAAUUUUUUAACAACUUAUAGGCAUGACAAAUUUCAAGAUAUAAAUAUCAGUCAAAAUAAGUGAAAGAAAUAAUGGUGCCAAUUCUAAUUUCUUAACUAAAUUAAUUACUGCAUGAGCCCCCAAUACGGCACGAGAGUUUGAUGGGCUAACUUGGCACAAGAACAAUAGUUAAUUGAUUUAAGAAAUAAUUCAAUGAAAAAUAUAAUUGAUAAGAAUUUAGUAUUGAAAUGAGUUUUUUUCGAAACACUGAAUUAAUGAUUAUUAAGCAAGAACAAUAAAAAAAAUAAAAUAAAAAAUAAAGAUUAACCAUUGAUAAGCUUCAACAAGAACUUAACACAACCCUCAAUCCUAAUUCAAAUUAUAAAUGUCAUUCAUAUAUUCAUUAUAAAUCAAUAACAAAGGUUAUAAAUGUUUAGAAAUUCUAGAGGGAAGGAAGCUAUCGCCGGGCAAUCAACAACUAAAUUUGAUGUAAUUGUGGCACAAGAUGGAAUAUGAAAACUACACCAUAAUUUCAAAUGCCGCCAUAGACAUUGACUUAUCUACAGUAACAAUGAUCUAAUUAAAAUUAAAAUAAAGUUUAUGGGCAUUUAUUAUAUUUGCCAUUCCUCAUUUGCAAAUAGGGAUAUAAUUAUAAUUUUACUUAGUCAAAGCAAUCAGUAAUUUUUAGGGGUGUUCAAAAUUCAAUCCGAUCCGCUCAAUCCGUCUGAUCCGUAGAAAUCCGAUCCGUAAAAAUCUGAUCUGUGGAUUGGUAGAUUGGAUUGAAUUGAAAAUUUGAUAAUCCGCAAUCGGUGGAUUGGGUAUGGAUCUACUUCUGUAAAUUCGUAAAAAUCCGUGAAUCGGCAAAAAAUAAAAAGUAUUUAUUUAUUAAAAAAUAAAACUUGUAAAUAUGGCAAUAGUACUUACUAGUAAAUAAAUAAGUUAAAAUAUAGUUACAUUAACACUAUAUUAUAUCUUAUCCGAUAAUAAUAAAAAAUAAAAAAUAAUUAAAUAAACAAAUAUAACUUUCUAAAUAGUUAAUUUUCAUGUACUGAUCUAAACGAAUGAGAUUUUUUUUUUUUCAUUUUGGUGUGUUAUGUUUUGAACUUUAAAUGUAAUUUUUAGUUUUAUUUAAACAAGUAAUUUAUUUAAAUCUUAUUUAAUUUUAAAUUUGAUCGGCAAUAAAAUUAUUUAUAUUAAUUUUUUUUUAUUUAGUUAGUUCGUAGAUUGGACAGUAUUAAAAAUUUUCAGUCCGUAAACCAAUUCGCAAAAUGGUGGAUUGGAUAUGGAUUGGGUCAAAUCCGCAUCCAAUCCGCAGAUGUAUGAAUUGAAUUUCACCAAUCCAUGAAUUGGAUUGGAUUAAAAAUUUAUAAUCCGCAAAAUCGUGGAUCAGAUAUGGAUUGAGGUCCAAUCCGUAAAAUUUGAUCCGGAAACACCCCUAGUAAUUUUCUUCAUUAUAGGAGUGAAGUAAAAACAUUUAGAUUUUAAUGUAUGUACGGAAAAAUUUAUCUUUAAAAAUACUUUCUUAAUGUGUGUAUAUAUAUUGAAAUACUCAAACCAAUUUUGGUUAUUAUAUAAUUAAACAAAUUUUAAAAUAUGAAAAAUAUAAUGUAGUUAUAGUGGAUAAACAAUAAGUGAGCGCAAUAUAAUUAAUCAAAUAUCAUGCCAUCAAAAGUUAAUUUUAGAAAUUCCAAAUCCAACAGCCAACACAAUUCUUUUAAAAAAAAGCUGACACAAUUAAUAAAAUUAGUGACAUGAAUUUCACACCAUUGAUAAUAAGCAAUUAGUAUUACUUUCUAAACUUGCUUCAACUGGUCGUUGAUGUCCGGGGUCACCAAAAGUAUAAGCAAUAAUAAGGGGCAUUGGGCAAGAGUGAUGAAUGUUUAGUCGGUGCAUUUGAUUGCUAGAUAUAUAAAGGGCCGAAACUUGAGAUUAUAUUACUUUUACAAAUUUUAAUCCAAUCACAUAUUUAAUGAAAACAAAAUGAGUUAGGAUACUUUAUUUAGAACCCACAUUUUAAUAAGGCUUCAUUUGAUGUAGUUUUUUAAACAGUGAUUAUUUAAGUAAAUUUUCCUCAAUAGAGUUUUUAUCAAACAAAUUUAUUUAUUUAGUUGUCGAUAAGAGUUUUUAUUAAAAAUUAUAAAAUUAUUUAAAUAAACAUGUUUUUUAAAAUUACAUUAUAAAAAUAAUUAAAUAAAAUUAUAAAAGUAAAAUAUAUUUUAGAUAUUUUAAUAUUUAAGAAAAAUUUUCAAUCUCUACUUUCAAAAGCUCAAAUUUUUAGCUUUUAGUUGUAGAGACAAAAUAUUUUAUUUAAUCUUUAAAAGUUAUGCUAAAAACAAUCAAAUAACUACAAAAAUUUUAAUAAGAGUAUAUAAAAUUAAAUGGUAAUUUUUAAAAACCUCCCCUGAGGUUUGGGCUUGUUGCAAGUAGAUGGCGAGAAUCCAUUUAUUUGUAACAAACCCCCUACCGUCAGUUAAUUUUUGCAUUAACCGUUAGUUGACUGUGCAAAGACAAUAUUGUCCCUAAUGACAGUUUGUAGACUGACAUAGCUAAAAAAAAUGCUGAGAUUGUCGGCACGAAAAUCACAAAUAAUUUUUUUUUGACAAUUUUGUCCUUGUUAAUUCCAAGAUUUACAAUGUCAUAAGUAAGGAUUAUGACUAUUUUACCCUCUUAAAAUUAUUGAUAAUUCCUUAAAAUUUCUACAAAAAAGAUAAAAUUAAAAACUUGAAGAAAAAUAAAGUUCUCAAGCCGGCUAACCAAACACAUAGAAUAAAAAAUCCAUCGUUUGACAACAAAAACAACUUUCCAUAAACCCAAACAAAAAUAAACAAGUCCCCAUUACUCUAAUUGGCUUUGCUUGGAGCUGUUACUAUUGUGCAUACAUUUCUAGGCAAAGCAAAAUGACCCCAUGAUAUAAACCUUAUAAAACAUGCCUCCACUAUUCUUAAUUUUGGUAUAAUAAUAAUAAUAAUCACAAAAAAUUAAUUGAAAACUUGACUAAUUAUCUUUGGUGGAGAAUUUUAAACCGAAACCGAUUCAGGAACCUUAAAUUGAUCAAAAGGAAGCUAAUAAUGACAAAAAAGUAACCGAUCAAAAAUCAUUAAGCAUAAAAAAAUAUUGAAUUUAAAUAACUAAAAAUGCCAUCGGAAAUUGAAAUUAAUUAUUUAACAUAUAGCAUGAAAACAAAUCUUCACUAUUGGUGCUAGGCGGCUGUCGUUUAGCUUGGUUCUAAGAGGUGGCAGUCAGUCAACUUCGAGACGGUGCGUUCGAAGUCAACUAAGCUGCAGCAGAGGUUGCAGGGGGCAGAUUGCAGCGAAGUCGCGGUGGAGCAGAGGUCGCGUCGCGGUGGAGAAGAGGUCGCGUUGCGCUGGCUUGGCUUCACGGUGGUGGGAUGGCUGGGCGGGCUGGCCAGCUGUGUGCGCAUUGUAUAUGAUUGUUUUUCACUUUUUUAAUAUUUUCUUGUGCAUUAGUUCAGAUUAGAUUAGUGAGUUUGUGUGUGUGUUUGCAGUUGAUUUGGUUAAGAUAUUUAGGUUAAAAUAAUUUUUUUUAAUAAAUUUUUUUUUUCAAAAUGUCAACAAUGCCCACAACUACCCAAAUGGCAACUAAGCAGAGUAAAAACGUAGGGGUUUUUUUUUAUAAAUAAAUAGAUUCUCGUCAUCUAUUUGCAACAAACUCAAAUCUCGGGGGAGGUUUUUAAAAAUUACCCUAAAAUUAAAUAAGCAUUUAUUAAUAAUCACUUUGGUAUACUUAUCUAAUGACCAUAAGUGUUUAUUUAAUCUCAUAAGUUCUUAUUUAAUCUCAUGAGCUCUUUUCAAUUUUUUUUGUUGUUUGUUUUUUAGUAGAGUUUUUGAAAAUUAAAUAAACUAUUUUGUCUCUACUAGAAAAAACUCAAAUUUUAGAUUUUUGUGAGUAAAUGUUUAAUUUUUUAAAAAAAUAUUAAAAUAUCUAAGAUAUCUUUCCUUUAUUUCAUAAUCUUAUUUCAUUUUUUCAUAACAUAACUUUCAAUAACUUACCUAUUAAAAUAAUUUCACAAUUUCUAAUAAAAACUCUAAUUGACAAUUAACAAUUUUUUUUUGUUUGUAAAAACUCUAUUUAUAAAAAAUCUAAUAAAAAUUCUAUUUAAAUAAAUUAUAUUUGAAAAGGUGUACUAAACCAACCUAAGAUAAAAACAAAAAUUUUUACAUCCAGACAAUUAAGCUUAAAACAAUUUCAAAUGAAUUUUAGACUAAUCAAAGUACAAUACGUACCAAGUUUGGUAACUUAUUGACAUCUUCUCAUAUAACCUUCGAUCAAGUCGAUUCUCACCUGACGACUAAUUGGUACAUCACCGUUGUUCUCUAUACUCGCAUGCAUCCGAUCACAAAUCUCACUCCAAUUGUCGUCUUUCUUCGGCGUUUUAGCACAUCCUUCUUGAAUUUCCCGCAUUUCGUUCCCUCCUGUUACAAGUCUCCGGUCAGGUCAGUUCUCUUGACGAUUAAUUCGGCAAAUCUCGAAUCUCUUCUCGCGUCGUUUCACUUCAAUUUUUUGUGUCUCCUUUCAGUUUUAGUGAUUGAAUCAAUUUUAUUGCAGUCUGAGAGAAAUUAAGUAAUGCUCUUGGAUUUAAAUUUUUUUUGCUUUCGACUUUAGAUCUCGAAAGUCAAACUCUGCUACGAAUCCUUAGAUUCUCAAUGUUUAUAAUCUUAUUUGUGUUUGACCAGGUAACUGGAUCGUGAAAUUCGUCGUUUUGUAUCAAUUCAAGCUUUCGCGAGCUCAUGGAAUCACCUGGUGAGUUGUGGUGAAACGUUAUCGUUUCAAUUUUCGCUUAAUUCUUUAUUGCAUAUUUUUUCUCUAACAUUUCAGUUUAAUUUAGAAAAGAAAGAGGACCCAAAAAGAGAGAGAGAGAGAGAGACUCUACCAUACUCAAUUCCUUGCUCAUUCUGAUUUGGCCUGAAUGUUGGCAUUGACUAUUAUUUGUUUUCAUUUCGAUUUAAUUCUCAUUUAGACAGUCUUUACUAACGGUCAAUAAUAGUUUAAGGAAAAUGAUAAUAGGGAUUCUGCAAUAAUCUUUUUAAGGAAAAUGAUAAUAGGGAUUCUGCAAUAAUCUUUUUAAGGGAUGUAUAACUUAUUAAUCAGAGUCCUGUUAUUAUGGUUUGACACUACUGACAUAUUGUGUUGGUAUUUAUUUGUACUUCCCUUGGUUGAAUUAUUUGCUGUCCCCAUGCCAUUCGAUAUGGUGCUACUUGGUUUUUGAUCAUCCAUGACGCUAUAUAUAUGUAAAGGAUGAAUUGAUUGUUUUGGCUUGUAUUCUCACAUUUUAUGAUUGAUCGAUGGAAAGGUCUUCAUGUAUUAAAUUCAACCUCACAAGCGUAAGAUUGACAGAUUCUGGGCAAAUUUUCAGGAAAAGAAACUAGACUUCAUGGAAGCAAUGAAGCUUGAAAUUGAACGUCUGCAGCUGAAAGGGAUAGAGCUUUAUUGUCAAUUGGAACUGAUCCUGCCUCUAUAAAUCCAAAUGUAUUGCUUGAUGAAUCUUACAUGGGAAGACUGUCGAGUAGCAACCACUCUUGCAUUACUUGGCCAAACUUCCCUAGAAGACAAAAUUGUUGGUGCAAUGGCCUUGAGAAUAGUGAUGAUAGUGUUUUAGACUUCUGGAAUAUUACUAGAAUCGGAGAGAGUUGUUCUGGUGGCGCGUGCAAGGUUCGUGCAGAAACUAAGGUGCCUGCUCUUGCUUCCUCAACUGCAGCAUCUGUUGGAGCUUCACAAUCCCCUUUGUUGUGUUCUCUGUUGUGUUCUCUGUUGUGUUCUCAAUGUGAAAGAAAAGUUUGCAAAGUUUGUUGUGCAGGAAGAGGAGCUCUACUGUUUUCAAAUUAUAAAUCAAGGGAUGUGACCAACUACAAUGGCUUCUCAAGUCAGAGUGGAUCAAGCCAUGGAAGCCAAGUUGAUGUAUCUACCAGUCGUUCACUAACACUGGAUGGCGUUAUCUGUAAACACUGCUGCCAUGAGAUUGUGCUUGAUACAAGUUCACAACACCAUUACAAAGGAUUCAAAAUUCCCACACGAAAACAUCAAUGUACAGAUUAUAAACAAUCCGAAUUGGACACAAGAAAAACCCUUCAAUGGAUUGCUUGCCUUCCCAAUGCUAUAUACUGUGCAAACUGCGCACUGUCCAAGAAAAUGUUUUCAAUUUAGUGUAUUUUCAAAAUGCUUAUUUUCUCAGAAUAUAUAAAAAAAAAAAAAGAAUUCUUACAUGUUUCAUCAGCAUGAUUAAAAUCAAAGAAGAAAGCGAGACAUAAUGUCUCUGACAUAAUAAAAUUACAAAAAUUUAAAAAAAAAAAAGUUAAAACAUGUAAUCUUCAUAAGCAUAUAAUAAAAUAACACUUCCACAAAUUACUACAAUUUCAUGCAGUAGAGAUUGAAGAGUUGAAUUCCACUUAUAGACACCGACCUCUUAUUUUGUCUAAUGUUAACAAUGAAAAUAACAACAGUAAUGAAAACAACAACAGAAUACAACAACAGAAAACAACAAUCCGCUCUGCAAAUUCUCUUGGGACUUGGUUCCAAUUCCUCUUCAUCCGAAGUUCCACUCGAAUCAAAUUCACUUGCAGCAGUUCCACUCGCGCUUGGCAAAUCAUCCAAUUUCCAAACUUCGGUAGCAAAAUUGAGAGUAAAAGUGUUGGCUUUGGUCUCGCUGGGAUUUGCAUAUACUGGACAUACUCCGUAACGUUUUACCUUGUGACCCUUUUGGUUUUGGUAACAAUUAUUGAAGAACUUAAGUGAGACAGUUGUAUGAUGGUAACCAUCAGGAAAGCCAACAUUCAAGCAAGGUUUAAAACCAAGUAUGACAUGAUCUGAAUCAAGGGAGUAUUUAUUUCUAACACUUGUGGUUGCGGGCCCACUGAAACCUAGAUCAACAUGUUUGGUUUCAGAGAGAGUCUUUAUUUCUAAGUCGAGUUGAGAGCGGCCGAAAACAUUGCAGCAAUAACAAGAACCAACUUUCUUAAAAUUAAGAACCGCACAAAAAGCAAACCCGAUUAAGUUUCUGCAAGAAGAGUGCGGUGGCAGUUGAAUACCUAUCGAAGAUCCUGAACUUUGAUUGUUGAACCAGUCAGGAAUUUCGCUCCCAGGUAAAACAAUUAGGGAUGUCCUGAGUUCAGAAAGUUUCUGUGAAAUGACAUUUAAAAAAAGAAAAUUGUAAAAUGAAAACCAUGAUUUCAGAUAUAACAAAGAGGGACAGAGUAAACAAGAGAGGGAACUUGAUGCGUUCUAAAUGUUCCAUUUUCUCCAAGAUUUCUGGGAAACGCUCAAGGUUCAAGCAGCCAUGAAGAAAAAGCUCAACCAAAGAUUUCAAUUUACAAAACCUAGUUGAAAUCCUCUUCAGCCGUUCGCAAUCCCUCAAAUCCAACUUUUCAAGAUCAGUUAGGCACUCUAUUGAUGAUGGAACUUCUUCUAUUGCAGACUGGCUUAAGUAUAGCCGUGUAAUUUUCCCAGAAAUCUGUGGAAACUCUACGAGAUUAACACAAUAGGAGAAAUUAAUAGUUACUGGACAAACAAAAUGAAGAUUGCUUGGAAAAGACCUAAGACUUUUGCAGCCCACAAAAUCCAACCUACUGAGAUACUUGAAAUUCUGGAUAGAUGAGGGAACACAAGCCAUUUCUCCUUCCCAAAUUUGCUCAACUUUACUAAAACGCAAAUUCAGUCCAACAAGGUUCUUUGGCUUGAAAUUUGAUGGCAGUGUCCUUAAUGGAUAUGUGUCCCAAUGAAGAUAUCUCAAUUUUUUAGGAAGAUAAUCUAGGCCAUUUGGAAGCUGCACUUUAGAGUACGAAAGUUGCUCUUCAAUGCUCAUACUUAGAAGCUUUUCAAUCUCAUACUUAGGUACAUAAAAUUUGAGCAAUCUCAGAUUAGACAUAUUUGUGAAGGCUCCGGGGUCUAAAUUGAUGCCUUUUAUUUUGGACAAAUCCAAAAAUAUGCCUUCAAUUGCAUCGGUCCCCUUAUUAAAAAAAAAAAAAAAACAAAGAAUGGGUAAGCCUAAAACAGAAAAGAAACAUUCGUAAACUUUAUUAACUAAGAGCUCCUAAAACAAAACAAAUUCUACGAUCUUUGAUCUUAUUUUUUUAAUAUAUUAAAUAUCUAUAUGCGAGAAAAGAAAAUUUUGGGAACCAUUGCAAAAUUAAACUAACCGAAAAAAAAAAUCAAAAUUUCUCUAAUUUACAAACCUGUUAUCUUACUAUCUAGAAGUUGAGAAGACAGGGCCUAUUUGAUUGGUAUAAGAUUUCGAUUUUUUUUUUAGUCCAUAGAAUCCAAAAUGUUAGUUCAAAAUUAGGGAAAAAAAUGAAAGUUAUUUUUUUUCCACUAGUUGUAAUUGUAUCCAAGUCAAAUUGAGAUAUGACCCUUUUCGAAAGGAUUUAAUCAUCUUAUAGCCUCCUUAAAGGAGUGAUUGGAGGCCUAACUAGGUAGGCCAAUCAGUCCAUUUUAUUAGCGACUAUUGCUUAAAAACAUUUAUACUCUAAAACACACUUACUUUUUUGAAAAAAAAAUAUAAUUAUAUUGAAGUAGAACCAGGUGGGCCAAUCCUCAUGGCACUCACUUUGUUCUGACACUCUUCACUAAAUUUGAAAAAAAAUAAAAUUAUACUCUUCACACUCUUAUUCAACAUUCCAAAAUUGAUAAAAUCUGGAGUUUUCAUUAAAAAUUUAAAAUUUGAAGACUUGUUCUCUUGACACCCUCAGUCAUUAAUUUUACCUAAUUAUGGUUUUUAUGAUUUUGGUUGUUUUGUUCAUAAAAAUGAUUUUACUAAAGGAUGUUCUGGUAAUAAUAAAAUUUAUAAAAAAAAACAUGGUUGUGCUGGUAUGAUUGGAAAAAUAUGAGUGCAUAACUCCAAACAAAUAAAAGAUAUAUAAAAAAAAAUGGAGGAUUCUUACCAUAUUAUGCUUUAGUACGCGGCGGAUUUCCUUAGGAUCCCACAACCUCUUGCGUUUGCCUGGCUCUUUCUCAGAUUCUUGGCGUCGCCCCAUUUCUUGCAAUAUAUCAUGCAUUUGCAAGCGGUUAUAUGACACUGUUAUGAGUGACUUAUCAACAAGGACAUCCAGUCCAACAGACUCAGAAUCAUCAAGAAUCCUUGCCACAAAAUCUUUAUCCUCUCCCUCAAAGAAACACGCAAUAUCUAGAAAUAUGCUCUGCACCCUGGGCGUUAAUUCAUCAAAACUAAUCUUUAAUUUCUUAUAAAUAGCAUGAAUAUCAGAUUCACAAAUCCGAUUUAAGUCGUGCAAUACUUUUCCCCAAUGGCUUUUCCCCUUGAGGGAGGAACCCAACACUUUAAGAACUAAUGGAUUGCCAUCAGCAUACUUUACAACUCUCCGUGAGUCAGGUUUGAAAUCUUCAGGACAAUGCUUUUCUUUAAAAGCGAAGUUACAAAAAUGCUCGAAAGCCUCAUGAAAAUCCAUUCCAUUAACCCUAUAUAUUUUCUUCUCCUCCACUCCAAAUUUUUCGAGGACUCCUUUAUCCCUAGUGGUUACAACAAUUCUACUUCCUGGAACAAAUUGAUCAAGCUCUCCAAUCAGACCCUCUAAUUGUCCAACUUCAUUCACAUCAUCGAGUACUAUCAACACCUUCAUACGCCGGACCCUCUCUUUAGUAAAAUGUGGAAUAUUGGCACCAGCUACUUCAAGUUUUUCGCUUAAUAUUGUUGAAAGCAUUUCCUUUUGUAGGUCUUCUAGGCCACCCUCUGUUUCUGAUUUUCUCCUAACAUUUUUUGCAAAGUAUUUACCAUCAAACUCACCAGAGAAUUGAUUGAAAAUAGCUUCAGCAAGGGUGGUUUUGCCGAUACCACCCAUGCCCCAAAUUCCAACAAUUUGGACAGUAUCCGACAAAUCCAUACACAAAAAUGGUUUAAUCUGCUCAAUUCGUGAAUUUAAUCCAACUAGGCCGUUGGAUGAGUCCGUUGAGACUGUUAUUUUUUCCAACUUCUUCAAAACAUCUUCGACAAUUUUGUUUACAAGUUCCGCAUCGUGCCUAAUAUAAAGGUGCAAAGAUGCAAAAACAUUGAGUCAAAUCGGGCCAACACAGAAACAGAGAUAAGAUGAAUUAGGAAAGAGAGUUACCUGAAUUUCGUGGAUUCGUGGCCAGCAAGACCGGAUGUUUCUCUCAGUGCAUCCCUCCACCUCUGAACCAUUUCUGGCUUCUCUUUGAACUGUUGUUCGAGCUUACCAAAGCCGACCCCAAAAAUCCCAGUUUGAUGCCGCACAUCGGACGGACUUACGCCAUAGAAAACCGGAAUAAUGAUUUGGCCGUUUGUGUGCUUGCAUUCAAGAAUCUCGACAAGUUCAUACAGGCACCAUUUUGAAGAAGCGUAGUCCGUUGAGAAAAUGACCACCGAAAUUUUUGAACCUUGGAUUGCGUUCAAAAGGGCAGGUGAAAUCUCAUCUCCGCGCCUAAGCUCUUCAUCAUCAAUAAAUGUUCUGAUUUUCUUUCUUUUAGACAAAGCAUCAUAGAGAUGGCAAGUAAAGAUCGCACGAGUGUCCUCCCCUCUAAAAUUGAGGAAGACUUCAUAAAUGCAAGGAGAAGAAGCCAUGAAGGAAAUAUUAGAAAUUUGGUGACAGAAACAGAGAAUUAAUCUUGAGAGCUGAGAGAGGAGAUGUAAGAAUGAACAUGUGUGAAUAUUCUUGCGAGUACAUAGUAAAUAAUUGAAUGGCUCGAGCUUUCUUAGUUUCCUGGAAAUUUCCUGGAGCUUUCGUAUACAUGAUUUGUCAAGUCAAGAAACAUAGUCAUGAUAAUGGGGCAGACCAGGAAGAAAAGGAAAUUGGAAUUUUGUACAAUUUCUCCAGCGAGGAACUUUCACUGUCAUUACCUCACCGUUACAGUUUGGAUUAGGGUAAUUUUUACCCCGCACCCAAAUGUUUUGACAUACAGCACAACGCACCCAAUUCUUUUGCCCAUGAGCACCGCGCACCCAUUUCCGUUUAUUUUUCAGUUAACUGUAACAGAUCAGGGUAAAAUUGGAAUAACGCAUCAAAAUUUAAAAAUAAAAAAAUAGGUAAACUCGAUGUUUGCGCCAAAAUAAUUUCACAUCACUGUGCUUAUGUUCACUGCGUUUGCGUGUGAGACCAAGAAGCAUGGCCACACCUCCAUUGAUGCCAAAAUCGAGGAGGUGGGUGAAGAAGAAUUGGCGCCAAAAUCAUUCACAUAUGAUGUGCAAGGAAAUUAUUUCAGCCUUUAAAUACUUUUUUAUUACAGCAGCAUCAGCUAUUGCUCUGUUUCGAAGAUCUGCUCAAUUUCUAAGACAAUAGUUGGUUUGAGAGUUUAAGGGAAGUGAAUCCACUGAGCGUGCUAUUGAAGAAGUGGAGGUCAGUUUCAUUUCUUGCUCAAUUGUUUUAAUUUAUUCCAUUUUGUUUGCAUGUCAAUUAUUUACACAUUUUUAGCUGGAUUUUGCUUAUCUAUAAAACUUGAAUCAUUGUUAAUCAAAUCAGCUAUAAUUUACGCCUCAAUGUGGUUUGUAAGUUUAAGUUAUGUUGGAUUAUACCUGAAUAAUGUGGUGUUUGCGUUAUUGAUUUCAAUUUCUAUUGAUGAUUUUGAGUAUACAUAUUAGUGGAUGAAAGUUUUUAAUUAGGAUGAUUGGUCACGCAUAUAUGUCAUAGCAACUGUGUUUUUUUGGGUUAUGGUUGUACUGUAGAUCAGUAGUAGUAGUGAUUUGGAUAUAAACGCUAGUGCUUUUAUUGUAAAUGAUAGUGAUGAAGAUCCAGUGUUACAGAAUUUGAUGUAAAAGUUAUUGGUUUUUGGCUAAAUAUCUUAGAUAAAUAUGAUGCUCAUGCAAUCAAAUCCAAUGCUUAUGCAAUUUACACCAUGUUUAUGAUAAGUAAUUAAAAAAAUAAAUGACUAUUCCAGGUGAAAAUGGAUGAUGAUGAUAUUACAACUGUUCUUUGUACAUUCAAGGGCAAGACAUAUAAUGUUGGUGUAAUUGAUCCAGAUAAGUUUAGUAGAGUUUCUGUAAUUAACAAGGUUUUAGUUAGAGUCUAUGGAAGAAAGAUGAGGCCUGAUGAGAAGUUUACACUAAGUGUUUGGGUACCAUGGGUCUAUAAGGAAGUAGAGAUUAUGUCUGAUCAUGACUUAAUAUUCCAGCUGAGAGAGCAUAAUAAGAUGUUGUUCUACUGCAUGCAAUUGUAUAUUGAAGAAAUCCAUGUACCUCAUGAGUUUGUACCUAGAAGGGCUUUGUUUCAGCACUCAGCAGAAGAAAGCUUACAAGGGUAUGCUGAAACAAACUUUCCAGCCACUACUGACCUGCACAAACCUUAUACACAUGCUACAUCCACCAACACAAAUCCUUAUGAAAAUGACAGUAAUGACCAUUCGAACCAUGAACCCCCUGUCAAGAACUCCAGCAGCAUAAUGAUGCAUAAUGUUGCACUUGAUAGCAUCCAAUCACAGACCAAACCAGAUACCAACCCUGACCUAUAUCAAGACUUUUUGGAUACCUAUUUCAGAUCAUCACCACAACAGAAAACACCAUCAGCUGCCCAAACUAAUGCCGAAAAUAGUGAUAGUGAUAACACAUCUUCAUUUGGUACAAAUAAGACUCCUACUGAGCAGCUUCAACAAAACUUUGCCAUCUCUUCUGAGUUGUCCCCUUUAUUGCAGCAACAUGGACAUCAUGCAUCCCAAAAUGAACCUAUACCUUUUCACCAACCUGAGUUCUCAUCUCAACCAAUAACUCAAAACCCUCAGUCACAAGUUGUACAAGCAGAAAACUUCCAGCAACCAGAAGCCACUACACCAGCACUAGUAGAUUAUAACUCAGAUGAUAGCCAUUAUAGUGUAACUGAUAGUGAGGAAGAUCCAGAUCAUCCAUUAGGUGCUCCAAACAUUAAUAAUACUCCUAGGAAACCUUCUGUUAAUGUUGACUUAGGCUCUAUGCCUUCUGAUGAUAGUGAUGAAGAUUGUAUGCUAUCUGAUUGUGAGAGUGAUGACAAUGAGUUUGGGGAAGAAUCUGAUGAAGAGAUUGAUCAAGUGCUGGUCAGAAUGGAUGCUGUUAUGAGAGAGAACAUGUACAUUCCUAGUGAUACACCUGUUCAAUUCUUUAUUGGGCAGUGUUUUAGGAACUUCAGGCAGCUGGCAUGGGCAAUAAGGACUUAUGCUGUGGAAAACAAGUUCAAGGUUUAUAAGCACAAGUUUGAAAAAUCCAGAGUAACUGUUGGAUGUAAUUAUUUCAGGUGCCCAUGGUUUUUACAUGUUGCAAAAACUAGAUUUGGACAAACCUUUAUUGUUAGGAGGCUUCACAACGUACAUACAUGUCAGAGAGACUUAAAGAAUCCUGAAUGCACUGCAGAGUUCAUUGUUGCCAAGUUUGCUGCAACUAUAAUUGAGCAUCCAGAUACAAAGGUUGGGUGGAUUCAAAGUGAACUUAGAAGGAUGUAUGGAGCUAAGAUACACAAGUAUAAAAUUUAUAGAGCAAAGAAGAAGGUUUUACAGAGACAAUGAGCUGAUUAUGAGUCUAGUUACAUGUUGAUCAGAAAUUAUGCUCAGGCCAUACUUACUAAGAUGCCACAGGCCUUGGCAUUGGUUAAGGUUUUCAGGAUGCAUGGUCAACAACCUCAAACUCACUUUGACAGCACUGUUAUAUCUUUCCAUGCCCUCAGAGAUGGCUUCAACCAAGGUUGUAGACCCUUCAUUGGUAUUGAUGGAUGCCAUUUGAAGGGUCCAUAUAAGGGUGUUCUUUUAUCAGCAGUUGCUAUUGAUGCCAACAAUGGAAUCUUCCCACUUGCAUUUUGUGUAUGUAGUGUCGAGAGUACAACCAGCUGGACAUGGUUUCUAAGCCACUUUAGGGAAUUUUUACAAGAUACAAGACAACUGACCUUUAUGUGUGAUAGGCAGAAAGGAAUUCAGAAUGCUCUUGCCUUAGAGUUUCCUAAUGCACAUGUUAGAUUCUGUGCUAGACACAUCUUAGCAAAUAUUAAGUUAAAACAUCCUCAAUCUGACUUUAAAGCAUAUUUCUGGGCAGCAGCAAGAGCAUCAAACAGAAGGGCAUUUGAUGAUGCUAUGCAAAACAUAAGAGCAGCACAUGAGGGUGUAUAUGAGACUCUUAGGAGGAUACCACCAAAUUUCUGGUCAAGGCAUGCCUUUGACAAUAAUUGCAAGUCUGAUCAUUGCACUAACAACGUAACUGAAUCUUUUAAUGCAUGGAUUGGGAUUCAAAGAAAGUUGCCAAUAAUCUCAAUGCUGGAGUGGAUUAGGAAGAAGCUGAUGAAAAGAAUGAUUGGAAGAAGAAAUAAGGCAGAGUCUUGGGACAGUGAUAUACCAAGAAGAAUUUAUGCACAAAUGAUGAAGAAUUUACAGAUUGGCAGUGCAAACCCUAUCUGUAGAGCUAGUAAAUGGCUUUAUGAAGUGGAUGAAAAUACCAAGACUUAUAUCGUUGAUCUUGAACACCAUAUGUGUGACUGCGGACAAUGGCAAGUUAGUGGGAUUCCAUGUGUACAUGCAAUGCCUUGUAUUGUGAAUAGUCAAAAAGAUCAAGCUCAGUUCAUUAGCCAAUGGUUGAAGAAAGAUACUUACCUAAGGUGUUAUUCUGGAUUGAUUAAACCAAUUCCAGAUAGAACGUCAUGGGUAGAUGCUGGUGGUGAUGAAAUACUGCCCCCUUUAGUGAGAAGACCACCUGGACGACCUAAGAUGACAAGAAGAAGAGAAGCUGAUGAGGUACCAGCACAUAAUAAACGAUACAAGAUGCAAUGCACUAUUUGCAAGGGAUUUGGACACAACAGAAGGGGUUGUCCUGUUAACCCUCAUAAUGCUCACAAGACAACAAGACAAUAUAAGGUGAGUGUGUAUGCUUGUAAGAGAAUAUUCAAUUAUUUUUUGAACCAUGUUCCUCCCAUGUGAUGACAGCUAAUGUGCCUUGUUUGUUUGUGCUUUUUUAUAGAAUAACCUGAAGAAGCACGUGACAAGGACAAAUGGGGAGCAAAGUGAAGGUAUAAGAGUAAUUUACUAAGUUAUAUUACUAUAUUACUUUACAGCUGUAUUAGAUAAUUAUAUAGUUGUGUAUCACCAAACUAUAUUAAAUUAACUUAUUUAUUUAACGUUGCUUUAUUGGUAAUUUAUAAGGCCAAGUUCACGGAAUUACCUCAACUAUUUUGGAAAGCCAAGACAAUGACAUGGUCCAAGUAACUGUCUCAGGCCAAAACAUAACAAAGAACCAGCAGACUGCAUCUAACAAACGCAAGAUUGGCAAUCAAGCAGGGCCAUCAAAAGCAAAUGAAGUCAUUGGCAAGAGCAUGAAUGGGGUCAUAUCUGUAGCUCCAUGGGUAGGUGAACAGGGAAGAAAAGUAAUGUCAGCCGCUGGAUUAACCUUCAGCAAAGAGGAUGAAGUCGGCAACUAUACUGAAAUGAAGCAUUUGGACAAAGGGAAGGCACCAGCCUUCCCUUCGUAAAGGGUAAAACCAUAGUUUUCUAUUGAUAUAAAUUAAUAUUGGUUUUGGAAAUGAUAUUUAUAAUUUGUAACUUGUUUUGUAGUGAUUCUUUGGCUAUGAUGGAGACAUUGGCAGCAAACUUAUUAACAAACAGUGGAGGCAACAUUAUCAUUUUUUGACACCUUCCACAAUGCCACAUCAACCCACCAGGCACAAGGUUAAGGUUAUCUGGAUGCUGAUUUCAUUAGGAUCAAGUGGCCAAGUAAUGACCAGGCAUGUCAUUGUUUUCUUUUUCUUUUUUAUUUUGGAGCUGAAAUUGGUGGAAGUUGUUGGACAUUAAGCUUAAGCAUUAUAGAGCUGGAAGCUGUGAUGACCUACUAUAAGUAUGAUUGGAAGGGUUUAUGGCAUUUUGAAAGUUUUUGGGAUUAAGAUACAUAUAGGACUGAUAUCAACCAAACCAACACUUUUUUUUUUUGUUUUUUGGUCACAUGUAUGUAAACACCAGAUUGGAUGUGACUAACAUUGUAAGUUGCUGCCAAUAUGCAUUUAUAGAUAAAAUAACUUAUUGCUAUUAUUGAUAUCAUAUUUGAUUAAAUGGUAUAUGUCAAGAAACGAAUGCAUUUUAUUGAUCAUAAGAUUUCAUUUUACACAUUGUUCUAGCAUUCCUUACAGUACAAUACAAGCAAUACAAGUAUAGUUAUCACUAUAAUCGUGAUUUGAUACUUCUUAUUUUUAUGAAGUAAACCUUCAAUAUUGAUGAACCUGUUGUGGAAGUCCUCAAUGUUAAAUUGUUGAAUCUCACUUGCCCUGUCUGCAGCUUCUUCUUCAAACCUUUGUAACGCUGCUUCAAUUUCUAUAGCCUCACCUGUAGAUGGUUUCCACCAUCUAAAGAAACCACAAGAUGGGUCAUUAGGGCAUGUGUAAUAUAGUUUGUUGGGGUUUGUUUUUGAUUCUGACACUUUGAUUUCUGCCCUUCUUCGACAGUAGCAUACUGUGUUAUAGAACUUGAUGAUGCCCCCAUUGAUUUUAGGUAAAUCCCUUCUUCUGUUAUAAGUUGAUGAACUUGAUGCAUUCCUUGAAGUGGACAUUUUCUUCAAAUUUCCAAUGUCGUGUCUGUUAUAUUCUUUUUGAAAUACAGCACAACGUAUCUGAACUUCAAGUUGUUGUGCUUGUUUUGUGUGUGAAUGAAGCUGCUGUUGAAGUUGUAUUGUUUCGGUGGGUAAAACCAAAUGUUGUACUACUGUAAGUUGUUGCUGAGUAAAAAAAAUGGUGGAGUUUCCAGGUGAGUCAAUGAAAAUCACUGAGGUGUGAAGAGGGUAGGAAUUUAUAUGUGUUAAACAUCACAGCUUGUGGUGAUGCAUCAGCUCAAAUUUAUCAAUUUCUUUUACUGUUCUUGUAACCAUAUAGCCGUUAUUACUGUUGCUCAGAUUUUAUAGCCGUUGGAUUUUUGAUGCGCAUGGUAAUAAACCAAUAUGCUAAGGGCAAUAUAGUCAAUAUAAUUUAACAGUUAUAGUUGGUCUUCGUGUGUAAAUACACCUUUAAAUAAUGGCCAGUGGUAAAUUCCUUAGUUCAAUGACUCACCUGGAUGCAUUUGAAUUCAACGCAAGGGUAUAUUUGUCAUUUAAUCAAAAUAUAGACUGAUCCGUUACAAUUAACUAAAAAAUAAACAGAAAUGGGUGCGCGGUGCUCAUAGGCAAAAGAAUUGGGUGCGUUGUGCUGUAUGUCAAAACAUUUGGGUGCGGGGUAAAAAUUACCCUUUGGAUUAUGAUUUGAGGGUGCAAGUAUUUACCUAGAGUUUACCUCCGCACUAAAUUCUUAAGUUUUGAAAAUUAUGAGACCUUUAUAUUGGGAGAUAUUGUAAUCGAAUCAAAACUUAAAUUUUUUAUAAUGUUAAUAUUUAAUCUUUUAAAAAACAAUAACCUCGCCGUUACAGUUUGGAUUAAGAUUUGAGUAAGUAUUUACCUAAAUUUUACCUCCGUCUGUAAAUUCUUAAGUUUUGAAAAUUAUGAGACCUUUAUAAUCGAAUCAAAAUUUUGAAUUUCAAUAUUAUUAUUCUUUAAAAAAAAUUUUGAGAUAACAGAGUGAUUGAUAAUAUAGGAGAACUUGUCUAGGCAAGCACAUGUAUACACAGAAACGUGAUGGAUUCAAAAAGAAAUUAAAGUGAUAAUGCGAAAUCGCUUGGUGGCCCAGUAAAAUUACGACUGAAUUUUUUUUUUUUUUUUUACAAAAUUCAAGCUCAUAAAUGACAAAUUUCAUUUCCCUUUCACACGUCAUUAACUUUUGUAACAUGGUGUGUGCAUCGUCAAGUGAGGCAAAAGGGUUUCAAUUACAGUUGGAAAACAUGAACAAGAAUGCAUAAUGAAUAAUUCCUUCGAUAAACCGAAAAUUAAGCACAGAAUAAUCCUAAAAUUUAAACUCUAAUAUCUUAUAAUGUAUUGAUUAAAAAUAAUCCUAAGAGCUCCCAAUUGAAACUUUCAUAAGUAUUUUAAUUGUUUUGGAUAAACAAAUUGCACUAGGAUAAAAAUUUGGCAAAUUCAGAGGAUAAUGGAAAAUAGUUAUGCUUCAAUAGGCCAAAGAUUAGAGAACAAAUAAGAAUUAUUUAUUGAUAUACAAAAGAGAAACACUCCAAAAUUUCAAGCAAAAAUAGUUUCAUAUAUCAUUUCGAUUUUGAAAGGGAUGAGAUUUUGAACUUCAAUAGUUUCCUCUAAAAUUAAAAGGUAGCAAUUAAGCUAAAAAGAGCAAUGAAGACUUAUUGGUACCUUAUUAAAGGUAAACAUUAUGGAACUUUCAAUGUCAUUAUCUCACUGUUCAAUUUUUAUUGAGAUUUGUGUAAGCAUUUACCUAAAUCUUACCUCCGCCUUUAAAUUCAUAAGUUUUGAUUAAUUAUGAGACCUUAUAUUGGGAGAUAUUAUAAUCAAACUAAAACUUAAAAUUUCAAUAUCAUUAUUCUUUAAAAAGAAAUUGAGAUAUCAGAGUAAUAUCACAUAGAAAAACUUGCCCACGGACGGUAAGCCAAAAGUCUAGUCAACCACACGCAUAAAGCUAACUAGAACAAGAGAACAGAGAAACGCGUGGGUCCCUAAAAGAAAAGGCAAGCACAUAAAUAACUUUCAAAAUGCCCAAGCAAAUACCGAUGAAAAUCACUGUUUAAGAAUAAUUUAUUAUGUGGUUGAAGCUUUCUUUUUAUCAAUCUUCUUUCUACCCAUUAAUUUUCCCACGACUUUCCCGUUUCAUUUCUUGAAUCUCCAUGGAUUAACUUUCAAUAAACCAUAAAAUAAACUAAGGAAUCAUUUUCUCGAAUACAGCUAUGAUUUUAAUAAAUGGGCGGACCAUCUAGAAUAGUAUAUAUAAUUCUGUUUAAUUAAUAAGUUGAAAAAACCAUCAAGAGAAAUUCUAAUAUUAUGAGCUUGACACGAAUUCUUCACUAAUUCCAAAACAAGGAGCUGUUUUAUAAGAACUGUGGUUGGAUUAUUAAGUUUUACAAUUUGAAUAUAAAUAAGAAAAUAAAAUCAGUCGCGUUGAUGUUUUCGAUACAUUUCGCUGCUAACUUUUUUUUUUUUUUUAUUACAUGAGACUAUUGCUCAAAUUACAACUCAUAUUACAUGAGAAUAUAACUGAUAUUUACAAAUCAGACUAUAACUGGGACCAAUAUACAUCAAUACUAAUGGAGCGCUGCCCAGAUUUUAACCCUCUCAAAUAUUCAAGGGAUGUCUACACCUCACACUUGGGUAAGGAAACAGACUGUCUUCACUUAAAUUUACUUGAGGAAUGAAGACCCCCACAAUACAUUGUGGGGGUUCACCACUCGACCAAAGGCCGAGUGGCUCAUUUCGCUGCUAACUUAAUUAAUUACUUUACUUCAACUUUAUUUCCUUAGGGGCACUUUAUGGUGGGUCCAAGAUGGGACCUACAAUAAUCAAUCCUAAAAUUUAGUAUGGUUACCAAAUAGCUAGUAGCUAGUGUUAUUUUGUGUUUGGUGGAAGAGAUUGAAUAUUUAGUUUUAACUUAACCAUUCAACUAAUUAGAAAAUAAAUAAAAUUAAAUGAAAUGUUUAGAUAUCAAUUUAAAUAUUAAUAUCGGGGAUAUAAAUUAGUUAUAAUAUAGUUCAUUACAUAAAAUUGAUUAAAUUAAUAAUUACCCGUGAACAUAGAUGUAUAUGCUUUCCAAUUUCCAAAGUGCUCAAAGCACUUUUCUCACCAAACUUUCCUCUGAAUUUCCCGUAGCUGACUCCUUUGUUUGCGUUUUGUGAAAUUUCUAGGAACUUUUUUCGAUUUAGAAUAUUGUACAUUUUUCUUUUCAGCUGAGAUUAAUUUAACUUAUAGAAAAUCUUAUCCUUUUUUAAUAUUAUUUAAAUAAAAUUUGUCUAUCUUUUAUUUUAUUAGUCUACUUUUUACCCAUUAAUUAAGACUUUUCAAUUUCUUUUUUACCUGAGGUUUUCAGUGACUAUCUUUCAAUAAACCAUAAAAAUUACUUAGUCAUUUAUCGAACAAUUAGAUGACCAUAUUUCAAAAUAUCAACUAGAAGUUGUCCUGAAAUAUUUAAUUAAUAGUUGAAGAAUUGUGAUUAGUGUGGGCAUCUACAUAAAAAUUAUAUUAAAACACCGCUAAAAGAUAAAAAUAAAAUAAAAUAGUACAAACAUACACCCAUAGGUUAAAACAAAGAAAAAACACGAACCAAUACACUAAAAUGUUUUAGCUGUAGUUAGUUUUCAGUUUCAUUACUUAAGUCCCACGUGCAUGUCACGUGACUGAGGUCAAAAAAUGAUUGUCACAUUAAAGUUCAAAAUACGGAGCAGGGUAAUUAAGGAGUGGAGCUAUUGGCACCCCUCCAUUAUUCUUACAAAACUCCACUUUAAAUCAAAAUAUAAUUAAGAAUAAUUGAAAAUUAAACACUUAUAGAUUUCUUUACAACAUGUUGAGUGAUAAAAAAGCACCAGUCGGGCAUGUCCCCAUUUCUUACCCGGUGCCGAAUCUCCACGGUCGAAUGGUAUGAGUAGACUCUUGGUGAUGUCUUCUAUGUGGAGCACGUAACAACAGACCAGGAACUAGUACCAACCAAAAACGAGUACUGAUCGAAACAAGCAUGACCAGAAACGCAUACCGACCAGAGACUUGUGGGUCCGUAAAAGAAAAGGCAAGCACACAAAUGAAAAAGCCAUUACAUUUCUAUUUUACAUGUCAUUCCUAAUUUUUGUAACACGAUGUGGCAGCAUAUGCACAAUCAAAUGAGGCAAAAGGGAUUCGACUAUCGUGGCAGAACAUGGACGAGGACGCGUGAUGAAUAAUUCCUUCGAUAAAACGAAAAACAAACGCAGAGAAAAGAAUUUCUUAUAUGACAAGAAAUUAAAGUAAUGUGACGGAACAUGAUGAAGAAAUUGCAGAUCGAUCAAUUAUCCCCAUGGACUCCUAUAAAUUCAACCAAAAUAACAAUUCCAAUAUUACCAAAUUCUUGAGUUAAAUUUAUUCAAUGCUUUUUUUUAAGAGAAAUUUUUUCCAAUGCUACUUUCCCUUUUUUGGGGAAAUUAGAACUGCGGCAUGUAUAGAAGACAUUGAGGUAUAAAGCAACAUUAAUUUCAUGGGUUAUGCGUUAUACGCAUAAUAUAUUUUCAGUCCAAAUUCAACUAUGCAAAGAGGCUUGAGAACUUAAAAUUAAGCACAAACUAAACAGACGAAGUAAAUACAUGAUUAUGCAACAUAACAUUAAUUCUCUUAAUUUAUAACCGUUUUGCCACAUGAAUCUUGCACAGUUAAUCCUAAUUGAAGACUAAAAAAGAACAAUUGGAACAAGGUUUUGAAAUAGAAUGAUAGACAAUCGAUAUGAUCCAUUUCCAGUCGUCAACGCUAAUUAACUGCAGUUUCUAGACUCCUAAUUAUACUAGCCAUAAGAAACUGUUUAGAAAACUGGUGAUCAGAUUAGAUUUUGAAAUGAAAUAAUGUUCAUUUUCCCUUCGUUACCCUUUUAUUUAUUUAUUAUUUUUAUACCAAAGAAUUCUAUCAUGAAACGAAUCAAUUUAAUCACCUUUUCCAGCAGCACAAUUUUUCUUUUAUAAAAUUUGACCACAGAGACAAAGAAGAAUUAUUCAUACCUUCAUCAGUAAGGAAAUACUUUUCGGUAUGGCUAGGGUGAGAAAAGGCUUUCCACAAACACUUGUACUUUGUAUUCCUGUAAAUUUUCUUUAAAGUCAAUAAAAAUCAUAAGUUCUUUACAAUAACCAUCUCUUUGAUAAAAAAAGUGCCGUAUUCCUUUAGAAUUUAAAACCGGCAAAAUCGAAUCAGUGUCUUUGAAGAGACAUAAUGGUCAUAAUUCUUUAAAGAGUUGGCUAUGGAAAUCCUUAUCCAAGAUUCUUUUACGCCAUAUUCUUUCGUAAACCAAAAUUCAUUUUGGAAUACUCUGUUGAGAAUGUCAAAUAAAACGGUAUUGAAGGAAGUUUUCAAAGGCAGAAUCCGCACUUGUCAAAGGGAUGAUCUGCAUUUGUCAGAGACACAAUCUGCGUCGAAUGAAUCGACACAUUUCCUUUUGUAUUCGCAUAUGUAAUUUUUGAAAAAAUGUAGCUUCUGCAUCUAUAAAUAACGCUCAGUGUAUAAUGUUUUAUUCAAAAAAAGAAAACAAGUUUCUUCAUACUCGUCGUCCGAACAUACAGAGACCGUCUCUCAUAACUUCAGCCGAAUACUUAUGAUGAUGAUCAUUUGUGAUUUCAUCAGGCAUAGGGUUGAUGGUGAAAAAUUUUGUAUGUGUGAAGAAUUGAGCUGUGGAUAUAGGGGACUUAAGUGUAAUCGAAAGAGAGUUAUUAGGCCAUAGUGUAGAUUGCAUUCAGUUUAUGAGUCGAUAUGCAAAUAAUUUGUUGACGUGGCGAAAUUUGUUAUGGUCGUUACUAUUGUUUCUGGAAAUUUUCUAGAAACCUCAGCAUAAAAGGGGCUUUUGGAUAGCCUCUGGUGUGCGUGUGAUUUCUCUUUCGUUUCCUCAUCAAAUUCUGUAAUUCUUGCUUUGAUAAAAAGCUUGUAAUCUCUUCUGUAAUUGUGAUCAGUGCGUAAUCAUUUUGAGCGAUAAAAGCUUGUAGGUUUUUCCUUCAAACAAUGUCGUUUUGGUCAGUUUGUUAGUUUGAUCUGUUGGUGGAAUUUUCUUUGGUUAUUUGUUCUCAAAUUUCAACCUUAUAUAAAGUUUGAACUCUAAUGGCUUAUAAUGUAUUGAUUAAGAAUAAUCCUAAGAGUUUCCGAUUGAAAUUUUUAAUGACUAUUUUUAUUGUUUUGGAUGCACAAAUUGCAUUAAGAAAAAAUAUUGUCAAAUUCAGAGGAUAACGGGAAAUAAUUAUGCUUCAAAAGGCCAGAGAUUAGAGAAUAAAGAAGCAUUCAUUACUGAUAUAAAAACUGCUUCUAUUUGGAUUUUGAAAGGGGUGAAGUUUUGAACUUCAGUUGUUCCUCUAAAAUCAAAAGCAAUAAUUAAGCAUUCUCAAUUAGAAAGAGCAAAGAAGACUUAUUGGUACCUUACUGAAGCUAACAUUAUGGCACGGUUGUUCAUAUGUAAUGGCUGCUCUGUUAUGCUAGCUUCUCUGUUUUUGCUUCUAUUUUUGCUUACAGUUUUGAAGAUAAAUUCUUGCUCAAAUAACACAUAAUUAAAUAACACUAAUAUGGCUCAUGAAAUCCUAUAAUAGCUAAUUACGCAACUUUCUCCUCCUCCUCAAUUCUGUCUUCCCCUGCUCGGACACUAACUUCAAAAUUCAAUGCCCCGAAAAACAACACAAGAAAUCUUUGAGUUAGUUCGUGACCAGUUUAUAUAUAGUAGCAAUUGAAAAAAGAAAAAGAAGAAAAGAGUUAAUUAUUUUUCAGACCUUCACUUAUUAGGAAGUUUGUUCUGCUAUUGGGUGAGAUCAAGCUCUCAGCAUAUACUUCCACAUGAUACUUUCUAACAUUUUCUUGAAAGCCAUCAAUCAUUAAAUCUUCAUACUUUUUUCCAUCCUUUGGAUCAAUAAGUACAAAUUUCUCAUCUAAAAAAGACAAAAUAAAAUCACUGUCCUUCAUGGAAUCAGAAUUGAGCUUACAAAAACCGAAGUGGACAGUUCCAUUCAGAUUGGUCGCCCGAGAACAAUGAUGAGAAGACUUAAAAUCAGUUUCAAAGGUUUUCCAAGUAUUGUUCCUCUAAACCACUUGUAUAUUUUACCAGAACUCUUGGUUAAGAAAAUCCUAGUCCAUGGAGUAUGAUAUAUCAAUCAUGCAACAAUGACCUACAACAUCUAUGUGGAUUGAUUUUUGCAAAAUAAAGAACAAUGCUGACUGAGGAAUAAGGUGCAUACCCGAUUAGCAAUAUCUCAGCAAGUAACCAACAAUUUUUUAUCUGAUAAGAAAAAAUUACAAUUUCUUGAAUAUACAUGAAACAUUUUGCAGAAAGAACCAUGUCAUAAUUAUUAGUCCAACUGAAGAAUUAUCAAUACUUAUCACAUGAAACGAAAGAUACCCGAGUUCACUUAAUGAAAUUCUCUUUUUUUUUUCUCUAACAUUGAGAUAAGCAAAAACUUUUAACUAAAGACAAUCAUCUAGUGAUCUCAAACAAAUGAGGUUAGUAUGAAACCAUCAUAAUUUGUUCGCUCAUUGCCUAAUUUUAUUAAUGCAAGAGCCUGGAAGCAACUCAAAAAGAAAAUAACCGACAUAGGAAGUGUCAUCUCAUAUCUCACCAAUGAAUGGGAACAGCUUGAUGUGGCUGAGCAAACUGGCAGAAUUGUCAUUUUAACACACGUUCAAGAAACUCAGCAAAUUCUCAUAUCUGUUUAAAUUCCACAGCAAAGAUAGUUACAAGAAAUCUAAUCAAAAUUUAAAAUGUCAGAAGGCAAAUCUUCCAAUUAGGAUCAAAAGAAGAUAAUUAUAAUUUGUCAUUUCAAUUCUGAAUGUACAAUUUUAUUUUUUUAUGUGUGCAUUAAUUAAGAUUCUACCUUCUCUGCAAAAUUGUGAUGGACUUGGUAAAUAAUGAAUUGUAUCGACUUGAAUUUUAUACAACUUAUUGAGAUAAUAAUACGCCAAAUUCAACACCGUCCAUCCCAAAUCACAACAAGAAACUCAAACUUUUAUCCCCUCAAGUGGGUUCUUGAAACUGAAGCUUUAGUGCCAGUACAAUUUUGAAAGAUUGUGAUCAAACUAAAACAUCAAAUAAAAUAAGACGUAACAAAAACACGUCUUCAGAAAAUUAGUAUAGGAAUAAGAUAAGCUACACAGACCUACUUCAAUGAAUUAGAAAAAUUAUGAUAAACUUGAUGCAUUUCGAAAAACAACAAACAAAUAUUCCCAGGAAAACAAAAAAAAGACAACUUUGUUUAAGCUUAGACAAAAAUAACUAAGGACAUAUGAAUGCAUCAUAAUAGUAUCUCUAUGGGUAAUUUUCAGAAAUCUCCCCUAAGGUAUGGUGUAUUCUUAGUUUGAUAGAAAAUAUCUAAGUAUUCUUAUAGACCUCCCCUACUGUUAGUAUUCCAUUUCGUAUAUGUUAGGUAGAUGAGGGUAAGAUCGUAAUUUGAAUAAGUUAAUGAUAAAAAAUCCAGAAAUUUUAAGAUUUUCACAUUGGCCUCUGGGCUUUAUUCAUCUCUUUCAUCCACCAAAACCAGAAAUACAACUCACCUCUCUCCUCCACCUAAAUCGAAGCAAGGUAGCUCAAAACUCAUUUCAAAAAAUUGAUCAAUUACUUGGGUCACAAACUAGAGACAAUGACGACGAAGUUGAUGACGCCAAUAUCGACGACGAAGCUGAUGACGCCAAUAUCGACGACGAAUGAUUCGCAACUGCCAGGUAAGAGAGUAUAGUAGGUUUCGCCAUCGAACGCCCAAUCAUCCAGUUGUUUUGGAGCCGCGUUAUUUUUAUUAGCUAAAAUUAGAAUUUUUAGUGAAAAAUUGAAAGUGGGUCUCAAAAUUUUUUGAGAGCGUAUAUGUUUCUCCUGAUUUUUCGAUCGAUUCGUGUUAGUUGCAGUUAAAUGAUUAAUCCAAUUCGUGUUGAAGAUAGAGCUAACUCGAAUAUCUCUAUAGUCCUGUAAUUGAUUGAAAAUGGGUCUUGAAAAUUGUUUUAGAUUUCAGCUGUGUGCUUCUGAUUUUUUCCAUGGAUUCAUGAUAGAUGAAAAUGGUUGAUGAAGAUUUGCUUGACAUGUAUAUAGAUGGUAUUUUGUUAAAGGGGUUUUAAUUUUUUCCUUUUUUGGUGGUUUCGAUUGUGGUAUUUACAUGCCUUAGGUUGAGAAAAACGAAAAUGGUUUGUUGCACUCUUUUGUGUUGGAUCAGUGAGUUUAGGCGAUUUGAAAUGGUUUGCGGCAUUCAAUUGAUUGUUUUAUUUAUGUGGUUUGAUAUGGGAAAAGUAUAAUAAAAUUCAAUUGUUCCAUAUGUCAAUUUGGAUGUUUUGAAAUUAUGAACUACAAAAAGUUAAAAUUAAUUUCUUAUUAUAUUUUCAAUUGAAAGUUACUAUUGUCUUCUUUUUAGUACUUAGUAUGCAUUUUUCCCCAUCUUCUAGUGGUGGUGUUGCACCCAUUUUGAAUUUGAUCGGCAUCUUCUUCUGUACAUGCAUGUUUCUUGGACUCCAAUUUUUGUUUCAUAUGAUGAAGCUAAUUUAAUUCCUCCUUUUUAAUAUCAACUUUGUUCAUCUAGGUUUGCGAUUUUGAUCUUUCUCAUUUGAAGGCAAACACAUUUAUGUCAUCAAAAUUUCCAAUAUUUUUUAUUUUAUAGUAUCCAAACUGCUUAUGGCAAUAUGAAAUUGAGAAUAUUUCUUUCAUCAUGUUAACCUAAGUGGAUGGUGGAUGAUGUUUGUGUAAGAGAUUUAAGUUAUUUGUAUUAUAGAAUAUGUCUUAUGUUUUGAUUUGCAAUUUCACCAUUAAAUUGGCUUUGUAAAUGAUUAGAAGCUAAAUGCAUAAAAUGAAAACAAUAGUAACAUUUCUGAGUGGGGUAUAAUCAGAUGCUAACAUGGCGAUCCAUGACUUGUAAUUUCUAUUGUCGUUAUAAUUGGACUAGAUCGAGGUAAACUGACUUUUCUUGUUCUGUUUUUUUUUUCAUUUCUUUGUUCUAGAUUUUUCUUUCUUUGUUUUACUUCUGGUUUCUUCUUCAGCAUAUUCAAUAACUAGCAUGAGCAAAUGGAGAGGAAAAGGGUAGAAUAUGCUUUUAAAAAAAAAGAAAAGAAAAAAAGAGAUAGCUCUAAUUCAAAAAUAAGGAGGAGAAAAGGGCAAUGAUUGAAGUUGUGGAGAAGAAAUUCUUAAUGCAUAGGAGAUGACAACAAAGUGUUGCAACUGGGAGCAGUUUUAAAGUGCUAUUCGAUUGCUUUUGUAAUCAAAUUGUCUUUUGUACCUAUUUAUACACACACAUAUUUGUAUUUGUAAUUUGAAUUUUACAUUUUCUCAAGACAACUAUGUUUAUUUUAAAAAAAAUCUAAAUGUAACUAAAAUAUUAAAGUUUUUGUACUUAUUACUCCAUUUGAUGAUUUUUUUUAUUUUUUUGCUGACGAAUAUUCCAUGUCAAUUUUUUUCCCUUCAGCUCGUUUAAGGUGUUUUAUUGUCUGAUGUGAUAUUUGGUGCUCGGGAGGAAGGGUGUUUUAAGUCUUUUUUGGUGUCAGGGGCAAUUUUGUCUUUACAUCAGUCAACAAAUAGUCAAUGGAUGGAAAUGCAAACAGCAGGGGAGGUGUCUGAUAAUACACGGAUACUUUCUAUCAAACUUAUAAUACACAAAAUCUCAGGGGAGGUUUUUGAAAAUUACCCAACUGUGCAAAAUUAUGAAAAAAAUGAGCUAAACAUAUAUAGCAUUUCAGAGGAGUGCUUACUUGACAAAUCACUAAUACAAAGCUGCGAAUGGGCAUUCGGAAUGUUUUGAGAGACUCGUAUGGAUAAAAUAUGUAGUUAUUUAAGUAAUGACAGAAGGAGAAUCGUGUGGCUUGUCAAAGCCGUUAGCUCCAUCUCAUUUGCCUCGUCCUCUCGUUUUGUUUCUGUGGGGACAUAUUUGAUAUUUUGGAUUUUGUCUAAAAUUCGUCAUGUUUUUGGAUACUAACAUCUGCGCCUCUAGACCAAUAGCCAUUUGAUUAAGUGGGAGAACCCUUACACUAGUGUAAGAAUUUGAACUUUUAUAAAAUUAUUUAUGAGAUUAUUUAUAAUUUUUUUUAAUUAUCAAAUAAUUGAGUAGAGUCAGUUUAAUCCUUACGAAAUAUUUACUAUUCAUAAAUAUCUUUUUUUUUCUCUAUCUUACAAUUGAAUAUUCUCUCUCUACUCCAACAUUAUGUAACCUAAAUAUUUAAUUUCACUCUUUUUUAAUUUAUUUUUUUGUCUUUUCUUAGUAUAUUAUAAUCUUUAUUUCAUGUUUUCUAUAUAUAAGAAUUUUUUUAUAUCUAUUAAAUUUUGUGUUUAGUGAAAAUUAAUUUCUUGAUAUUUUUAAUUUUUAUAAUUGAUAAAAAUAUAUCAAUGUUCAUUUUUAAAUGAUGGGUUUUGUUCAUUUUAGUUUGUUAUAUUAAUUUUUUGUAGGUAAAAGAAUAUAUUUGAAUGAAUUGAAGGAAAAUUGUGAAAUUGAGAAGAGAAAGAGAAGAAAAAGUUAAUUAAAUAAUUUUUUCAAAAAUUAUUUAAAUAAUAAAAUUCUUAAUUAAAAACAAAGAUGGAGAGAGAAAUUUAGUGGGUUCAAAAUACUUAUUUUAAAUCCAAAAAAGAACCAAUAAAAGAAAUCAAAAGAUGAUUCUUUUCUUUCUGACAUAUUUCUCUGUACUUUUCUCUCUCUACUGAUUCACAAUUUUUCAUACUUCUAACUAUCAUUUUAUUCAAGUAUUUUGUAUUUUUAAUGACAAUUAUUUAAUUUUUAGUUAGUUUUGAUAUUGAUUAGAGAUUUAAAGUGUAUUUUAGAAGACUUCCGGUCUCUUGAAAAAAGGAAAAAUGGAGAAGAAGAAGUGUUCUUGAUUUUUUGUAGGCGUUAAAGUUAAAUGGUUUGAAAUGAUAUUCUUUUUUAAUUUCACUCAUUAAUCUCAUUCAAGAUAAAAUUAUAAAUGCAAAUAAAUGGGGUUUCAUAAGUAUUUUUAAUAGUGUUAAAAGGUCUACUCACUAAAUAAACAUGUUUAACCCAAACCAAUGCGAUUAGUAAGUUAUUGGGUUGGGUUAAUCAGGUUAAAAAUCAAAAUUAAAAAUUAAAUAAAUAAAAAAGGUAUAAAAACUAUCUGUUACUUGAAAAUAAAAAGAAUUUCUAAUUGUUAGUUCUAAUGUCCCAUAUCCAAAACAUGCAUAUUAAAUAAAUAUUAUAAGUUAGAAAUACAAUAUCCAAGAAAGAAUGAAUGAAAUACCAUAUUUUUGUUGAGAAUUAAGAGUGUGAUUUUAAUUUUGAUAUUGGAGUCUAAAGUGCCACGUUUAAAUAUUCUCUUUUAUAAAAUAAUAAAAAGAGGUUAAAAAUUAGGUUAGCAAUUUAGCCAUUUAGGGUUUAGCAAUUAAGGAUGAACAUAUUAUUGUUGUUGUUGUUAUUAUUAUUAUUAUUUAUAUGUUUACUAAUCCAAUCCAAUCCAAUUAUUAACGAAUUUGAAAAAAUUGAUUCAAUCAAGCCAUAAUAAUUCAUUCAACUCGUCUAAAUUGGAUUAGGUUGAAUUUGGUUUGCCACCCUUGUUUUGAGCAACAAACCUCAAUGUGAUUCCAUGAGCUCUUUGAUUGUUUAUAAAAUUGUUUAUGAAAGUGCAAAAUAAAUUAUUGUAUACAUUAAAAUGUGCAAAACAAUGAAUUAUAUGUACGAACGAGUGCAAACACAUUUUUCAAUAAGAAGUUAAAAGAUAUUUAUGCAUGAAAAAGCCUACGUUUGUAGUUAUUCUAAAUUUUAAAAACAAAAUUUACAUUUAGAUCCCUAAAAUUUACGUAUAAGUACAAAAGUUUCAAAUAUUGUCUAUUAUUUUUUUAACAUGCCUAUUCCUUGUGGAUAAUUCUAUCUCAUCACUAAUGUUGUUUCUUGCUUACAAUUUGUAUAGUGUCUCAAAAUAGACAAUAGGGGGAUUUUGAAUUUUUUAAGUCUCAAUAUAGUCUCUAAUCUUGUGAGAAAGAUUUUCUUUCAAUAAUUUGGAGGUAAACAUAACAUAACUUUUUGGACUAAAGCCUAACUCUGCUGGUUAUGGUGGUAUCCUUUUCAAGACCUGCGUCUUUAGAUUCGAGUUUUAUAGUGUGCAUGCGUAUUUAAUUAAUAAUUUUUUAAAACAAUACAUCAAAUAUUAAUAUCCAUGACAUAAUUUAGUUCUUAAUUUUUUUUUUAAAUACAUCAAAAACAUAAUUUUUUUAACAACUUAUAGGCAUGACAAAUUUCAAGAUAUAAAUAUCAGUCAAAAUAAGUGAAAGAAAUAAUGGUGCCAAUUCUAAUUUCUUAACUAAAUUAAUUAGUGCAUGAGCCCCGAAUACGACACGAGAGUUUGAUGGGCUAACAUGGCACAAGAACCUGAAUAAAUAAUUGAUUUAAGAAAUAAUUCAAUGAAAAAUAUAAUUGAUAAGAAUUCAGUAUUGAAAUGAGUUUUUUAUGAAACACUGAAUUAAUGAUUAUUAAGCAAGAACAAUAAAAAAUAAAUAUUAAUCAUUGAUAAGUUUCAACAAAAGCUUAACACAAUCCUCAAUCCUAAUUCAAAUUAUAAAUGUCAUUCAUAUAUUCAUUAUAAUCAACAACAAAGGUUAUAAAUGUUUAGAAAUUCUAGAGGGAAGGAAGCUAUCGCUGGGCAAUCAACAACUAAAUUUGAUGUAAUUGUGGCACGAGAUGGAAUAUGGAAACUACACCAUAAUUUCAAAUGCCGCCAUAGACAUUGACUUAUCUACAAUAACAAUGAUCUAAUUAAAAUAAAAAUAGAGUUUAUGGGCAUUUAUUAAAAUAAAAAUAGGAGUGAAGUAAAAACAUUUAGAUUUUAAUGUAUGUACGGAAAAAUUUAUCUUUAAAAAUACUUUCUUAAUGUGUGUGUGCAUAUUGAAAUACUCAAACCAAUUUUGGUUAUAUAUAAUUCAACAAAAUUUAAAAUAUGAAAAAUAUAAUGUAGUUAUAGUGGAUAAGCAAUAAGUGAGCACAAUAUAAUUAAUCAAAUACUAUGCUAUCAAAAGUUAAUUUUAGAAAUUCCAAAUCCAAUAGCUAACACAAUUCUUUAAAGAAAUAACAAGGGGCAUUGGGCAAGAGUAAUGAAUGCUUAGUGGGUGCAUUUGAUUGAUAGAUAUAUAAAGGGCCGAAACUUGAUAUUAUAUUACUUUUACAAAAUUUAAUCCAAUCACAUAUUUAAUGAAAACAAAAUGAGUUAGGAUUGUUUAUUUAGAACCCACAUUUUAAUAAGGCUUCAUUUGAUGUAGUUUUUCAAACAUUGAUUAUUUGAGUAAUUACAAAGUACAAUACGUACCAAGUUUGGUAACUUAAUUGACAUCUUCUCAUAUAACCUUCGAUCAAGUCGAUUCUGACCUGACGACUAAUUGGUACAUCACCGUUGUUCUCUAUACUCGCAUGCAUCCGAUCACAAAUCUCACUCCAAUUGUCGUCUUUCUUCGGCGUUUUAGCGCAUCCUUCUUGAAUUUCCCGCAUUUCGUUCCCUCCUGUUACAAGUCUCCGGUCAGGUCAGUUCACUUGACGAUUAAUUCGGCAAAUCUCGAAUCUCUUCUCUAUCCCUCUCGUUUUCUCGUGUCUCCUUUCAGUUUAAGUGAUUGAAUCAAUUUUAUCGCAGUCUUAAGAGAAAUUAAGUAAUGCUCUUGGAUUUAAAAUUUUUUUGCUUUCGACUUUAGAUCUCGAAAGUCAAACUCUGCUACGAAUCCAUAGAUUCUCAAUGUUUAUAAUCUUAUUUGUGUUUGACCAGGUAACUGGAUCGUGAAAUUCGUCGUUUUGUAUCAAUUCAAGCUUUCGCGAGCUCAUGGAAUCCCCUGGUGAGUUGUGGUGAAACGUUAUCGUUUCAAUUUUCGCUUAAUUCUUUAUUGCAUAUUUUUUUCUCUCUAAUAUUUCAGUUUAAUUUAGAAAAGAAAGAGGACCCAAAAAGAGAGAGAGAGAGAGAGAGACUCUACCAUACUCAAUUCCUUGCUCAUUCUGAUUUGGCCUGAAUGUUGGCAUUGACUAUUAUUUGUUUUCAUUUCGAUUUAAUUCUCAUUUAGACAGUCUUUUUUAACUAGCAAUAAUCUUUUUAAGGAAAAUGAUAAUAGGGAUUCUGCAAUAAUCUUUUUAAGGAAAAUGAUAAUAGGGAUUCUGCAAUAAUCUUUCUGCAUUGUUCAAGUUAGUAGACAAUGAAUAGGGUGUUUAUGUUUACCUCAUUUUGAACCCUGAGGGCUUCGUUGAGUAGUUGAUCCAACAUAUCCAGCACCGGUUGAUGUGAGAACAGGAUGCCAUUUAGAUAGGCUUAAACUGAUUUUGGAGGUUUGUAUUCAUUCUAUUGUAUGUCUUGCUUACAAAUUUUUUAUUUUUUAUUUUUAAUUUUGUAUAAUAUGCUCUUUGUUGGUAAAUCUCAUUUGACUUAGAAGAGAUAGUUUUAUCCCAACAGUGGGAUAAAUCAUUGAGAUGCAUGGCAGUGUGAAUAUAGUAGACAAAAUCAUUGAGACAGAUGGUGGUGUGAACAUAGUAAACUUUGUCAAACACAGCUAAGAUAAACAAAUUGUUUCAUUAGCCUUUAUCUUAUCUGCUGUGAUGAUUCAAAUUAAUGCUGUUUGGUAGGUUGCAAAAAACGAAAUGAGCUGACUGUUCAUAUUAUUUAGUCAGAUCUAUUGCAAUAAGUUGAAGUUCACUGUCACAUGGGUUGGGAGUAGCGUGGGCUGUGAGUAGUAGAAUGGAUUUAUGGAGUUGAUACAAGUGCCCAUAAUCUAUCAUGUCAUUCUAGGAUUAAAUGGAUUGCACAUUACUGUAAAGAUGGAGGUUAAAUUUAUAUAAUUCGGAUUGAUUGUAAAAUGGGAGGCAGAGAUGAGUUAGAAAAAAAAUGACCUGUGUCCUUUUUGAGCUGUUUCUAAAUCUCCCUGGUGUGCUUCAUGCUUAACACGUGUCUGUCCAAAUAAUUUUGCUUAACCUGUGCUUGUCUACUUCUUGUGCUAUUCUGUGCCUGGUCCUGAGCUGUGUUGGUAGAUUGACAUAAUUUUGCUCUGCUAAAUGUAUAACUUAUUAAUCAGAGUCCUGUUAUUAUGGUUUGACACUACUGACAUGUUGUGUUGGUAUUUAUUUGUACUUCCCUUGGUUGAAUUAUUUGCUGUCUCCAUGCCAUUCGAUAUGGUGCUACUUGGUUUUUGAUCAUCCAUGACGCUAUAUAUAUGUAAAGGAUGAAUUGAUUGUUUUGGCUUGUAUUCUCACAUUUUAUGAUUGAUCGAUGGAAAGGUCUUCAUGUAUUAAAUUCAACCUCACAAGCGUAAGAUUGACAGAUUGUGGGAAAAUUUUCAGGAAAAGAAACUAGACUUCAUGGAAGCAAUGAAGCUUGAAAUUGAACGUCUGCAGCUGCAUCUUUCUGCAGCUGAAAGGGAUAGAGCUUUAUUGUCAAUUGAAACUGAUCCUGCCUCUAUAAAUCCAAAUGUAUUGCUUGAUGAAUCUUACAUGGGAAGACUGUCGAGUAGCAACCACUCUUGCAUUACUUGGCCAAACUUCCCUAGAAGACAAAAUUGUUGGUGCAAUUGGCCUUGAGAAUAGUGAUGAUAGUGUUUUAGACUUCUGGAAUAUUACUAGAAUCGGAGAGAGUUGUUCUGGUGGCGGGUGCAAGGUUUGUGCAGAAACUAAGGUGCCUGCUCUUGCUUCCUCAACUGCAACAUCUGUUGGAGCUUCACAAUCCCCUUUGUUGUGUUCUCAAUGUGAAAGAAAAGUUUGCAAAGUUUGUUGUGCAGGAAGAGGAGCUCUACUGUUUUCAAAUUAUAAAUCAAGGGAUGUGACCAACUACAAUGGCUUCUCAAGUCAGAGUGGAUGAAGCCAUGGAAGCCAAGUUGAUGUAUCUACCAGUCGUUCACUAACACUGGAUGGCGUUAUCUGUAAACACUGCUGCCAUGAGAUUGUGCCUGAUGCAUUGAUGUUGGACCAUGUUAGGGUCUUGAUUAGCUUGCGAAGAAGUUCCUGUGCAGACAACGCAGUCAUACAAUGCUUUGAAUGAGGUUGUUGGAUCCUGCUUAAAGGAUAGUGUUUCUGAAAGGAUUCAGUCUUCCGAUAACGUGCAAGCUGCUGAAGUCCUUCACCAAUUAUGUGGUGGACAGGAAUCACUUGCUGAAUUUCCAUUUGCUAGCUGUUUGCACUAGGUAUGUUCUUGGUUUGUAUUCAGUUCUCAUCAUGUUAUGUUUUCCUUUUAAAUUUCUUUUCUUGAUUAAAAUUUUUAGAAAUAUGUUUUAGUAUUUGUUCUUAUGAUAUAUGCCCAGAACAUUCAUCCCACUUAUCCAUGAGAAUCCUUGUCUGGUUUGAUUUUCAAUUGAGACAUUUUUGGGAACCCUGAGCAGGUUCCAUAUGCUAAUAAUCUUUGAGGUAAGGUGUUGUAGGAUGCCUUGAGAAGCUAAAAACCUAUUACAAGGAAAAGCUCUUGCAUUGUUUUGUGGAAUCUGUGUUGUGAAAAUAGGUAGAGAAAAAGUUUAUGGAAUAAUUCUCUUAUUUCAUAUGUUCAUGAGACUGUACACAGUCUUUAUAUAGGGAUACAAGAGACUAAGAAAGGAAAGAAAAAAUUAAAGCAGAAUAUUACACACUGAUUUCUAGGAAGCAAUAACUCUAUAUUUACACCAAAUAUACACCUAAAUAUAUAAGGAAAACCAAAUCAAUUUGAUUUGGUCAACCUUUCAACACUCCCCCUCAAGCUGGUCUAAAAAUGUCUUUCAUGGCCAGCUUGCAAACCAAUUUCUCAAAAUGUUUCUUAGGUAGUCCCUUGGUGAGUAUAUCAGCAAUCUGCUCAUUUGUAGGAAUGUAGGGCAUGCAGACCAAACCACUGUCCAGUUUUUCUUUUAUGAAAUGUUUGUCCACUUCAACAUGUUUAGUUCGGUUGUGGAGUACUGGAUUAUGUGCUAUUGCAAUGGCAGAUUUGUUGUCACAAUAUACUUUCAUAGGUAGAGAAUUAUUUGCCUUAAGUUCUUCAAGAACUUUUUUGAUCCAAAAAACCUCACAAAUUCCUAGAGCUACUGCUCUAUAUUCUGCCUCUGCACUACUUCUUGCUACCACAGUUUGUUUCUUGCUGCGCUAAGUGACCAAAUUUCCUCCGACAAAGGUGCAGUAACCCGAAGUGGAUCUUCUAUCGGUUACACUACCAGCCCAGUCAGCAUCAGUGUAGACUUCUACUUGUAGGUGCCCGUUUUUUCUAAACAAAAGACCUUUACCCGGAGAUCCUUUUAAGUAUCUAAGGAUUCUAUAUACAGUUUCAAAGUGUUCUGGUCCUGGAGCAUGCAUAAACUGGCUGACUAAGCUCACUGCAAAGGCUAUGUCCGGGCGUGUAUGUGAAAGGUAGAUUAAUCUACCUACAAGGCGUUGGUACCGAUCUAUGUUGGUCACAUCUUCAAUAUUAGCUGGCUGUAAUUUCAUAUUAGGAUCUAUGGGUGUCUCGGCUGCUUUACAUCCGAGUAAACCUGUCUCUUCAAGCAAAUCAAGAACAUACUUGCGUUGAGACACAACAAUCCCAUCUUUUGAUCUAGCAAACUCCAUGCCCAAAAAAUACUUCAGGUUGCCUAAGUCUUUGAUUUCAAAGUCACGUGCAAGCACUUUCUUUAAUCUGCAAAUCUCAACUAAGUCAUCACCAGUCAAAAUUAUAUCAUCUACAUAUACAAUUAACACGACUAAUUUCCCUUCAAUAGAAUGUUUGUAAAACAUUGUAUGAUCUGCCUGACUUUGGGAGUAGCCGUGUCCCUUUAUAACAUUACCAAAGCGUUCAAACCAUGCUCUAGGAGACUGUUUGAGCCCAUACAAAGACUUAUGUAGUUUACACACUUUACUGUUGCCAUGAUUUCCCUCAAAACCUAGUGGUAAAUCCAUAAAGACUUCUUCUUCUAGCUCCCCAUUCAGAAAAGCAUUUUUAACAUCUAACUGGUAUAGAUUCCAAUCAGAAUGUACAGCCAAUGAGAUAAGGACCCGGAUGGAAUUUAUCUUUGCAACGGGGGCAAAAGUUUCUUGAUAAUCAAUUCCGUAGGUUUGAGUGAAUCCUUUUGCUACAAGCCUUGCCUUAUAUCUCUCAACACUCCCAUCAGCAUUACAUUUAAGUGUAAACACCCACUUUCAACCCACAGUUUUCUUUUCUUUUGGUAAAUCCACAAUCUCCCACGUACCAUUCUUCUUUAGAGCAUUCAUUUCCUCUAAAACUGCUAACUUCCAAUCUGGGUGGUCUAGGGCUUCUUUUAUGGUUUUAGGAAUUGGUAUUUGAGAGAUUUUUGUGGUAAAGGCUCUUUGUUUAUUGGACAACUUUUCAUAGGAAACAUAUCUAGCAAUGGGGUGCUUAGUACAGGUUCGGGUUCCUUUCCUAUGUGCUAUGGGUAAGUCAAGAUCAGGAAAAAAAGUGCUGAAAUGUUUAGGAGAAGAAAUGUUACCUGAAUUUUCUGAGGAAUCAGUGCUUGGAGGCAACGAUUGAGGCUGUAUCGAGUUUAUGAGAGGGUCUUUACUGUUGUGAUGAUACUUUCGAGUAUAAACACGCAGCUCUGGUGGUGGAAUUUUAUCUUGUAGUAUUUCUCCCCCUGUCUCUGGUACAUUAACACUUGGUUCCUGUAGUUCAAGGUUUCCUAGGUUUUCAUUAUUAGAAAUAUCAGUUUUUUGAGUUUGAGUUGGAGUGCCCAGAUCAGGUAAAAACUGAUUAGGCAUAGGUGUAGAAGUAUGCCAAAAAUGAUCUUCACUAUUUUCUUUCUCCCCCUGAAGAGAAUUUUGGCCAAAAAAAGGUUGAUUUUCGAGAAAUAUAACAUCCAUACUGACAUGGAAUUUCUUUGUUUGAGGAUUGAAACAUUUGUAACCUUUUUUAUUAGGUGCAUAGCCCAAGAAAACACAUUUUUCAGAUCUAGGAUCCAAUUUAGAUCUAAGAUGGUUAGGAACAUGAACAAAUACAGUGCACCCAAAGACUCUUAACUGAAUAUUGGAGGUAAUCCUACUAGAAGGAUAUAUAAGUGUGAAGUAUUCUAAAGGUGAUUGAUACUUUAAAACACGGGUAGGCAUCCUAUUAAUCAAAUAACAUGCUGUUAAAACAGCAUCACCCCACAAAUAUUUAGGAACAUGCAUAGAGAGCAUGAUAGCCGACUAACUUCAAGUAAAUGGCGGUUUUUUCGUUCCGCAAUUCCAUUUUGUUGUGGAGUAUCACGACAAGUGGAUGUGUGAAUUAUACCCUUUUCCUUACAAAACACCUCUAGAUAAUUAUUAAAAUAUUCAGUACCAUUAUCUGUAUGGAGUAGACUUAUUUUUGUUUGAAAUUGAUUUUCAACCAUGUUAUAAAAAUCUUUGAAUAACCCCUCAACUUCAGAUUUUUCUCUCAUUAAAUAAACCCAACAAAGCCGAGUAUGAUCAUCUAUGAAUGUUACAAACCAUUUUUUUCCAGUUAAAGUGUUGAUUUUUGAGGGUCCCCAAACAUCACUAUGAAUUAAAUAAAAAGGUUUUGAGGCACGAUAAAUAAGUGCUUUAUAUGAAACUCGAUGACUUUUAGAUAAAAAACAACUUUCACACUGAAAAGUAGUACAAUCAACAUUUUUAAAUAAAUUUGGAAACAAAUAUUUCAAAUAAGGAAAGCUAGGGUGUCCUAGUCUAAGGUGCCAAAGCAUUAUUUGAUCCCUAGCAGAGUUUGAACUAAUACUACUGCUCAAACCUUGAGUUUGUUUAUUCCUUGAUAAGUAGUCAUCAAAAUAGUAAAGACCUUCUCGCAAACUAGCACUGCCAAUCAUCGUCCCCAAGUCCCUGUCCUGAAAUUCACAAUGGGAGUCAAAAAAGACAGCACAACAAUUAGAAUCUUUGGUUAAUUUACUGACAGAUAACAGAUUGCAAGAAAGUUUAGGGACAUGUAGCACAUUUUUAAGCUCAAUGGUUCCAGAGAUUUUUAUUGAUCCUUUUCCAGCUAUGGAAGAUAAGCUUCCAUCAGCAACUCUUACCUUUUUGUUACCAGGGCAAGGAUAAUAGGAAUCAAAUAAACUAGAAAUGCUAGUCAUAUGAUCAGAAGCACCCGAAUCAAUAAUCCAUGGUGCAGUAGUUGAGUGGCUAAAUAGAGCAUUAAUAAUACUACCUGUUUGGGCUAGUGAACCACUAGGAGUACUAGGUGGAGGAUUAGAAGUCAGCAGCUUUAUGAGAUGGUCAAUUUGCUCCUUGCUGAGAUUUUUUUCUAGAUUCUCCACUUCAUUGGCAGACGCACGGCUAUGCUUGCUGUUUUUCCAAUCUGCAGGCUUUCCGUGGAGUUUCCAGCAAGCCUCCCGAGUAUGGCGUGGUUUAUUACAGUAAUCACACCAUACUCGAGGUUUUUGUUGCUGUUGAGUGAUGGAGCGGGUAGCAUUAUCUGCUGUAACAAGGGCAGAUUUUUCCACAGAGACAACGGAGUUCUUUUUUCCCAACAUAACACCUCGACGACUUUCUUCUCUCCUUACUUAAGAGAAAACAUCCUCAAGAGUAGGAAGUGGCUUUCUCCCAAUAAUUCUUCCUCUUACCUCAUCAAAUUCAACAUUGAGCCCAGCCAGGAACUUGAAGAUUCGCUCAUUAUUGACAGUUUGUUUGUGGUGUUUAAAAUCUUCCAUGCUCUCCCACUCGUAGUCGUUGAAUAAGUCCAGAUCUUGCCACAAUCUCUUUAGAGUAUUGAAGUAUUUUGUUAUACUAUAAUCUCCUUGACGGAUAUCUCCAAGAGCAAGCUGCAACUCAUAGAUCUGGGACUGAUUUCCAUAGUCAGAGUACAUCUGACUCACAUUAUCCCAGAGUUCUUUUGCAGUAGAGUAGCACAUAUAAUUUGCACCAAUGUCUUCAUCCAUGGAGUUGACUAACCAUGCCAUAAUCAUGGAGUUUUCGGCAUCCCAAACACCAUAAGAGGGAUCAGAUAUUUCAGGAGCCUUAACAUCUCCGGUAAGAUAACCAAUCUUCCCUCUUCCCCUAAUAUACAUUCUAACCGACUGAGACCAUCUUUGAAAAUUUCCUUCAUUCAGCCGGAUAGUUGUAAUCUGGACAGAAUGAGAUUCAGAAUGGGAAAUUUUUGGUUCUAGUCUUUUUGAGGUGACUGUGGUUUCAGAAGAUUGGUCAGACAUGGUAGGGAAGAGAUCAGAAAGAAAGGGAGCCUAGCUCUGAUACCAUGUGAAAAUAGGUAGAGAAAAAGUUUAUGGAAUAAUUCUCUUAUUUCAUAUGUUCAUGAGACUGUACACAGUCUUUAUAUAGGGAUACAAGAGACUAAGAAAGGAAAGAAAAAAUUAAAGCAGAAUAUUACACAUUGAUUUUUAGGAAGCAAUAACUCUAUAUUUACACCAAAUAUACACCUAAAUAUAUAAGGAAAACCAAAUCAAUUUGAUUUGGUCAACCUUUCAACAUGUGUGCUAGCAAGUCAUGUCUCUAAUAAUUUCAUAGUUUGCUUGAUUGGAAUUUUUUAUCUUGAUAUGGAUUGUUUAUUCUAGAUUCCUUGGUGCUGUAGGUUGAAACAGCAAAAGAUUCAGCACCGAUUUUGUCACUGCUUGCUCCAUUAAAUUCUGGAUCAAGGCACUCAUAUUGGAGAGCUCCACCUUGUACUACUUCUGUUGAAUUUGUUAUUGUUCUCUGUUCUGUUUCUGAUGUCAGUGGGGUUAUCUUGCUUGUUAGUCCUUGCGGCUAUUCUGUGGGUGACACUCCGAUGGUAAGUGCCAUAUUUAUUCCCUUAUUUCCUUGUUGUUCAAUAAAUUUGGUGAUAAGCCAAGUGGCCUUAAUAAUGAAGCCCAGUACCAGGGGUGGUGGGUAAUCGAUAUUCAACUUGUGAAUAUUCCUAAGCAAGCACUGAAUCAACAUAGACCUCGGCAAAAGUUCUCCAUGCUAUUAUAACGAAAGUCAUAUUUUGAAAUGAUUAAAAGAGUCCCUGUGUAGUGCUAUUUCCAAAGAAAUUGCAGCUGGAGGUUUAGUUUCAUGUAGGUUAGUUUCCGAUAAUAAACUUUCCAUUUCAUUAAUUGCUGAUGAAAAAACCAAGUAAGAACAGUUUUGUUGCUCGUCAUUUAUGUAUAUUUUGGUAAACUGUAAUUUUAAAUUCUCAACGAUCUUCCCUUUGUAGGUAAGAAGAUGGUCCACUCACUUGAUAUUUAUGAUUGUAGAUCAGGUUUCUAUUGGUUUGCCUUUAUCAUUCGGAACCCAAGUUUGAUAUUAACAGAGAUCACGUCAAUAAUAUCCUAUUUGGGUAGAUGUGGGUGAGGAUUUAAAAUCAAAUUUGAAAUUGAGGGCAAAGAAGAGAAAAGAAACCGCAAUAAUUAAACAAAAUAUUAGGAACUAUUCUGAUGAGUUUUAAUCUCGAGAGGAACAAUUUUCAAAUGCAAAAUUUAACUGCUAGAGAAAUUGUAGCUUUUUGUCAUUAGUUAAGAGGAAAGAGAAUAAGAACUAUCUGGCCCUUUCCUUCAUGAAUGUGUGUUGAGGUUGCUGUAUUAUUUAGUCAGUAUUUGUAAUUUUCUUCCCUGCAGUGCUCUCUGCCUCCUGAAUUUGCUACUGAGUCCAUAUUUUUCUUUGAGCUGUUGCUUCCUAUUGCUGUUACAGGUACAAAUCUGGGCAAGCAAUAAGAUACACCGGGAGGACAGGUCAUCAAUGGGAAAAUGGGAUGUCCAAUCCCUCAUCACAUCUUCUUCAGAUUUGUAUGGUCCAGAAAAGUCUGCUAGUGUUGAAAAAUUACCUAGGCAUGUAAAAUUUACUUUUAAGAAUCCUGUUAGGUGCCGCAUUGUUUGGAUCACAUUACGUCUUCAGAGACCUGGUUCGGCUUCAGUUAAUUUCGGGAAUGACUUCAGUCUUUUGUCUCUUGAUGAAGAUGAAAACCCCUUUGCACAAGUAGACAGACGUGCUUCAUUUGGAGGAGCAGUUGAAAAUGAACCAUGUAUUCAUGCCAAAAGAAUUCUUGUAGUCGGAAGCCCAGUAAAAAGGGAGGGGCUUACCACAUCACAGAGCUCUGAGCAGCUAAGUAUUAGAAACUGGUUGGAUAGAGCUCCACAAAUGAGUAGAUUCAAGGUAUUAGUUGCUUUCACUCUUUGUUCAUUCAUAAUUCCAGCUUUCUGCUUGAUGCCUUGCCUCUGAUAAACCUCUUUUUUCUCUUCAGGUCCCAAUUGAGGCCGAGAGAUUGAUGGACUACGAUCUCGUCUUGGAACAGUAUCUACCUCCAGCGUCACCUUCGCUUGCCGGAUUCCGUCUAGAUGCUUUCAGUGCAAUAAAACCUAGGGUUACCCAUUCACCUUCCUCAGAUUCAGAUAUCUGGGACAAAUCAGUAACAUUUUUAGAAGACAGGUACAUCUCUCAAGCUGUGUUGUAUUUACAAGUAUCCGCACUCCAGGAACCACAUAACAUGGUAACUAUUGCGGAAUAUCGACUGCCGGAGGCUAGAGCCGGAACGCCAAUGUACUUUGAUUUCCCACGACCGAUACAGUCCCGACGAGUUUCAUUCAAGCUUCUUGGAGAUGUUACAGCAUUUGCAGAUGAACCUUCAGAACAAGAUGAUUCAGGAUUGAGAGCUCCACUUGUGGCCACAGGUUUGUCUUUGUCAAACAGAAUCAAGUUAUAUUAUUAUUGUGAUCCUUAUGAGCUCGGAAAAUGGGCAAGCCUUUCUGGAGUUUGAUCGUUAUUUAUAUGUCAGAGAAAGGGUUUUGGGUUUGAUUUUGAUUUUGAUUUGUAAUUUUUGUCAGUUUAUUGAAAUUUUUUGUUGUAUAAAAGCAGAAUGUAAAGGUAUAAAAAUUCAUUGAUGCUGCAAUGUCUGUGCUUUUGAGAAAGAAAGAAUUCUAUGGCUUUUCUAUGCCAUUGGAUUUUCCACUGCCUGUAAACUUGGGCUGUCGAAUGCUCUGUGAACCUUAAGGGCUAUAAAGUAAUUUUCAAGACUGAAGGAUUUAUUAAUCGAGUUCAAAAGAUUGCAAGUUGGUGAGCGUUGGCAUUUAAAAAAUCAAUUGUUAUUCUCUCAAUAAUCUCUGUCUUCUGCCGACACCCCAUGCUCAGAAACCCAUUGUUCCGACGGACGUGUAACACUUCUAGAAAUUGUUUUGAUCUCUCCUCGUGAAGUGUUUUCUUUUUCGAGUGAAGGUGGUUUUCUACUUGCAUACGUCGGGGGUCUUAUGAUAUGUAAUGUGUGAAAUUUCUUUCUCAUUUUACCAUAAAGAAAAAUGUUGUAAUAAUCUAAAGCUCGAGUCUUAAAUUAUCUUAAAUUUAUAUUUAGAGUGGAGCUAUUCGCAAUCCUACAUUAAAAUUACAAAUAAAAAUAAUUGAAAAUUAAACACUUAUAGAUUUUUUUUACAACAAAUUAUUUAAUUCAUAAUCAAUCCUUUAAAAAAAAAAAUCCAUAUGUUACUUGCUAUCUAACUAAAAUAAAUUUUACAAAUUUAGAAUAAUCUAUUGAUUUCUUUUGAUUUCUUAUUAAUUAAAUAUUUUUAUACAUAAAAUUGCUUUGAAAUUAUAAUUUGAAAUAUGUGUUAUUUCAGCCAAUGAUUAACACUAAAAAACUUAUCACCCAUAUAACUUUUUAAUUUGUGUGUAGGGUAAUAAUAAAAUCAAAAAUAAUUAAAAAAAUAGUACAAUAAUGAGUUUUAACAAUAAAACAAAUCAAAUGAAAAUUGAAAAUUUAGAAAAAAUGUAUCUAAAAAAGGGAACGUUUUUUAAAAUAAAAUGAAUAUAACUAAAAAGGGGUUUUAUGAGAAGAGCAGAGGGGUGCCAAUAGUCCAACUUGUAAUUAAGAAUCUCCCAUUAUAUUGUCAACCAAAAAGACACUUGAAUAAGAAGAAGAAUUUAUCAGUUUGAUUUUAUUUAUAGAUCCAACAUUUCUCAUAUCCUAAACGCCUUUCCGUAUCAAAUUAAAACAGUAGUCGCAAAAUCGUAGUAUUAAAAUCGUAGUGCACAUUCAAUUAACCAACUAAUAGUCUUUGGUAUAAGAUUUUAUAUUAGCUAGCCAAGUAGGUUGUCCAUCCCACUCAGACAUGAACGAAAGCUAAAUUCAUCAAAUGGUGUUAUACUAUUAAAUAUUUUUAUAUUUAAAAUUACUUUGAAAUUAUAAUUUCAAAUUAAAAUAGUAGUAGCAAAAUCGUAGUGCACAUUCAAUUAACCAACUAAUAGUCUAAGAAGCAAAGAGAGGAUUACAAGUUCACAACACCAUUACAAAGGAUUCAAAAUUCCCACACGAAAACAUCAAUGUACAGAUUAUAAACAAUCCGAAUUGGACACAAGAAAAAGCCCUUCAAUGGAUUGCUUUCCUUCCCAAUGCUAUAUACUGUGCAAACUCCGCACUGGCCAAGAAAAUGUUUUCAAUUUAGUGUAUUUUCAAAUUGCUUAUUUUCUCAUAAUAUAAAAAAUAAAAAAGAAUCCUUACAUGUUUCAUCAGCAUGAUUAAAAUCAAAGAAGAAAGCGAAGACGUAAUGUCUCUGACAUAAUAAAAUUACAAAAAUUUCAAGGAAAAAAAAAAGGUUAAAACAUGUAAUCUUCAGAAGCAUAUAAUAAAAGAACACUUCCACAAAUUACUACAAUUUCAUGCAGUAGAGAUUGAAGAGUUGAAUUCCACUAAUUUUAAUAAUGAAAACAACAACAGAGGAUUAACUGAUGCUUUGACUUAUUAGCAGGUUGCUUUGACUUAUUAGUUCUGCAGCUAAGUUAAAUAAAAUAAGCUAUUUUCAAAAGCAAAAUGGAAUACAUAGAUAAAAACAUCAUCUUAAACAAAUCACAAUCUAGAAUUAGAGCAUUUUCGACAUACCUAAGGAACACGAAUACGUGAAAACGGGUGAUUUAUUUGUUAAGGAGUGUUGAUUUGGUCGUCUCUGCAAAUUCUUUAGGGACUCGGUUCCAAUUCCUCUUCAUCAAAACUGUAAUAUAAUUCCCCUUCAUCAGAACUCGAAUCGAUGCAAUAUAAUUCCCCUUCAUCAGAACUCGAAUCAAAUUCACUUGCAGCAGUUCCACUCGCGCUUGGCAAAUCAUCCAAUUUCCAAACUUCGGUAACAAAAUUGAGAGUAAAAGUGUUGGCUUUGAUCUCGCUGGGAUUUGCAUAUACUGGACAUACUCCGCAACGUUUUAUCUUCUGACCCUUUUGGACCUUUAUUAUGUUUCGGUGACACUCAUUGAAGAACUUAAAUGUGGCAGUUGAAUGAUGGUCACCAUCAGGAAAGCCAACAUUCAAGCAAGGUUUAAAACCAAGUAUGACAUGAUCUGAAUCAUGGGGGUCUUGAAUUGAGUGCAAAUUGUAACCCAGAUGAACAUGUUUGGUUUCAGAGAGAGUCUUUAUUUCUAAGUCGGAUCGACAGUAAACGUAAAAAUAACGAAAACGAUCAGAAUAAAGUUGCUUAAAAUCAAGAACAGCACAAAAAGCAAACCCGAUUAAGUUUCUGCAAAAAGAGUGCGGUGGCAGUUGAAUACGUAUCGAAGAUCCUGAACUUUGAUUGCUGAACCAGUCAGGAAUUUCGCUCCCAGGUAAAACAAUUUGGGAUCCCCUGAGUUCAGAAAGUUUCUGCGAAACGACAUUUAAAAAAAGAAAAUUGUAAAAUGAAAACCAUGAUUUCAGAUAUAACAAAGAGGGACAGAGUAAACAAGAGAGGGAAUUUGAUACCUCGUUGUAUGCAUUUUCAUAGCCCAGUCUCAGUGAUGCUGCAAUUGCCAUACGUAGUGAAUCUGCCAAAAUCUUGUUGUUUGCUUUUCCAUCAAGUUUCAAGCAGUUAGUAAACUCAAAACAAAUUGGUUGUGGCGUCACAUAUUCCGGAUGCCAUUCACGAAGGUCAGGAGAGGGUUUGGAUAGCUUUUCGAGUACGGAUGCAUCUAGUUCUUGUACACAUGACGGAAUCUCUGGCAAAGAUUGAAGCCGGUUGCAGUUCAUUGCUUUUAGUGACUGUAGACACAAUGGAAGUUCUGGUAAUGACCGAAGCAUGUUACAAUCCUCCAAGUGAAGAGUUUCUAGACCCAAUGGAAGUGCUGGUAAUGACUGAAGCAUGUUACAACGCCUCAAGUAAAGAGAUUUUAGACACAAUGGAAGUUCUGGUAAUGACUGAAGUAUCUUACAAUCCCUCAAUUCAAGAUAUUUUAGACACAAUGGAAGUUCUGGUAAUGACUGAAGCAUAUUACAAUCCUCCAAGUUAAGAUAACUUAGCCACGACAGUUGCUUGAUACUUGCAGGUAAACUCUCAAAGUUAUUUCCACUUAAAUUGCCAAUGUUAUCCGGCAACUUGUCAAGUAUAGAGCAACCACUUACGGACAAAAAUGAAAGCCCCGGUAGAUUUUCAAAUGGCGAUGGCAGCUCUGUAAUUGCCGUCCAGACUAAAUAGAUGCAAUUUAAAUGUUCCAUUUUCUCCAAGAUUUCUGGGAAACGCUCAAGGUUCAAGCAGCCAAAAAGAAAAAGAUCAACCAAAGAUCUCAAUUUACAGAACCUAGUUGAAAUCCUCUUCAGCCGUUUGCAAUGCCCCAAAUCCAACACUUCAAGAUCAGUUAGGCACUCUAUUGAUGAUGGAACUUCUUCUAUUGCAGACUGGCCUAAGGAUAGCUCUGUGAUUUUCCCAGAAAUCCGUGGAAACUCUUUGAGAUUAACACAAUAGGAGAAAUUAAUAGUUACUGGACAAACAAAAUGAAGAUUGCUUGGAAAAGACCUAAGACUUUUGCAGCCCUCAAAAGACAACGCACUGAGAUACUUGAAAUUCUGGAUAGAUGAGGGAACACAAGCCAAGUUUGUAUAAUCCAAAAGAUUUGUUUCAACAUUUGGGGUUUCUAAUGGGCCUGGCAUCUUAAUGAAAUGUCGAGAAUGAUUGAGGUUAAUAGAUUUUAACUUGAAAGCUUCCUGCAAUAACAGAUAUAUAAAGACUAUAUUAAUUAAAAAGCAACAUUGAAUUCAACAAUUAAUUGCACGUAUGUUUAAAGAAAGAAAAAAAUUAAUGUUUUAGUUUUAGUACAAAACUUACCUUUUCUCCUUCCCAAAGUUGCUCAACUUUACUAAAACGCAAAUUCAGUUCAACAAGGUUCAUUGGCUUGAAAUUUGAUGGCAGUGUCCUUAAUGGAUAUGUGUCCCAAUGAAGAUAUCUCAAUUUUUUAGGAAGAUAAUCUAGGCCAUUUGGAAGCUGCACUUUAGAGUAUGAAAGUUGCUCUUCAAUGCUCAUACUUAGAAACCUUUCAAUCUCAGGUACAUAAAAUUUGAGCAAUCUUAGAUUAGACAUUUUUGUGAAGGCUCCUGGGUCUAAAUUGAUGCCUUUUAUUUUGGACAAAUCCAGAAAUAUGCCUUCAAUUGCAUCGGUCCCCUUAUUAAAAAAAAAAAAAACAAAGAAUGAGUAACCCUAAAACAGAAAAGAAACAUUCGUAAACUUUAUUAACUAAGAGCUUCUUAAACAAAAACAAAUUCUGCAAUCUUUGAUUUUAUUUUUUUAAUAUAUUAAAUAUCUAUAUACGAGAAAAGAAAAUUUUGGGGACCAUUGCAAAAUUAAACUAACCGAAAAAAAAUUCAAAAUUUCUCUAAUUUACAAACCUGUUAUCUUAAUAACUAGAAGUUGAGAAGACAAGGCCUAUUUGAUUGGUAUAAGAUUUCGAUUUGUUUUUUAGUCCAUAGAAUCCAAAAUGUUAGUUCAAAAUUAGGGAAAAAAAAUGAAAGUUAUUUUUUUUCCACUAGUUGUAAUUGUUUCCAAGUCAAAUUGAGAUACGACCCUUUUCGAAAGGAUUUAAUCAUCUUAUAGCCUCCUUAAGAUACAUUUAAGCUAAAAGGAGUGAUUGGAGGCAGAACUAGGUGGGCCAAUCAGUCCCUUUUAUUAGUGACUGUUGCUUAAAAAAAAUUAUACUCUAAAACACACUUACUUUUUUGAAAAAAAAUAUAAUUAUAUUGAAGUAGAACCAGGUGGGCCAAUCCUCAUGGCACUCACUUUGUUCUGACACUCUUCACUAAAUUUGAAGAAAAAUAAAAUUAUACUCUUCACACUCUUAUUCAACAUUCCAAAAUUGAUAAAAUCUAGAGUUUUCUUUAAAAAUUUAAAAUUUGAAGACUUGUUCUCUUGACAUCCUCAGUCAUUAAUUUCACCUAAUUAUGGUUUUUAUGAUUUUGGUUGUUUUGUUCAUAAAACAAUUUUACUAAAGGAUGUUCUCGUAAUAAUAAAAAUUAUAAAAAAAACAUGGGUGUGCUGGUAUGGUUGGGAAAAUACGAGUACAGAACUCCAAACAAAUAAAAGAUUUAUAUAAAAAAAAAUGGAGGAUUCUUACCAUAUUAUGCUUUAGUACGCGGCGGAUUUCCUUAGGAUCCCACAACCUACUACGUCUGCCUGGCACUUCCUCAGAUUCUUGGCGAACAGUCUCUUGGCCCAUUUCUUGCAAUAAAUCAUGCAUUUGCAAGCGGUUAUCUGACACAGUUAUGAGUGACUUGUCGACGAGGACAUCCAGUCUGUGAGACCCAGAAUCAUCAAGUAUCCUUAACACAAAAUCUUUAUCCUCUCCCUCAAGGAAACACGCAAUAUCUAGAAACAUACUCUUCACCCUGGGCGUUAAUUCUUUAAAACUAAUCUUUAAUGUAUCAUAAAUACCAUGAAUAUCAGAUUCACAAAUCCGAUUUAAGUCGUGCAAUACAUUUUCCCAAUGGCUUUUCCUCUUGAGAUACAGGGAGGAACCCAACACUUUAAGAACUAAUGGAUUGCCAUCAGCAUACUCUACAACUCUCCACGAGUCACGUUUGAAAUCUUCAGGACGAUGCUUUUCUUUAAAAGCGAAGUUACAAAAGUGCUCGAAAGCCUCAUCAAAUUUCAAUCCAUUGACCCUAUAUAUUUUCUCCACUCCAAAUUUUUCGAGGACUCGUUUAUCCCUGGUGGUUACAACAAUUCUACUUCCUGGACCAUAUUGAUCAAGCCCUCCAAUCAAACCCUCUAAUUGUUCAUCUUUAUUCACAUCAUCGAGUACAAUCAACACCUUCAUGCGUCGGACCCUCCCUUUAGUAAAUUGUGGAAUAUUGGGACCAGCUACUUCAAGUUUUUCACUUAAUAUUGUCGAAAGCAUUUCCUUUUGUAGGUCUUCUAGGCCACCCUCUGUUUCUGAUUUUCUCCUAACAUUUUUUGCAAAGUAUUUACCAUCAAACUCACCAGCGAAUUGAUCGAAAAUAGCUUCAGCAAGGGUAGUUUUGCCUAUACCGCCCAUACCCCAAAUUCCAACAAUUUGGACAGUAUCCGACAAAUCCAUACACAAAAAUGGUUUAAUCUGCUCAAUUCGUGAAUUUAAUCCAACUAGGCCGUUGGAUGAGUCCGUUGAGACUGUUAUUUUUUCCAACUUCUUCAAAACAUCUUCGACAAUUUUGUUUACAAGUUGCGCAUCAAGCCUAAUAUGAAGGUGCAAAGAUGCAAAAACAUUGAGUCAAAUCGGGCCAAGACAGAAACAGAGAAAAGAUGAAUUAGGAAAGAGAGUUACCUGAAUUUCGUGGAUUCAUGGCCGGCUAGAUGGGAUGUUUCUGUCAGUGCAUCCCUCCACUUCUGAACCAUUUCUUGUUUAUCUUUGAACUGUUUUUUGAGCUCAUCAAAACGGUCUCCAAAUGUUCCGUUUUGAUGCCGCACAUCAGAUGGACUUACUCCAUAGAAGAAUGGAAUAAUAAUUUGGCCGUUUGUGUUCUUGCAUUCAAGAAUCUUGACAAGUUCAUUCAGGCACCAUUUUGAAGAAGCGUAGUCCUUCGAGAAAAUGACCACCGAAAUUUUUGAACCUUGGAUUGCGUUCAAAAGGGCGGGUGAAAUCUCAUCUCCUCGCCUAAGCCCUUCAUCAUCAAUAAAUGUUUUGAUUUUCUUUCCUUCAUACAAUUUAUCAUAGAGAUAGCAAGUAAAGCUCUUACGAGUGUCCUCCCCUCUAAAGUUGAGGAAGACUUCAUAAUUGGCACAAGAAGAAGAGGAAGCCAUGAAGGAAAUUUUAGAAAAUUGGUGACAGAAACAGAGAAUUAAUCUUGAGAGUUGAGAGAGGAGAUGUAAGAAUGAACAUGUGCGAAGAUUCUUGCGAGUACAUAGUAAAUAAUUGAAUGGCUGGAGCUUUCUUAGUUUCCUGGAAAUUUCCUGGAGCUUUCGUAUACAUGAUUUGUCAAGUCAUGAAACAUAAUCAUGAUAAUGGGGCAGACCGAAAAGAAAAGCAACAAUUCAAAUAUUUGAUUCAACCAGUAUAAAAAGGAAGGAAAAGCAAAGAAAGGAAAUGUUGAAAGUAGAGUUAGGGAAUUAUAAAAAGCUGAAGGAAAUUGGAAUUUUGUACAAUUUCUCCAGCGAGGAACUUUCACAGUCGUUACCUCAUUGUUACAGUUUAGAUUAAGAUUUGAGGGUGCAAGCAUUUACCUAGAUUUUACCUCCGCACUAAAUUCUUAAGUUUGAAAAAUUAUGAGACCUUUAUAUUGGAAGAUAUUAUAAUCGAAUCAAAACUUAAAAUUUUAAUAUUGUUAAUCUUUAAUCUUUAAAAAAAAUUACCUUGCCGUUACAAUUUGGAUUAAGAUUUGAAUAAGCAUUUACCUAAAUUUUAUCUCCGCCUGUAAAUUCUUAUGUUUUAAAAAUUAUGAGACCUUUAUAUUGGGAGAUAUUAUAAUCGAAUCAAAAUUUUGAAUUUCAAUAUUAUUAUUCUUUUAAAAAAAAUUUGAGAUAACAGAGUGAUUGAUAAUAGAGAACUUGUCUAGGCAAACACAUGCAUACACAAAAAUGUGAUGGAUUCAAAAAGAAAUUAAAGUGAUAAUGUACGUGGAUCCUUAAAACAAAAAGCGAAAUCGCUUGGUGGCCCAGUAAAAUUAAGACUGAAUAUUUUUUACACGAGAAGUGUAGCUCAUAAAUGGCAAAAGCCAUUUCAUUUCACUUUUACGCGUCAUUGACUUUUGUAACAUGGUGCAUGCAUCGUCAAGUGAGGCAAAAGGGUUUCGAUUACAGUGGGAAAACAUGAACAAGAAUGCAUAAUGAAUAAUUCCUUUGAUAAAGCGAAAAUUAAACACAGAAUAAUCCUAAAAUUUAAACUCUAAUAUCUUAUAAUUUAAUGAUUAAAAAUAAUCCUAAGAGUUCCCAAUUGAAACUUUCAGAGAUAAUAGAAAAUAGCUAUGCUUUAAAAGGCCAAAGAUUAGAGAACAAAGAAGAAUUAGGUAUUGAUAUAAAAAUUAUUAAUUUUUUUGAUUUCAAGCAAAAAUAGUUUCAUAUACCAUUUCGAUUUUGGUAGGGGUGAGGUUUUGAACUUCAAUAGUUUCCUCUAAAAUCAAAAGGUAGUAAUUAAGUUAGAAAGAGCAAAGAAGACUUAUCGGUACCUUAUUGAAGGUAAACAUUAUGGAACUUUCAAUGUCAUUACCCCACUGUUUAAUUUUUAUUGAGAUUUGUGCAAGCAUUUACCUAAAUCUUACCUCUGCCUGUAAAUUCAUAAGUUUUGAAAAUUAUGAGACCUUAUAUCGGGAGAUAUUAUAAUCGAACUAAAACUUAAAAUUUCUUUUCUUUUUUUUUUUUUUUAUCAUAAAAGGGCUCUUAAGAGAGCUAAGGCAACACUAAAUGGGAGUGUGCAACCCCAUGAACAUCAUUAAUCAAUAUGUUUAGCGUAUUUGGAGGAAUAGAUUGAAAGCAAUGUAAACCCAAAGGAAAAGAAAAGCUGUACGAAGUAAGGAAAUCUGCUGCUACAUUGGUUUCUUGGUAGAUAUGAUCCACUUUGAUCAGCCAAUCACGCCGAAGGAGUUCUUCGAUGGCCUGAAUGAGAGUAAAAUGCUCAUUGACGGGAGGGUUUGAGUUAGAGAUUAACUUCAUAACACACAUGCUGUCCACUUCCACGUAAAACUUAAAAUUUCAAUAUUAUUAUUCUUUAAAAAAAAAUUGAGAUAUCAGAGUAAUAUCACAUAGAAAAACUUGCCCACGGACGGUAAGCCAAAAGUCUAGUCAACCACAUGCAUAAAGCUAAGUAGAACAAGAGAACAGAGAAACGCGUGGGUCCCUAAAGAAAAGGCAAGCACAUAAAUGAAAAAGCCAUUACAUAUCUAUUAACACGGUGUGGCAGCAUAUGCACAAUCAAGUGAGGCAAAAGGGAUUCGAUUAUCGUGGCAGAACAUGGACGAGGACGCGUGAUGAAUAAUUCCUUCGUUAAAACCAAAAACAAACGCAGAGAAAACAAUUUCUUAUAUGACAAGAAAUCAAAGUAAUGUGAAGGAACAUGAUGAAGAAAUUGCAGACUGAUCAAUUAUCCCCAUGGACUCCUAUAAAUUCAACCAAAAUAACAAUUCGAAUCUUACCAAAUUCUUGAGUUAAAUUUAUUCAAUGCUUUUAUUUUUUUAGAAAAUUUUUUUCCAAUGCUACUUUUCCUUUUUUGGGGAAAUUAGAACCGCGGCAUGUAUAGAAAACAUUGAGGUGUAAAGCAACAUUAAUUUCAUGGGAUAUGCGUUAUACGCAUAAUAUAUUUUCAGUCCAAAUUCAACUAUACAAAGAGGCUUGAGAACUUAAAAUUAAGCACAAACUAAACAGACGAAGUAAAUACAUGAUUAUGCAACAUAACAUUAAUUCUCUCAAUUGAUAACUGUUUUUGCUACAUGAAUCUUGCACAGUUAAUCCUAAUUGAAGACUAAAAAAGAGCAAUUGGAAGAAGGUUUUGGAAUAGAAUGGUAUACAAUCGAUAUGAUCCUUUUCCAGUAGUCAACGCUAAUUAACUGCAGUUUCUAGACUCCUAAUUAUACUAGCCAUAGCAAACUAUUUAGAAAACUGGUGAUCAAAUUAGAUUUUGAAAGGAAAUAAUGUUCAUUUUCCCUUCGCUGCCUUUUCUUUUCUUUUCUUUUUAUAGCAAAGAAUUAUAUCAUGAAAAGAAUCAAUUUAAUCACCUUUUCCAGCAGCCCAAUUUUUCUUUUAUAAAAUUUGACCACGGAGACAAAGAAGAAUUAUUCAUAACUUCAUCACUAAGGAAAUACUUUUCGGUAUGGCUAGGGUGAGAAAAUGCUUUCCACUAACACUUGUACUUUGUAUUCUUGUAAAUUUUCUUUAAAGUCAAUAAAAACCAUAAGUUCUUUGCAAUAACCAUCUCUUUGAUCAAAAAGUGCCGUAUUCCUUUAGAAUUUAAAACCGGCAAAACCGAAUCAGUGUCUUUGAAGAGACAUAAUGGUCGUAAUUCUUUAAAUGAGUUGGCUAUGGAAAUCCUUAUCCAAGAUUCUUUUAUGCCAUAUUCUUUCGUAAACCAAAAUUCAUUUUGAAAUACUCUAUUGAAAAUGUCAAAUAAAACGGCAUUGAAGGAAGUUUUCAAAGGCAUAAUCCGCACUUGUCAAAGGGAUGAUCUGCACUUGUCAGAGACACGAUCCGCGUCGAACGAAUCGACACAUUUCCUUUCGUAUUCGCAUAUGUAAUCUUUGAAAAAAUGUAGCUUCCGCAUCUAUAAAUAACGCUCAGUGUAUAAUGUUUUAUUCAAGAAAAGAAAACAAAUUUCUUCAUACUCCUUGUCCGAACAUACAGAGACAGUCUCUCAUAACUUCAGCCGAAUACUUAUGAUGAUGAUCAUUUGUGAUUUCAUCAGGCAUAGGGUUGAUGGUGAAAAAUUUUGUAUGUGUGAAGAAUUGAGCUGUGGAUAUAGGGGACUUAAGUGUAAUCGAAAGAGAGUUAUUAGGCCAUAGUGCAGAUUGCAUUCAGUUUAUGGGUCGAUAUGCAAAUAAUUUGUUGACGUGGCGAAAUCUGUUAUGGUCGUUACUAUUGUUUCUGGAAAUUUUCUAGAAACCUCAGCAUAAAAGGGGCUUUUGCAUAGCCUCUGGUGUGCGUGUGAUUUCUCUUUCGUUUCCUCAUCAAAUUCUGUAAUUCUUGCUUUGAUAAAAAGCUUGUAAUCAUUUCUGUAAUGUGUGAUCAGUGCGUAAUCAUUUUGAGCAAUAAAAGCUUGUGGGUUUUUCCUUCAAACAGUGUCGUUUUGGUCAGUUUGUUAGUUUGAUCUGUUGGUGGAAUUUUCUUUGGUUAUUUGUUCUCAAAUUUCAACCGUAUAUAAAGUUUGAACUCUAAUGGCUUAUAAUGUAUUGAUUAAGAAUAAUCCUAAGAGUUCCCGAUUGAAAUUUUUAAUGACUAUUUUUAUUGUUUUGGAUAUACAAAUUGCAUUAAGAAAAAAUAUUGUCAAAUUCAGAGGAUAACGGGAAAUAAUUAUGCUUCAAAAGACCAGAGAUUAGAGAAUAAAGAAGCAUUCAUUACUGACAUACAAAAGAGAAACACUCCAAAAUUGCAAGCAAACUAGUUUCAUAUACUAUUUGGAUUUUGGAAGGGGUGAAGUUUUGAGCUUCAGUUGUUCCUCUAAAUAGCAAAGAAGACUUAUUGGUACCUUACUGAAGCUAACAUUGUGGCACGGUUGUUCAUAUGUAAUGGCUGCUCUGUUAUGGUAGCUUCUCUGUUUUUGCUCACAGUUUUGAACAUGAAUUCUUGCUCAAAUAACCCAUAAUUAAUUAACAUUAAAAUGGCUCGUGAAAUCCCAUAAUAGCUAAUUACGCAACUUUCUCCUCCUCCUCAAUUAUGUCUUCCCCUGCUCGUACAAUAAAUUCAAAAUUCAAUGCCCCGAAAAACAACACAAGAAAUCUUUGAGUUAGUUCGUGACCAGUUUAUAUAUAGUAGCAAUUGAAAAAAGAAAAAGAAGAAAAGAGUUAAUUAUUAUUCAGACCUUCACUUAUUAGGAAGUUUGUUCUGCUAUUGGGUGAGGUCAAGCUCUCAGCAUAUACUUCCACAUGAUACUUUCUAACAUUUUCUUGAAAGCCAUCAAUCAUAAAAUCUUCAUACUUUUUUCCAUCCUUUGGAUCAAUGAGUACAAAUUUCUCAUCUAAAACAGACAAAAUAAAAUCACUGUCCUUCAUGGAACAUAAUGGCUGCAAUGCCUGAACUGAAUUGGCUAAUGAAACAUAGUCUUCUUUUCUUUCUCGACAUGGAACAUAGUCUUCUUUUCUUUCUCGACACAUGUCUCUGUACUUUUCUCUCUCUACUGAUCCACACUUUUUCAUACUUCUAACUAUCAUUUUGUUUUUUUUUUUUGAGUUGUGAUUUAUUCAAUUAUUUUGUAUUUUUAAUGACAAUUAUUUAAUAUUUAGUUAGUGUUGAUAUUGAUUAGUGAUUGAAAGUGUAUUUUAGAAGACUUCCGGUCUCUUGAAAAAAGGAAAAAUGGAGAAGAAGAAGAAGUGUUCUUGAUUUUUUUGUAGGCAUUAAAGUUAAACGGUUUGAAAUGAUAUUUUGUUUUAAUUUCACUCAUUAAUCUCAUUCAGGAUAAAAUUAUAAAUGCAAAUAAAUGGGGUUUCAUAAGUAUUUUUAAUAGUGUUAAAAGGUCUACUAACUAAAUAAACAUGUUUUACCCAAACCAAUCCGAUUAAUAAGUUAUUGGGUUGGGUUGAUCAGGUUAAAAAUCAAAAUUAAAAAUUAAAUAAAUAAAUAAGGCAUAAAAACUAUAUGUUACUUGAAAAUAAAAAGAAUUUCUAAUAGUUAGUUCUAAUGUCCCAUAUCCAAAACAUGCAUAUUAAAUAAAUAUUAUAAGUUAGAAAUAAAAUAUCCAAGAAAUAAUGAAUGAAAUACCAUAUUUUUGUUGAGAAUUAAGAGUGUGAUUUUAAUUUUGAUAUUGGAGUCUAAAGCAAUAGAUAGUACAAUGAAAUCAUGAAUGCUACGUUUAAAUAAUCUCUUUUAUAAAAUAAUAAAAAGAGGUUAAAAAUUAGGUUAGCAUUUAGGGUUUAGCAGUUAAGGAUGAACAUAUUAUUAUUGUUGUUGUUGUUGUUAUUAUUAUUAUUAUUAUUAUUAUUAUUAUUUACAUAUUAAUUAAUCCAACCCAACUCAAUUAUUAACGAAUUUGAAAAAAAAUGACCAAAUUAAUCCACAAUAAUUCAUUCAACUCGUCUAAAUUAGAUUAGAUUGAAUUUGAUUUGCUACACCUACAUUGAGCAACAAACCUCAACGCGAUUCUAUGAGCUCUUUGAUUGUUUAUAAAAUUGAUUUAGAGUACAUAAUGGAGUGUAUCGACAAUGAAAGUGCAAAACAAAUUAUUGUAUACAUUAAAAUCUGCAAAACAAUGAAUUAUAUGUACGAACGAGUGCAAACACAUUUUUCAAUAAGAAGUUAAAAGAUAUUUAUGCAUGAAAAAGCAUACGUUUGUAGUUACUCUAAAUUUUUUAAAAAAAAUUUACAUUUAGAUCCCUAAAAUUUACGUAUAAGUACAAAAGUUUCAAAUAUUGUCUAUUAUUUUUUAACAUAUGCCUAUUCCUUGUGGAUAAUUCUGUCUCAUCACUAAUGUUGUUUCUUGCUUACAAAAAACAAAUGUCAUCUCCUUUUACAAUUUUUAUAGCGUCUCAAAAUAGACAAUGGGGGGAUUUUGAAUUUUUUAAGUCUCAAGAUAGUCUCUAAUCUUGUGAGAAAGAUUUUCUUUCAAUAAUUUGGAGGUAAAGAUAACAUAAUUUUUUGGAUAGUGUGCAUGUGUAUUUAAUUAAUAAUUUUUUAAAAAAAUACAUCAAAUAUUAAUAUCCAUGACAUAAUUUAGUUCUUAAUUUUUUUUAAAUACAUCAAAAACAUAAUUUUUUUUAACAACUUAUAGGCAUGACAAAUUUCAAGAUAUAAAUAUCAGUCAAAAUAAGUGAAAGAAAUAAUGGUGCCAAUUCUAAUUUCUUAACUAAAUUAAUUAGUGCAUGAGCCCCGAAUACGACACGAGAGUUUGAUGGGCUAACUUGGCACAAGAACGUGAAUAAAUAAUUGAUUUAAGAAAUAAUUCAACGAAAAAUAUAAUUGAUAAGAAUUCAGUAUUGAAAUGAGUUUUUUUGUGAAACACUGAAUUAAUGAUUAUUAAGCAAGAACAAUAAAAAAAUAAAUAUUAAUCAUUGAUAAGUUUCAACAAAAACUUAACACAAUCCUCAAUCCUCAUUCAAAUGAUAAAUGUCAUUCAUAUAUUCAUUAUAAAUCAACAACAAAGGUUAUAAAUGUUUAGAAAUUCUAGAGGGAAGGAAGCUAUCGCCGGACAAUCAACAACUAAAUUUGAUGUAAUUGUGGCACGAGAUGGAAUAUGGAAACUACACCAUAAUUUCAAAUGCCGCCAUAGACAUUGACUUAUCAUAAUAACAAUGAUCUAAUUAAAAUAAAAACAAAGUUUAUGGGCAUUUAUUAUUUUGCCAUUCCUCAUUUGCAAAUAGGGAUAUAAUUAUAAUUUUACCUAGUCAAAGCAAUCGGUAGUUUUCUUCAUUAUAGGAGUGAAGUAAAAACAUUUAGAUUUCAAUGUAUGUACGGAAAAAUUUGUCUUUAAAAAUACUUUCUUAAUGUGUGUAUGCAUAUUGAAAUACUCAAACCAAUUUUGGUUAUAUAUAAUUAAACAAAUUUUAAAAUAUGAAAAAUAUAAUGUAGUUAUAGUGGAUAAACAAUAAGUGAGCACAAUAUAAUUAAUCAAAUAUUAUGCCAUCAAAAGUUAAUUUUAGAAAUUCCAAAUCCAAUAGCCAACACAAUUCUUUUUUUUUUAAAAAAGUUGACACAAUUAAUAAAAUUAGCGACAUGAAUUUCACGCCAUUGAUAAUCAGCAAUUAGUAUUACUUUCUAAACUUGCUUCAACUGGUCGUUGAUGUCCGGGUCACCAAAAGUAUAAGCGAUAAUAAGGGGCAUUGGGCAAGAGUGAUGAAUGUUUAGUCGGUGCAUUUGAUUGAUAGAUAUAUAAAGGGCCGAAACUUGAGAUUAUAUUACUUUUACAAAUUUUAAUCCAAUCACAUAUUUACUGAAAACAAAAUGAGUUAGGAUACUUUAUUUAGAACCCACAUUUUAAUAAGGCUUCAUUUGAUGUAGUUUUUCAAACAGUGAUUAUUUGAGUAAAGUUUCCUCAAUAGAGUUUUUAUCAAAUAAAUUUUAUUUAUUUGGUUGUCGAUAAGAACUUUUAUUAAAAAUUAUAAAAUUAUUUAAAUAAACAUAUUUUUUAAAAUUACAUUAUAAAAAGAAUUAAAUAAAGUUAUAAAAGUAAAAUAUAUUUUAGAUAUUUUAAUAUUUAAGAAAAAAAUUUUGAAUCUCUACUUUCAGAAGCUCAAAUUUUUAGUUUUUAGUUGUAGAGACAAAAUAUCUUAUUUAAUCUUUAAAAGUUCUGCUAAAAACAAUCAAAUAACUAUAAAAUUUUUAAUAAGAGUAUAUAAAAUUAAAUAAGCAUUUAUUAAUAAUCACUUUAGUGUACUUAUCUAAUGACCAUAAGUGUUUAUUUAAUCUCAUAAGUUCUUAUUUAAUCUCAUGAGCUCUUUUCAAUUUUUUUUGUUGUUUGCUUUUUUUAGUAGAGUUUUUGAAAAUUAAAUAAACUAUUUUGUCUCUAUUAGGAAAAACUCAAAUUUUAGGUUUUUGUGAGUAAAUGUUUAAAUUUUUUUUAAAAUAUUAAAAUAUUAAAGUAAAAGUUGUAGAGACAAAAUAUCUUAUUUAAUGUUUAAAAGUUCUGCUAAAAAUAAUCAAAUAACUACAAAAAUUUUAAUAAGAGCAUAUAAAAUUAAAUAAGCAUUUAUUAAUAGUCACUUUAGUAUACUUAUCUAAUGACCAUAAGUGUUUAUUUAAUCUAAUGAGCUCUUUUUAAUUUUGUUUGUUUGUUUUUUUAGUAGAGUUUUUGAAAAUUAAAUAAACUAUUUUGUCUCUAUUAGGAAAAACUUAAAAUUUAGGUUUUUGUGAGUAAAUGUUUAAAUUUUUUUUAAAAUAUUAAAAUAUCUUUUCUUUAUUUCAUAAUCUUAUUUCAUUCUUCACAACAUAACUUUAAAUAACUCACCUAUUAAAAUAAUUUCACAAUUUAUAAUAAAAAUUUUAAUUGACAAUCAAAUAACAAAUUUUUUUUUAUAAAAACUCUAAUAAUAAAAAUUCUACUUAAAUAAAUUAUAUUUGAAAAGGUAUACCAAACGAACCUAACAUAAAAACAAAAAUUUUUACAUCCACACAAUUAAGCUUAAAACAAUUUCAAAUGAAUUUUAGACUACUCAAAGUACAAUACGUACCAAGUUUGGUAACUUAUUGGGGUCCGCUUGUAAUACAGCGUCUGUAUCUCAUACAGCCAAAUUUAAUAAUUUAUUAAGAAAAAGGGCAACCAUUAGAUAGAAGUAGAUACAUCCAACGGUUAAAAUGUUUGAUUACUCAUUUUGGCGACCGGAUAUGCCAGUUAUUAUUUCAUCAAUUAACUUACCUAAAAAAUCACAGCCGUUGGAUUGAGAUGCCUCUCUUUCCCUCAAAAUAACAGCCUUCGUAUUCUCUCUGCUAUUGUUUUCUCCUACAUCCAGAAUUUUGGAUGAAUGAACUUGGUAUUCAACAAUAUUCACCACCCAUCACAGCAAAGAGCAAAGAUGUAGUCAAAGGAGUGCCAUUUAUUCAGGCUAACUCGAUCUGUCACUCUCGCUUCAAUUCGUCACUCAUUUUCUCGCGCUCAGCUUCAAUCUAUCACUCUCAGCUUCAGUUCGUCACUCACAGCUUCAAUUUUUCACUGUCGUGAAUCAUCUCUCUUGCUGUAUCUCUCUCUUAUGUCUUCCAAUAAUUUCGGUGAGCUCUCUCUCUAAUUUAAUAUAUGAUUAAAAAUCUUAUCAUCUUAUCAUGUCAUUUAAAUAUGCUUGAAGUUUCAAUUUAGUUUAUGAAUAUUACUUGAAAUUUCAGUUUCAAUAAUUUGAUUUUGCAAUUGAGAAAUUAUUACUUGAAAUAUUGAGAUGAUUUCUAGGGAUUGAUAAUUGAAUGAUAAUUGCUAAGGCUUGUCAUUUUUUGUUUUUGAACAGAUAGAGUUACAAUUAAGUCAUACUGCAAUAUUUUAUCUUGAGAUUCUAUUAUUCACAAAAAGAAAAAAAUCAUAAAUUGAAAAAAAAAAAAAAGAGGUUACGAGCAUCAAGCAACUGCAAGUAAUGGGGUUUGUUUUGAUGAGCUGCGAAUUGGGGCCUGUCAUUUUCUUGAAGUAUCUUCAAUAUAAGUGGAAGGAGAUUUCUUCUCUCCAAAAAAUUAUUGUAUAUUUCCUUUUAAAUUCUAGAUUCGCAUGUAGCUGAUUUUUUAUGUUUGAAGGAUUUUAUUAAAGAAUGUGCUGCUGCUAGUGGCAUGAAUUAAUGUAGUCUCGCUAGUAUUCGUGAUUUGGGGUAAGGAUCGAAUUGAACAAUUAUAUUUCUAUUAUUCUUAUAUUCGAAUCCAGUGAUAUUGUGGUGGUUUUAUGAUAAUAUUCAAUUGUUUUGUGCCUCAAAUCAGCCAAUGAGUUGGGUAUGUGCUGGGUAUAUGCCGUAUGGGCUUGUUGUUGAAUUUGCUUGACCUUGGAUGUGAUUCUUGCCGUGUUUAUAAGAAAUAGACACAGGUCUUUGUGUGGUAAUAGAAUUGUCUAAGGUGCCUUACAAUAAAUUUAAGAGUCUUAAGUAACUAUGCUUUGUAACCUUAAACCUUUAUUUGUACGACUUGGUGUUCUUGGUUGUGAAAGAAUGUUAAAUGUUGACCUAUUUUCAUCGGUGAAGAUAAAUGAAGUUAGGGAAGGUUUGUAAUCACUAUAACCCUGACAAUUUUUUUGGUGGGCCGUGAUAAUUUUAUUCAUGGCAUGUACUUUGUUUUUAUCAGAAGGCCCUGUUUGCUUGUAGUCUCAAAUCUAGGGUAAUAUUUUAAAUAAGUUCUGCAAUAUAUGUUUUGCUAUUUUUCUUUUUUGUUUUUAUUUUAAUUAGUUUUAGUAUUACUUGGAGGGGAAUUCUGAUCUGCUGAAGUUUAUCAAGCUGGUGCAGUGGUGCAGCAAGCAGACCUUUAUCUUAAUCUUAUGAUUGUGCUAAGUGGAAUUUUGUGUAAGUUACAACAAUAUAAUUUUUUAAAGAGCUGACAAGACGCUCUCUCUUUUUUUUGGAAUGUUGAGCAAAACUUUUCUUUCUUAUUAGGUGUUUAUAAUAAUUCAUAGCAUGGGUUUUGUCAUAUUGGUUUCAAUGCAUUGAUUUGAUCUUGGUUACAACCCAUCAGCCCUUACUCCUCAUUCCCAGCAGCUUUUAAUGCCUUUUUUUUAAGCAUUGUACUUUGUUUCAUGAUGAAAUUUGUUUAUAUGACGCAAAGUUGAGGACACGGUAAUAGUCAUUAUUUUAAUUUAUGCAACAAAGAUCAUUAUCCAUUAAAUUUUAUGUUGUUGAAAUAUUUAGAUUUUGUAAAUUUUGUUGUAAGAAAUGAGGGCUCUUGAUCCCAUCCCUUUAUUAUAUACAAUUUUUUUUCACUCUGUCAUUCAUUUAUUGUGUGUUAGAGGUAUUAGUCAUGUGCAAAAGUAAAGAUCUUUAUUUUGUUAUUUUUGUCAUCUUGUGCUUCAUUGGUAUAAAUGAGGAAAAAAAAGAAUAAAAUAAAAUAAAAUUAUAGUUUGUGCAUGAAUUCCACCAUAUAUGAAAUGUUUAAUAGAUUAAAAAGUAAGGAGUACACAGUGACUUUGAAUAGCAGGUGGGGGAACUCAUUUUGUUUUAAAAAAAAUUAAUACAUAUUGAUAGAAUAAUUAUCCUUCACUUAAUUAUUUAAAAAUUUUAUUUUGGAAGAAUACAAAUGGACAGUCACCAAUGAAAGCGUAAACGACUACCAGGGGGCUUACAGAAAAAAUUGCUCCUAUUCUAAAAGUAGAUGGUCAGGACAAAGUUCCAACAACUUCAACUUAUGGAUUUGUCUCUUACUUGUAAGGUAAUCUCUUCUUGUAGGGUGUUUAAUUGAAUUAAAAACAGAAUAUUAUUUGCAUUAUAGAGUACAGGCAUAAAUUCAUUAUCUAUGUCAGUUCAUUCAUGAUUUUACUCCAAAUGGAGUAAUAGAUCACCAUUAAUUUAUUGAUACAUCGUCCAUGUUUGUUUUCGUCUUCAAUUUUUAUAUUACAAUAUCUAAUCUAUUUAGUAUUCGUAAAAAAACAUACGAGAAAAAGUUGGAAAAACACUUUAGGGGUGAUUGUGUACACUUUCGUAUGGCACAAAUAGCGUUAGGCUUUGUUUUUUAAGUGGACGACGUGUCCAUUUUUUGUGUUACAUCUUACUCAUUAAUAUAUUUUUGAGUUUCUUAUGGAAAAAAAAUUGAAAAAACACUUUAAGUGAAAAAAAUUUGUAUUUCAAUUUAUAUGUAACAGUGAAUUGGAAAAUAAAUUCUACCAAUAAUUAAAAGAAUACUUUUCUUUUAAUUAUUAAAAAGAUAAGGUAGUUACUCAUUACCCAUAUAAAUGGACAGUUUUAAUUUGUUCCAUAUCUAUACAACAGAAGAGCUUCAGACACGGUUUGCAGCGUUCCACGAUCACUUCCAUUCUAAGCAGCAGCGUCUUCCGUCUUUUUGCACACCAACAGCAGAUUCUAGAUGGCCAGAAGCUCAUCUGCCGCACUCUCGGGAUUUCGCUGCCAUCCUCAUCUUCAUCUCCACUACCUCCUCAGUGAUUAUCCCCUGGUUUUAUGCUCAGAAAUUAUGAUUAUUAUGUAUCUUGUUUUCAGAUUUGUCAAUACUUGUUAUAUUUUGAUUAUGCAUUAUGGACAUUUUUCAUAAGAUAGCUUAAUUUUGUGGUUUGUGUUGACGAUUUCCAUGUAUGGAUGUUUGGAUAGGUAAUUUCGCCUUCCAUGCAUUCUUCAUUCCUGCAUCCUGUGGGAGAAAAUUGGAAAAAGUGGUUUUUGAUGAGAAACGGGGAGAAGGAUGAGAUAUAUAUUUUUGAAGUGUCACAUUAUUUCAAAAACAAACCCCAAAUUUAAUUUCUCUUACCGAUCAUGAGUUAAAAUAUAAAAAUUAACGUUUACUCAUCACACUGUUAUAAGUAUCAAAGCAUUACUUAUAGAAAAAUUAUCGUCACCUAUCCUACAUUUGUGAUUGAAUAGUGGCACAAUUUUAAUUGGGAUAUUUAACAUUACUCUUUGUAAUUGUUUGGUCUUAUUUGAAGUUUGUAAAUUUUUCAUAACUAUGACUUCAACAGCAUAUUUCAGGUUGCAUUUAAUCGUUGCUAUAAUUAGGUACUUUGAAAUAAUUUAUUGGCCACGAUUACAGUCAUUGUUAUUAGUCACCCCUCUUUUUUCUCUUUUGGCCAACCAGCUCUUGGAUAUUUGGGAACCGAUGACAAUAGUUGGGAAAUUAUGUAAUAUUGGUGUGUUUGCGAAAUAAAUCAAGAGAUUUGCCUUGCCGAAGUUAAAAGAGAUAUUGUGGCCUGAAUUUUUUUUUUUUUUCUCUAGGGGCCAUGGCUCUCAAGGACAAGGCAUGAAUCAUGCAUUAUAAUUGCUCGAAAGGGUUAGUAAAAUAGCAAUCUAAAAUACCCAAGUUGGAUCUGCUGUUGAAUCACAAAAAGAACAUAAUUGGGAUAUGAAGUCAUGGUUGCAAGUGUUGGACCCUUAGGUUACGUUUGGCACGUAGGAUUGGAUUGAACUAAUUACUAAAAUUGGAUUGAAUUAUAUUCGAUUGGAUUAAACUGGAUUAUAUUAUAUAGUUCUAUGGUUAGUACAAUAUCGGAUUAAACUAUGUUAAAUUAUAUUUAAAUAAUAUUAAAUAGCAUUUAAGUUGGUAUUUUAAUAUUAAUAUCAAUUAUUCAUGAAAUUUCAUAAUCAUAAUUAAAAUAAAUUUAAAAAACAAUUACCAGGAAAAUUAAAUAUAUUGUAAAUAAGUUACUGGGUAGUCAUAAUACAGUAAACAAAUGAACAUAGAUAAAAAAAUUAAAUUUUAAAUAAUUUUUAUCAAAUUUUAAAAAAAAAUUAUAUAAAAUCAAUUAUUUAAUGGUAUUAUUAAUUUUCAUGAUUAUUUUUAAUAGUAUAUAACAAUGAUUAUUAAAUUUAAUACAAUCAAAUAAUGCAAUAAAUAAUUAAACAUUUAAUUUUAUCAAUAAAUUACUAAAUAUACAAGUGGUGAAAAUUUAAUCUCCAGAGUUAGUACAAGUAAAGGUAUUAAUUUAAUUAGAUCAUAGAUAAUAAAUAAAAAUAAGUUUUAAGUAAAUCAUAUUAAAAAUUAAUUAAUUAAUUAAUACUAGGUGUAAAUAAAAAAAAUGAUAUAAAUAAAAAUCUCAUAAAUGGACAACUUUUUUCUUUAAUCUUAUCCCAACUAAACCCAUGCGUAAAUUAGGAUUAUCAAUUCCAUGAUUUUAGGAUUAAAUUUAAAUUACUACCCCCUUAAUCCAAUCCAACUAAGCUUGCCAAACAUUGGAUAAAUAUUUAAUUCCAAAAUUAGUCUAAUCCCAUACUUAAUCCUAGAAUCCAAACAUGGCAUUAGCACCUUAUAUAACAAAGUGUCACUGAAAUACAGCAAAACGUUAUAAACAAGAACUUAUUUCUGUACAAAAUGUUAUUUACUUUUUGUGAACUUCCAAAUACCUACUAUAUGAUUUGCAAACCCUACAAAAGUCUACCUUGCAUGCUCUUUCUAACGUGAAAUUUGAUUUUUAUUAAAUUUUUGAUGUGUUCACUAAUAAAUAAUUGGAAUCUAAAAAAAUUAGAAAAAAAUAGAAUUAGAAUGAGCUACAAUAAAAAUGAGGAAUAACAAAAAAAAUGAUAUUUGUUGAGAUGAAUGAAACACAAUUGAAAUACUCUAUAUCGCUCUUAAUAUGUUCACUUUGUGAACAUAAAUUAGAAUUAGUUGUUAUAACUUAGUAAUUUAUCCUCAAUCAAUUAUUAUCAUUAUUACUAUUUGUUAUAAUAAUUGUAAUUAUUAUUUUUGAUAAUUUUAAUACUAAGAAAAUUAUUGUUAGGGGUGGAAACACCAUAUAGAGAAGGAACAAUUAAAUUUAUAAAAUUUAGUGGGGAUAAAAUAGUCACUUAAGACAGCAAGCGUCUCCCAUUCUCACCUCCACGAGCAUGAAAACACUAGUAAUCAUUCUUAAAUUUUGAUGGAAUCUGUUGCUUUUAUUCUAAUAACGAACGCAAAACCUAUGGAAUUAGUUGGAAUAACGAAUGCAAAACCUCUGGAAUUACAAUUGAAAUACGUCAACCCAAAAUGGAGAAAGCACAACUAAAAUUAGAGACCUACAAAACCAAAAAUAAACUUAUAGAAAACAAACCCGGUACCUAAUCUCAAUAAUUGGAAUCUCAACCAGUUAAUGGAAAUAUUCAACUCAAAAUUAGGGAAAAAUUAGAUGAAACACGUGAACCAUUGAGAGAGAAAGUAUGACGAAAAUUAGAAACUCAUUUAACGAAAAAUAAUAUUUACUUGGAAUCUAACCCAUGAUACUGGUACCUAAGGAACUUUAUAGGAAUAUGAAACGCAAAACCAGUGGACCAAUAAGUUGAAACAUGUGAACCAAAAAAUGAAAAACUAUAACCAAAUCUUGAGACUAAUCAAACCAAGCAAAAGUAAUAUUGAUAUUUAACCCAUAUAAUUGGAAUUUUACCAAAUUAGUUGGAAUAACGAAUGUAGAACUUGUGGAAUUACAAUUGAAAUACAUCAACAAAAAAUGGAGAAAGCACAACCAAAAUUAGAGACCUACAAAACCAAAAAUAAAUUUAUAGAAAAUAAAUUUGGUACCUAACCACAAUAAUUGGAAUCUCAACCAGUUAAUGAGAAUUCUCAACGCAAAACUAUAGGAAAAAUUAGCUGAAACACAUGAACCAUUAAGAGAGAAAUUAGAACGAAAACUUGGAACUUAUCCAACGAAGAAUGCUCGUGACUUGGAAUCUAACAACAAAUAUUGGUACUUGACUAAUUUAGUAGGAAUAUCAAAUGCAAAACUCAUUGACCAAUAAGUUGAAACAUGUAAACCAAAAGAUGAAAAAGUAUAACCAAAACCUGAGAAUAAUCAAACCAAGAAAAAGUAAUAUUGAUUUUUAACCCAUAUAAUUGGAAUUUUACCAACUUAAUUGGAAUAACGAAUGCAAAACCUGUGGAUUUACAAUUGAUAUACGUCAACCCAAAAUGGAGAAAGCACAACCAAAAUUAGGGACCUACAAAACCAAAAAUAAAGUUAUAGAAAACAAACCUGGUACCUAACCUCAGUAAUUGGAAUCACAACCAGUUAAUAGGAAUAUUCAAUGCAAAAUUGGGGAAAAAAUUAGAUGAAACACGUGAACCAUUAAGAGAGAAAGAACAACGAAAACUAGGAACUUAUCCAACAAAGAAUGAUAGUUACUUGGAAUCUAACAGUAAAUAUUGGUACUCGACGAAUUUAAUAGGAAUAUCAAACGCAAAAAUAGUGGACCAAUAAGUUGAAACAUGUGAACCUAUAGAUGGAAAAGAAUUACCAAAAUUUGUAACUAAUCAAACCAAAAAAAGUAAUAUAGAUAUCUAACCCAUAUAAUUGGAAUCUCGACAAAUUAGUUGAAAUAUUAAACAAAAAACUAGUGGAAUAAUAGUUGAAACACAUGAACCAAAUGUGGAGAAAGUUUAACCAAAUUUUGAAACUUAUCCAAUGAAGAAUGCUAGUUACGUGGAAUCUAACAACAAAUAUUGGUACUCGACGAAUUUAAUAGGAAUAUCAAACGCAAAAAUAGUGGACCAAUAAGUUGAAACAUGUGAACCUAUAGAUGGAAAAAUAUUACCAAAAUUUGGAACUAAUCAAACCAAAAAAAGUAAUAUCGAUAUCUAACCCAUAUAAUUGGAAUCUUGACAAAUUAGUUGAAAUAUUAAACGAAAAACUAGUAGAAUAAUAGUUGAAACACAUGAACCAAAUGUGGAGAAAGUUUAACCGAAUUUUGAAACUUAUCCAACGAAGAAUGCUAGUUAUUUGGAAUCUAACAACAAAUAUUGGUACUCGAUGAAUUUAGUAGGAAUAUCAAACGCAAAAAUAGUGGACCAAUAAGUUGAAACAUGUGAAUCUAUAGAUGGAAAAGCAUUACCAAAAUUUGGAACUAAUCAAACCAAAAAAAGUAAUAUCGAUAUCUAACCCAUAUAAUUGGAAUCUCGACAAAUUAGUUGAAAUAUUAAACUAAAAAUUAGUGGAAUAAUAGUUGAAACACAUGAACCAAAUAUGGAGAAAGUUUAACCAAAUUUUGAAACUUAUCCAACGGAGAAUGCUAGUUACUUGGAAUCUAACAAAAAAUAUUGGUACUCGACGAAUUUAGUAGGAAUAUCAAACGCAAAAAUAGUGGACCAAUAAGUUGAAACAUGUGAACCUAUUGAUGGAAAAGCAUUGCCAAAAUUUGGAACUAAUAAAACCAAAAAAAGUAAUAUCGAUAUCUAACCCAUAUAAUUGGAAUCUUGACAAAUUAGUUGAAAUAUUAAAUGAAAAACUAGUAGAAUAAUAGUUGAAACACAUGAACCAAAUGUGGAGAAAGUUUAACCGAAUUUUGAAACUUAUCUAACGAAAAAUAAAUUUAAUUGGAAUUUAACCCAAAAUAUUAGUGUUUAACGAGUUUAGUGGGAAUAUUAAACAUAAAACUAGUGGAUCGGAAAAUGGAGAUAAGCAAACCAAUUAGUGAGAAAGUUGAAUCAAAAUUAGGUAUAUGUGAAAUUAACUUGGAAUGUCACCUAAUAUAUUGAUAUUUAACCAAAAGAAUCGAGACAUGCUCAUUUUAAUUUUUUUAAACUUUUGUUGCAAUUAAAAAUAAUUUUUUCACUUAAAUAUUGUUUGUGUUAAAUAUUUACAAAAUUUCCUUAAUUUUUCCUGUUUCAUUUUAUUUUUUCUACAUUAAAAAUAAUUUUUUAAAAAUUAUUAAAUGAACAACCGGUAAAAUACCGGUUGUUCAAGUUUCCUUUUUACUGUUGAAGGGGCUGUAUUUUAUACAGCACUGUACUAUAGGAAGACUCAACUUAUUGACAUCUUCUCAUAUAACCUUCGAUCAAGUCGAUUCUGACCUGACGACUAAUUGGUACAUCACCGUUGUUCUCUAUACUCGCAUGCAUCGGAUCACAAAUCUCACUCCAAUUGUCGUCUUUCUUCGCCGUUUUAGCGCAUACUUCUUGAAUUUCCCGCAUUUCGUUCCCUCCUGUUACAAGUCUCCGGUCAGGUCAGUGAUUGAAUUUCCCGCAUCUCUAUCCCUCCCGUUUUCUCGCGUCGUUUCACUUCAAUUUCUCGUGUCUCCUUUCAGUUUAAGUGAUUGAAUCAAUUUUAUCGCAGUCAUAAGAGAAAUUAAGUAAUGCUCUUGGAUUUAAAAUUUUUUUGCUUUCGACUUUAGAUCUCGAAAGUCAAACUCUGCUACGAAUCCAUAGAUUCUCAAUGCUCAUAAUCUUAUUUGUGUUUGACCAGGUAACUGGAUCGUGAAAUUCGUCGUUUUGUAUCAAUUCAAGCUUUCGCGAGCUCAUGGAAUCACCUGGUGAGUUGUGGUGAAACGUUAUCGUUUCAAUUUUCGCUUAAUUCUUUAUUGCAUAUUUUUUUCUCUAAUGUUUCAGUUUAAUUUAGAAAAGAAAGAGGCCCCAAAAAGAGAGAGAGAGAGAGACUCUACCAUACUCAAUUCCUUGCUCAUUCUGAUUUGGCCUGAAUGUUGGCAUUGACUAUUAUUUGUUUUCAUUUCGAUUUAAUUCUCAUUUAGACAGUCUUUACUAACGGUCAAUAAUAGUUUAAGGAAAAUGAUCAUAGGGAUUCUGCAAUAAUCUUUCUGCAUUGUUCAAGUUAGUAGACAAUGAAUAGGAUGUUUAUGUUUACCUCAUUUUGAACCCUGAGGGCUUCGUUGAGUAGUUGAUUCAACAUAUCCAGCAACGGUUGAUGUGAGAACAGAAUGCCACUUAGAUAGGCUUAAACUGAUUUUGGAGGUUUGUAUUGGUUCUAUUGUACGUCUUGCUUACAAAUUUUUAAUUUUUAAUUUUGUAUAAUAUGCUCUUUGUUGGUAAAUCUCAUUUGACUUAGAAGAGAUAGUUUUAUCCCAACAGUGGGAUAAAUCAUUGAGAUGCAUGGCAGUGUGAAUAUAGUAGACAAAAUCAUUGAGACACAUGGUGGUGUGAACAUAGUAAACUUUGUCAAACACAGCUAAGAUAAACAAAUUGUUUCAUUAGCCUUUACCUUAUCUGCUGUGAUGAUUCAAAUUAAUGCUGUUUGGUAGGUUGCAAAAAACGAAAUGAGCUGUCUGUUCGUAUUAUUUAGUCAGAUCUAUUGCAAUAAGUUGAAGUUCAUUGUCACAUGGGUUGGGAGUAGCGUGGGCUGUGAGUAGUAGAAUGGAUUUAUGGAGUUGAUACAAGUGCCCAUAAUCUAUCAUGUCAUUCUAGGAUUAAAUGGAUUGCACAUUACUGUAAAGAUGGAGGUUAAAUUUAUAUAAUUCGGAUUGAUUGUAAAAUGGGAGGCAGAGAUGAGUUAGAAAAAGAAUGACCUGUGUCCUUUUUGAGCUGUUUCUAAAUCUCCCUGGUGUGCUUCAUGCUUAACACGUGUCUUUCCAAAUAAUUUUGCUUAACCUGUGCUUGUCUACUUCUUGUGCUAUUCUGUGCCUGGUCCUGAGCUGUGUUGGUAGAUUGACAUAAUUUUGCUCUGCUAAAUGUAUAACUUAUUAAUCAGAGUCCUGUUAUUAUGGUUUGACACUACUGACAUAUUGUGUUGGUAUUUAUUUGUACUUCCCUUGGUUGAAUUAUUUGCUGUCUCCAUGCAAUUCGAUAUGGUGCUACUUGGUUUUUGAUCAUCCAUGACGCUAUAUAUAUGUAAAGGAUGAAUUGAUUGUUUUGGCUUGUAUUCUCACAUUUUAUGAUUGAUCGAUGGAAAGGUUUUCAUGCAUUAAAUUCAACCUCACAAGCGUAAGAUUGACAGAUUGUGGGCAAAUUUUCAGGAAAAGAAACUAGACUUCAUGGAAGCAAUGAAGCUUGAAAUUGAACGUCUGCAGCUGAAUCUUUCUGCAGCUGAAAGGGAUAGAACUUUAUUGUCAAUUGGAACUGAUCCUGCCUCUAUAAAUCCAAAUGUAUUGCUUGAUGAAUCUUACAUGGGAAGACUGUGUCGAGUAGCAAACACUCUUGCAUUACUUGGCCAAGCUUCCCUAGAAGAGAAAAUUGUUGGUGCAAUUGGCCUUGAGAAUAGUGGUGAUAGUGUUUUAGACUUCUGGAAUAUUACUAGAAUCGGAGAGAGUUGUUCUGGUGGUGGGUGCGAGGUUUGUGCAGAAACUAAGGUGCCUGCUCUUGCUUCCUCAACUGCAACAUCUGUUGGAUCUUCACAAUCCCCUUUGUUGUGUUCUCAAUGUGAAAGAAAAGUUUGCAAAGUUUGUUGUGCAGGAAGAGGAGCUCUACUGUUUUCAAAUUAUAAAUCAAGGGAUGUGACCAACUACAAUGGCUUCUCAAGUCAGAGUGGAUCAAGCCAUGGAAGCCAAGUUGAUGUAGCUACCAGUCGUUCACUAACACUGGAUGGCGUUAUCUGUAAACACUGUUGCCAUGAGAUGGUGCUUGAUGCAUUGAUGUUGGACUAUGUUAGGGUCUUGAUUAGGUUGCGAAGAAGUUCCUGUGCAGACAACGCAGCAUACAAUGCUUUGAAUGAGGUUGUUGGAUCCUGCUUAAAGGAUAGUCUUUCUGAGAGGAUUCAGUCUUCCGAUAAUGCGCAAGCAGCUAAAGUCCUGCACCAAUUAUGUGGUGGACAGGAAGCACUUGCUGAAUUUCCAUUUGCUAGCUUUUUGCACUCGGUAUGUUCUUGGUUUGUAUUCAGUUCUCAUCAUAUUAUGUUUUCCUUUUAAAUUUCAUUUCUUGAUUAAAAUUUUUAGAAAUGUGUUUUAGCAUUUAUUCUUAUGAUAUAUGCCCGGAACAUUCAUCCCACUUAUCCAUGAGAAUCCUUGUCUGGUUUGAUUUUCAAUUGAGACAUUUUUGGGAACCCUGCGCAGGUUCCAUAUGCUAAUAAUCUUUGAGGUAAGGUGUUGUAGGAUGCCUUGAGAAGCUAAAAACCCAUUACAAGGAAAAGGUCUUGCAUUGUUUUGUGCAAUCUGUGUGCGAGCUAGUCAUGUCUCUAAUAAUUUCAUAGUUUGCUUGAUUGGAAUUUUUUAUCUUGAUAUGGAUUGUUUAUUCUAGAUUCCUUGGUGCCACUGUAGGUUGAAACAGCAAAAGAUUCAGCACCGAUUUUGUCACUGCUUGCUCCAUUAAAUUCUGGAUCAAGGCACUCAUAUUGGAGAGCUCCACCUAGUACUACUUCUGUUGAAUUUGUUAUUGUUCUCGGUUCUGUUUCUGAUGUCAGUGGGGUUAUCUUGCUUGUUAGUCCUUGCGGCUAUUCUGUGGCUGACACUCCGAUGGUAAGUGCCAUAUUUAUUCCCUUAUUUCCUUGUUGUUCAAUAAAUUUGGUGAUAAGCCAAGUGGCCUUAAUAAUGAAGCCCAGUACCAGGGUUGGUGGGUAAUAGAUAUUCAACUUGUGAAUAUUCCUAAGCAAACACUGAAUCAACAUAUACCUCGGCUAAAGUUCUCUAUGCUAUUAUAACAAAAGUCAUAUUUUGAAAUGAUUAAAAGAGUCCCUGUGUAGUGCCAUUUCCAAAGAAAUUGCAGCUGGGGGUUUAGUUUCAUGUAGGUUAGUUUCCGAUAAUAAACUUUCUAUUUCAUUAAUUGCUGAUGAAAAAACCAAGUAAGAACAGUUUUGUUGCUCGUCAUUUUUGUAUAUUUUGGUAAACUGUAAUUUUAAAUUCUCAACGAUCUUCCCUUUGUAGGUAAGAAGAUGGUCCACUCACUUGAUAUUUAUGAUUGUAGAUCAGGUUUCUAUUGGUUUGCCUUUAUCAUUUAGAACCCAUGUUUGAUAUUAACAGAGAUCACGUCAAUAAUAUCCUAUUUGGGUAGAUGUGGGUGAGGAUUUAAAAUCAAAUUUGAAAUUGAGGGGAAAGAAGAGAAAAGGAACCACAAUAAUUAAACAAAAUAAUAGGAACUAUUCUGAUGAGUUUUAAUCUCGAGAGGAACAAUUUUCAAAUGCACUGCUAGAGAAAUUGUAGCUUUUUGUCAUUAGUUAAAAGGAAAAAGAAUAAGAACUAUCCGGCCCUUUCCUUCAUGAAUGUGUGUUGAGGUUGCUGUAUUAUUUAGUCAGUAUUUGUAAUUUUCUUCCCUGCAGUGCUCUCUGCCUCCUGAAUUUGCUUCCUAUUGCUGUUACAGGUGCAAAUCUGGGCAAGCAAUAAGAUACACCAGGAGGAAAGGUCAUCAAUGGGAAAAUGGGAUGUCCAAUCCCUCAUCACAUCUUCUUCAGAUUUGUAUGGUCCAGAAAAGUCUGCUAGUGUUGAAAAAUUACCUAGGCAUGUAAAAUUUACUUUUAAGAAUCCUGUUAGGUGCCGCAUUAUUUGGAUCACAUUACGUCUUCAGAGACCUGGUUCGGCUUCAGUUAAUUUCGGGAAGGACCUCAGUCUUUUGUCUCUUGAUGAAGAUGAAAACCCCUUUGCACAAGUAGACAGACGUGCUUCAUUUGGAGGAGCAGUUGAAAAUGAACCAUGUAUUCAUGCCAAAAGAAUUCUUGUAGUCGGAAGCCCAGUAAAAAGGGAGGGGCUUACCACAUCACAGAGCUCUGAGCAGCUAAGUAUUAGAAACUGGUUGGAUAGAGCUCCACAAAUGAGUAGAUUCAAGGUAUUAGUUGCUUUCACUCUUUGUUCAUUCAUAAUUCCAGCUUUCUGCUUCACUGAUAAACCUCUUUUUUCUCUUCAGGUCCCAAUUGAGGCCGAGAGAUUGAUGGACUACGAUCUCGUCUUGGAACAGUAUCUACCUCCAGCGUCACCUUCGCUUGCCGGAUUCUGUCUAGACGCUUUCAGUGCAAUAAAACCUAGGGUUACCCAUUCACCUUCCUCAGAUUCAGAUAUCUGGGACAAAUCAGUAACAUUUUUAGAAGACAGGUACAUCUCUCAAGCUGUAUUGUAUUUACAAGUAUCCGCACUCCAGGAACCACAUAACAUGGUAACUAUUGCGGAAUAUCGACUGCCGGAGGCUAGAGCCGGAACGCCAAUGUACUUUGAAUUCCCACGACCGAUACAGUCCCGACGAGUUUCAUUCAAGCUUCUUGGAGAUGUUACAGCAUUUGCAGAUGAAC